rnacentral:lncRNA from 1 species
UUUUGGUUGAGAAGAACCAAAACAACUUUUCCAGCAAAGAAAAAGUUAGCCCAGAAAACCUAAAAAGAAAAAAAGAGGCAAAACAGAGAGUUUUAGGAAUUUUUCUUUAACAAAGGUGGUUGCCCCUCUCUUGUUUAGCCAGUGAUUUUUAUUUUUAUUUUUGAGAAGCAACAACCCUUGGAUUCAUGUUAAUUUCUUGGAAAUGACUGGAUCAUUCAAAGGGCAAUUAUACUAUAUUCCACAACUCUUGCCAAUAAUCUUGGUUCUUUUUUUAUUUUUUAUUUUGCUGUUACUCUCUCUACGGUAUAUAUGUGUGUUCUAUUAGAGACGAUGAUGAUUUUUUCAAAUUCUGGGCUAACUGGAUUGGGGAUGGAGACUAUGCGAUCCGUAUCUUGGCUUGGCAAAUCAUCUUGAUUUUGCAGCCAUGACGUGGUUGCCUCUCUUUCGUCCUCAUCUCUUUGCAGAUCUGAGCCUCCAAAUUGUUAUCAACAACAUUUGUAUUUCUUGAAAUAGUAAUUCAAAAAUUGUUUUUCAUUUUUUUGAAAAAAUAAUAUACUAUGAUCUUUUAUUAUCUAUCAAUCUGAUUUUUUUUAUUUAUUACCUUAAAAUCAUAAUGAACUUGAUGUAGAAAUUUCUCGAUUUUAGGUUUGUGACUUUUCGAUGAAAUUUACAAGUUGUUUUUUUUAAUAGUUGUGAUUUUUCCCACUGGUAUAAGAAAUAGUUGUGGUAUAUAAUAAAGAGUUGGACUUUUUAGGGGUAUGAUUUUUCGGAAUGGUCCAGAAAAUGCAAUGCUUAUGCAACUCUUUUGUUGAUUUAUAUAUUUAAGGUAGGUUUUCACGAUAUUAUUUUGAUAUGUUUUGCUUACAAGGUAUAAUGAGUAUUGUACAGGCUGUGCCUAAAAGUCUUAUUCACAAUUUUUUUUUUAAAAAAAAAUCUUUUUCUUCAUUUUCUAGCUACAAUGUCCAAAACAUAUUAUAAAAAUCUAUGAUAAAAUAAAUUUCGUAAUGUCACAAAUAAAAAAGUAAAUUUCAGCUCAUAAAUUUUUUCAAAAAUUUAAAUUUUAUAUUAUGAAAUAAUAAUCAAUUUCUUUUUGAUGAAUCACAAGAUUUGAAAAAAAAUAUAUUUUACAUUAUUAAUCAAUAACUUAAAAGUAAAGAAGAAAAUAUCAUAUUUUUUAAGAUAAUUUUUUCAAACUAAUUAAGUUCUUUUAAAAGUAUCUUUUGAAAAUUUGAUAAGAGAAGAGACGGGAUAGAAGUUGGAGUUGGUGAGGGCGGAGAGGAGGAUCUGGUGACUGGUGGGGUGAAGGAAUAAUUGCGGUUGUGGUGGAGAGAAAGAUCUGAUGGCUGGUAGGGUGAAAGAGUUGUAGGGGUUGGGGUGGGUGUGGGUGGAGAAGGAAACUGGGUCGGGAAGGGUGAAGAAGACGACGGGGUUGAGCUGGAAUAAUUAUUUCAUUCUUAUUAUUGAGUUUAAAAUGACAUAUGUCAUCAAAUUUGUGGCUUUUUUCUACUCAAAAGUCAAUAUAUAUAUAUAUAUAUAUAUAUAUAUAUAUAUAUAUAUAUAUAUAUAUAUAUUACGUGUUUUUAUUUGAUUCAUCACUUUGACAAAUUAUCAACAAGUGUAUUAUAUACACUUGUAUAUUUGGGUGAUUGUAAAAAAAGUGUCAAAAAAGCCAUAAUAUAACCUUACAUAAAGUGUGUAAGAUGAAAAAAAGUUUAGUUAAAGUGUCUAAGAAAGUUAUUGUCAAUUUAAGGGGGUCAUCGAUGGGUUAGGCCUUGACUAUAAAUAGAGAAGUUUAUCUAUUCUUUUUCUUGCAUUUUAUUUUUUAAAAAAUUUAAUUAUGGAUAGUCCAAUAACUAUAUUUGAUUUGUGUAAACAUUAAUUUAGGGCACGUGUAUUCCGUACUAAUUAAUAUAGAGUCAUUAGAAUUAAUAAAUAAUUUUCUAAUAGAACAAAGUUUUAUAAUUAAUAGAAAUUUCAUUUUGUCCUAUGAAAGUAUCUUUGCUGAAAAAUAUUUUUCUAGCCUGAAGAUUUAGUUAGAGAACUGAUUGGUUAAAGACUAUAUGUGGCAAGAAAAUUAAAAAUAAAUAAGCUAAGCAAUCACGUGAAUAUCUAGCAAAAUACAUGCAACAAAGAAUAAAAAUAACAAAAUAUAAAGAUAAUAACAAUGACCUACAUACUUGAUAACAAUUCAUAUGUUCUUUAUAUAAAAAAGAAGAUAAAAAAUAAAAAUUAGAAGUAAUUGAAGUAGUCAACAUCAUUACAGAUAUGAUAAUUUCUUAUUCUACUAUCUAAAUCAAUUUGCCUUAAAAAAUAAAUUACUACACAUUAAGUUUUGUAUUGAAACCCCAUCACAUAUCCAUAUAUGUGAGUUUUUAAUAAUUUAACAUUAAUAAUAAACAAUAAAUAUGUCAAAUCACUUUAUUUGAACUAACUUUUUAGUUUCUCAAAACUUUUUACACUUCCAAAAAAUGUGCACAAGCAAAAAUAUUUAUUGUAGAUCAUUUAAUGAUAAUAAAUCAAAUAUUGUGAAAUAACAACGAAUAUGGAAGUUUGUUAAAAUUAAUUAAUAGAUAAAAAGAAGAAAAAUUAAAAUAAUUAGUAGUAAUAAUUGAGAUAAUUCAUAUUGUUAUAAAUGAAGUAUUUUAAAGGCAACUCAUAUGUGUAAGUUAUAUUACGUAUGCACAUAAUAGGUGAAAAAAAUUGACUGAUUAAAAAAGAUAUUGUUCAACUUUUCAUUUAUGUAAGAAGUUACUUACAAAAGUACGUAAUGAGCGAAUAAAUUAGUUUCAUACAUAUAGGGAGAAUUGAAUGUGGAGCGUUAAACUAUAAUUGUUAUAGCUAUUUGUGUCAUUUAAACAUUACUAUUUGAUUUGAUUUUAAUUCAAUGAAGGACCGAAAAUUUUGUCCAGUAGUAAACUUGCAUGCAACCUUCAAGUAAUUAAAAUAUGAUUUUAUAAUAUUUAAUUAAAUAUUUUAUGACAUAUUUAAAUUUAUCUCAAUGAUGACCUUGUAAUUCGAUGUUGAUUAUAAAAACUAAUAUAAUAUGAUAUGAUUAAAUAUAUAAUAACUAAUUAAGUCUUUAAAAAAGGGUAAAAAUCCUUGCAACUUUCCCUUGACAUUUUCAUCUUUCAUUAUACUAUCCCACUUUGAACUUUUACUAGAUGAUAUGCUUGUUUUUUAAUAUUCAAUUUAUUAGAUGUUUUAUAAUUUUUUAUUGAGUGGAGUGGCAUUGAGUAUACAUUGUUUUAUCAAUUAGAAUUUUUCUUAUUCUUCUGUUACGAGAAUUAUGAUUAUAAUUAAGUCAAAAACAAUAUAUCGUGUUUGAAUACUUAUAUUUUGAGUUGAAAAUUAUGCUCUUAAAUUUGUUCGUAAUUAUCUCAAAUUCUUGGCUAACCUGGUGAUUUAAUAUAAGUUUUUCAUUACAUAUUAUUAGAGUCGUAUACUUUUAUGAACCAUUUUUUAUUCUCGCUCAACUUGCAUUUUUCUAAGAGCAUCAUGGAUAAAUCACCAUUCAGCUUCUUAUAAAUAAUGUUAGGAUGGGUCGAUUCAUUCUCAGAAUUUUUUAAAAAAAUGAUAGAAUAAAGUCUCGACUCGUAAGUUCUUCGAUUAUACUAUCACAAUCCUAAUAGCCAAGAGUUGAUAUUUCAUUCUAACUUAAGAUUCUAAUGGUUUUUUAACGCAAGAAAAUCAUGAAUUGAGGGUUUUUAUGUCGACUUUUUGAUCUUACAAAAGAAAGGUUAUUUUCUUUCCAACGAUUUUAGUAAGUAUCAUUGGCGCAAUCCAUUUUAUUAAGUAAUUUAUUUAUAUUUUUGUCAUCGUUAAAAUCUCAUUCUAGCCUAAGAUUCUUGUGGUUCUUGAUUGCACGAGAAACAAGAACAGAAGGUUUUUGUCGAUUCGUUGAUCUGAAAAUUAGACAGUGAUUUUCAUUUCUAAUGAUUUUAUUAGUACUAGUCUUGGACACGUGCAACAUACGCGUAUCCUAUACUAAUUUAUAUAAAAUUAUUAGAACUAAUGAUAAAUGUAUUUUUUAAUAGAACAAAGUUUUACAAUUAAUAAAAAUUUUAUUUUGACCUAUGAAAGUAUCCUUGCAAUGAAAACAUUUUUCUAACCUGAAGAUUUAGUUAGAGAACUGGUUGGUUUUAUGCUAAAGGUGACAAGAAAAUUAAAAAUAAAAUAUGUUAUCAAUUAACAUUAACAUCCAGCGAAAUACAUGCAACAAGUAAUAAAAGUAGCAAAAUAUAAAAAUAACAACAAUGACCUACAUACUUGAUAACAAUCCAUAUGUUCUUUAUAGAAAAAAGAAAAUACAAAUAAAAAAUUAGAAAUAAUUGAGUUAGUAAAAAUUCUUGUUGGUAUAACAAUUUCUUCUUCUGUUAUUCAAAUCACUCCACCGUAAAAAUAAAUCACUACACAUUGAGUUUUAGAUUGAAAAUCAUCAUACAUUCAUAUAUGUGAGUUUUUUUCUAUAAAUUUACAUUAACGGUAAAUAUUAAAGAUAUAAAAUCAGUUUAAUUGAACUUACUUUUUAGUUUUCCAAAGAACUAUUACACUUUCAAAAAGUGUGCAUGUGUAAUGACCCGAAAGGUCAUUUUUGGAAAUUUUGAAUAUUUGCUUAACUUGAAUUAAUUAAUCGAUAGUUUAUGGGCUAAAGUGAUAAUUUAUUUAAGACCCUAUACUCUUUAGCCUAUAUUUAAUUAAAUAUGUGGGUAAAACCUAUCACUUUUAGUACUUAAAUAAUUCAGAAAAAAAAGAAGAAGGGGCGAAGGGUUUCUCUCUUGCGGCUACGAGAAGGUGAGUUUCUUUUCCUUUAGCUUCUUAUUUUCUGCACAUAGAUGUGCAUACAUAUGAAUUUUUAUAUAGUUAAUUAUAUUAUAUAUAUGUAUAACAAGGAAUGAAGAUUAAACAAAACAAUUAAAGAAAAAGACAAAAAAAAAAAACAAAUGGCAUGCAUGCUGUAAUGUGAAGAAAUUAGGGGUGUUCAACGUGGCAACGUGGGUUCUGGAAAAAGAUUUUGAAACUAGAAUUUAAUGCAAAUAUAUAUAUAUAUAUAUAUAUAUAUAUAUAUAGGUAAUGAUUGCUAUAUUAUGUGUGGUUAGUAGAUAAUUUAAUUUAAUUUCUUAUUCUUAUCACAUUAUGGGUUAAGUUUUGGAAUAUUAAAUUAAGUAAUUAAAUAUUAGAUAUAUCAUAUUAUAUAAAUACCAAUCGAAUUGUGAUAGUUGAAAUGUUAAUUGACAUCGAGAAUUACAAAUUUGAUUAUAAAUUUGGGGUGUAUUUUUAGGUCAAGAUUAAACACACAAAAUUGUGAGUGUUGUUAGUUCUGAAACCUUAUUGUGAAUAUAUAUACUUGCAUAGAUUGCAUCGAUUUGGAAGCUCAACGGAAAGGGAAGGCUCAAGUCCCAGAGUGAUUAUUAGAGUGAUUGAGGCAAGUGGAUUUCUAAACCCUUGUUAAGCGUACGAAAUUCGUGUAUUUCCUUGUGUGAUGUUGAGAAUUAUUUGGAGACUUGUUGCUUAAUUGUUGGUGUUGUAUUUCUUGUUGCAAAUUGUGCUUUGUUAUCAAAUGGUUAUCUCCUCCUUUUCAUUUGAGCAUGUCAUUUGCAUUGUAUCUGAGACAUGGUUGUGGUAAGAGGAUGUACUAUUUUUGAGGGUCGUAUCGCGCGCCGCGAUGGAUAUUAUAUUUCGAGGGACGUAUCGCGCGCCGCGAAGGUUACUAUUAUCGAGGAUCGUGUCAUGCGCCGCGACAGAUGCAUGGACAGAUAUGUCCCCCAUGGGUCCCGGACUGAGAGACAGCGGAUGUGUAUCGUUAGGGAAGACAUGCAUCACUAUACUUGACAUUGAAUCUCAUGGCAUUACACAUUUGAUUAUUGAUGAACUUGAACACGUGUUUUGUUGAUCUUGUGGGUGUUUCUCUGUGAAGCUUGUGACUGUUGAAUAUUGAGUUGUUAUUAAGAAUGUGUAAACUGGUAGAGUGUGGUUAUUGAGUUGUGUGUUUGGUAAACAGUAAACUAUUAGACUGUAGCGCGGAGGUUUAGAUAUGGUGUAAGAAGUGCCCGUAUUUUGUUCACUUAACUUGUGUUUAGAGGUUUGCUUGUUGGGUACCGCGUGGUUUGGUACUCACCCCUUGCUUCUACAAAUUUUUGUAGGAUACGAGCCUGGAUCUUCGUGAUACCUGUCAUUCUUUUCGUUUCCGAGGCAUCUUGUGGAGGAUUGUGAGAUAGCUGCUUGUCAUCUCAGCGAACUUUCCUACUCCAGUUUAUGACUUUGUUUUUACUUGAAAGACAACUUCAUGUUAGACUUCUAUUUUAUUUCAAUUCUAAUAUUUACAUUAGAGGCUUGUGCACGUGACAACCUGAUUUUGGGGAUUGGAUUAAUAUGACUUGUUUUCAUAAUAGGAAUUGUUGUUGGAUUGUCAUUUACUUCCGCACUUUGUUAGAUAUUUGGUUUUAGGCUGACUUGUCUUGGUGGGAUAAGACGAGUGCCAUCACACCCAUUUUUGGGUCGUGACAAAAUGGUAUCAGAGCCACAGCUUCAUAGGUCUCACGUGUAUACAAGCCGAGUCUACGUAGAGUCUCAAGGAUCAGUACGGAGACGUCUGUACUCAUCUCUGAGAGGCUAUAAAGAUUACUAGGAAACUUCCUUUUGUUCAUUCUUUCUCAUCGUGCGUAGUUACCUUCGUUAGUACUGAGUUGUUGUAUACUCUUUUGACAUAUGACGAGGACUAGAACUAAUGUUACUGGUGGUAGAGGGGAGGCACUUCUCGAGGCAUUUGUUGAGGCCCCAGCUAGGGGUAGGGGUAGAUCUCGAGCUAGAGGUCGUGCUAGUAGUACGACAGUAGCCAGAGGUCGUGGACGUGGAGCAGCACCAGUGAGAGGUCGUGCUAGAGAGGUCUCUACAGAACCUCAGAUUGAUGGCAGGGAGGACCAGGUUCCUCCAGAUCCUGUAGUCACACCUUUACUUCAGGAUACACUAUUGAGGGUGUUAAUUGUGCUUGAGGGCUUUUCUCAUGGUGGUGGUGCGACUACCACACCACAUGACUCUCGUACUAGAGAGGGGGCUCAGACCCAAGAGCAGCAACAGGCUCCAGUUGUUCAGGAUGCGGUGAGGCAACUACCAGUAGAUCCCGCGGUUCAGAAUGAUGUAGUGCACCAGCAGUUGGGGGUCAAGUUGCAUCGAUGGUUGUUCUGACAGAGGAUGAGCAGCGUAGGUAUGAGAGAUUUCGAAAGAUGGGCCCACCUCAGUUUCAGGGUGGGAAGAGCGAGGACGCUCAUGAGUUUCUAACUACUUGUCGAGAGUUACUAGAGGCGGUUGGAUUAGCUGAGUCACAUGGGGUUAGAUAUGCUACACUCCAGCUUCGUGGACCAGCGAGAGACUGGUGGAGGACUUAUUCGGGGGUUUUGCCAGUUGGAUUUCCUACAGUGACUUGGGAGCAGUUUGCUAGUGCAUUCCAAGAUCGUUUUAUCCCAUGGAGCGUGAGAGAGGAGCGUCGCUUGAGGUUUGAGAGUCUGACACAGGAUGGUUUAUCAGUUACAGAGUAUGAGGCACGUUUUUGCCAGUUGUCUAGGCAUGCGUUGGCCAUUAUUUCAAAUGAGACAGAGAGGAUCCGCAGAUUUGUGAGAGGAUUGACUUUCUCUAUCAGGUCAGCUGUGUUUCGGAUAUCUAGGGAGGGGACUUCUUUCCAGUCCAUUUUGAGCGCCGCCAAAGAGGCGGAAUUGAUAGAGAGAGAGGAGUUUGGGGACCCUAAAAGAGCCCGUAUAUCAGGACAGUUUCAUGGUGCCUCAUCUGGAGGUAGGGGAUCACAGAGAGUGAGUGGUUCUUUUCAGCAACGGGGACCUAUUCAUGCAUCUAUGCCGACAUUUGAGGGUGCCCGGACAUCUAGGGGUUCUUAUAGCUCGGGUCAGAGCUCGUACGAUUCACAGUAACGACCUACAGGGCGAAGAAUUUAUAGUGGGUUUUCAGGGUCCACACAACAGUUCCCAGGUCAGAGAUUUUUUUUACUUGUGGAGAUGCCGAUCAUCUAAUGCGGCAGUGUACUUAUCAAAGGGGUCGUGGUGGUCCUCGACCUAAUUCUUCAUUCCAGACUAGACCACCAGCUCCACAGGGUAGAGGUCGUGGCAGAGUUCAGUCAGGUAGAGGUGACAGAGUUUCUAGUAGUGGUGUUGCAGCUCAGCAGAGUGGGGGUAGAGGUACCACCUAGGCUGGAGGUGGACGAGGAGCCCACUGCUAUGCUUUCCCCGGGAGACCUGAGGCAGAGACCUCUGAUGCAGUUAUUACAGGUAUCAUCCCAGUAUGCCAUCGACCUGCGUCUGUGUUGUUUGAUCCAGGUUCUGCAUUCUCUUAUGUGUCUACGUAUUUUGCUGCUAAAUUUGAUAUGAUAUGUGAUAGCAUGACUGUACCUAUUCGUGUUUCUACACCCGUGGGUAAGCCCUUAGUGGUGGAUCGAGUGUAUCGAUCCUGUCUUGUUUCUUUUGCUGGGUAUGACACUUGGGUAGACUUAAUCAUUCUGGGGAUGGUGGACGUUGAUGUUAUCUUGGGUAUGGAUUGGCUUUCUCCUUAUCAUGCUGUCCUUGAUUGUAAUGCUAAGACUGUGACUUUAGCAAUGCCUGGUGUUCCGAGGGUUCAGUGGAAGAGUGUUAGUGGUUCUUAUCCUAGAAAGGCCAUCUCUUUUAUCCGUGCUCAGAGAUUGGUGGAGAGGGGGUGUUUGUCUUACUUAGCUUUUAUUCGGGAUACUAGUGUUGAACCACCUUCCAUGGACUCUGUUCCCGUUGUUCAGGAGUUUCUCGAUGUAUUUCCUUCUGAUCUUCCAGGUGUUCCUCCCGAUAGGGAUAUCGAUUUUGCUAUUGAUUUGGAGCCGGGCACUAAGCCUAUUUCUAUACCUCUAUAUCGUGUGGCCCCAGCAGAGUUGAAAGAAUUGAAGGAUCAGUUGCAAGAUUUAUUGAGUAAGGGUUUUAUUCGCCCUAGUGUAUCACCUUGGGGUUCUCCUGUAUUGUUUGUGAAGAAGAAGGAUGGGACUAUGAGAAUGUGUAUUGAUUACAGACAGUUGAACAAGGUAACAGUUAAGAAUAAGUAUCCUCUUCCGCGUAUUGAUGACUUAUUUGAUCAGUUACAGGGAGCAUCAUUGUUCUCUAAGAUUGAUUUGAGGUCUGGGUAUCAUCAGUUGAAGAUUAGGGCGUCAGAUAUCCCUAAGACAGCUUUUCGGACCCGGUAUGGGAAUUAUGAGUUUCUAGUGAUGUCCUUCGGAUUGACUAAUGCCCCUGCAGCAUUCAUGGAGUUGAUGAAUGGGGUGUUUUGACAUACCUUGAUUCUUUUGUGAUUGUUUUCAUUGAUGACAUCUUGGUUUACUCUAAGACUGAGGAGGACCAUGUCCGACACCUGAGGAUUGUACUUCAGAGGUUGAGAGAAGAGAAGUUGUAUGCCAAGUUCUCAAAGUGUGAGUUCUGGCUUACUUAUGUGACAUUCUUGGGACACGUGGUGUCCUAGGAGGGUAUUAGAGUAGAUCCGGCCAAGAUUGAGGCAGUUAGAGGCUGGACGCGACCUACUUCACCUACUGAGAUUAGGAGUUUUGUGGGAUUGGCAGGCUAUUAUCGAUGAUUUGUUCAGAGUUUCUCUACUAUUGCAGCUCCAUUGACUAGAUUGACUCGACAGGAUGUGGGUUUUCAGUGGUCUGAUGAGUGUGAGGAGAGCUUUCAAAAGCUCAAGACUUUGUUGACUUAUGCUCCUGUGUUGACUCUACCUGAGGAGGGUGUAGACUUUUCUGUGUAUUGUGAUGCUUCAGGAGUUGGUUUGGGUGGUGUGUUGAUGCAGAAGGGGAAAGUAAUUUCUUAUGCUUCUAGGCAGUUGAAAUCCCAUGAGAAGAACUACCCUACUCAUGAUUUGGAGUUGGCGGUUGUGGUAUUUGUACUUAAGUUAUGGCGUCAUUAUUUGUAUGGGGUGCAUUGUGAGAUCUUCAUUGAUCAUCGGAGUCUUCAGUAUAUCUUUAGCCAGAGGGAUUUGAACUUGAGGCAAUGAAGAUGGCUUGAGUUGCUGAAAGACUAUGAUGUGACCAUUCUGUAUCAUCCAGGAAAGGCCAAUGUUGUGGCCGAUGCUCUGAGUAGGAAGACUCCUAGCAUGGGGAGUCUUGUAGCGCUUAGUAUUAUGGAGAGACCAUUGCCUAGAGAUGUGCAGAUAUUAGCUAACAAGCUUGUCCGCUUGCAGAUUUCAGAAGAGAGUGAUGGGAUGAUUGCUUUUAUUGAGGCUCAGUCUUCUUUAGUCGAGCAAAUCCGUGCACACCGGUUUGAUGAAGAAAAAUUAUGUCUCAUUCGAGACAAAGUAUUGAGAGGGGAAGCUAAGGAGGCUGUCCUUGAUUCUGAUGGUGUAUUGCGGAUCGGAGGCAGAAUUUGUGUGCCUAGGACAGGCGAUUUGAUUAGAUUGAUUCUUGAAGAGGCCCAUUGUUCUCGAUAUUCCAUCCAUCCGGGAGCGGCGAAGAUGUAUCAUGAUCUGAGUCAACAUUAUUGGUGGUGUAGGAUGAAGAGAGAUAUUUCAGACUUUGUUUCGAGGUGUUUGACUUGCCAGCAGGUCAAGUGUGAGCACCAGCGGCCCGGGGGUGUAUCUCAGAGGAUGCCUAUUCCUACUUGGAAGUGGGAGCGGAUUACUAUGGACUUUGUUGUGGGUUUGCCUACCAUAGUGGGUGGUUAUGACUCUAUUUGGGUUGUUGUUGAUAGGCUGACCAAGUCUGCCCACUUUAUCCCGGUUCGGGUGAAGUAUACAGCAGAAAAGUUAGCUGAGCUAUAUAUCAGUCAGAUUGUGCGACUACAUGGAGUUCCUAUUUCUAUUAUAUCAGAUCGAGGUUCACUAUUUACUUCUCACUUAUGGAAGGCAUUACAACAUGGUCUGGGUACUCAGUUAGAUAUGAGUACGGCAUUUCACCCUCAGACAGAUGGUCAAUCUGAGCGGACCAUUCAGGUAUUGGAAGAUAUGCUUCGAGCGUGUGUGAUCGAUUUUGGUGCAAGAUGGGAUCGACAUUUACCCUUAGUGGAGUUUGCCUAUAAUAACAGUUAUCACUCUAUUAUUCAAAUGGCCCCAUUUGAGGCAUUGUAUGGUAGACGGUGUAGAUCUCCGAUUGUUGGUUUGAUUUGGCGGAGAUGGACUCUUUGGAUACAGACUUGCUUAGAGAUGCUAUGGAACAAGUUCGUGUGAUUCAGUAUAGACUGUUGACAGCCCAGAGUCGACAGAAGAGUUAUGCAGACCGGAGAGUUAGAGCCUUAGUGUUUAUGGAGGGUGAUCAUGUUUGGCUCCGAGUAUCACCCAUGAAGGGCGUGAUGAGGUUUGGAAAGAAGGGCAAGCUUAGCCCUAGGUUCAUUGGAACUUUUGAGAUUUUGAGCCGAGUGGGAGAAGUGGCUUAUAAGUUGGCGUUGCCACCUAGUUUGUCAGCAGUUCAUCCUAUUUUCCAUGUCUCUAUGCUUCAGAAGUAUAUUCCGGAUGAAUCUCAUGUGAUUUCACUCGAUUCUGUGGAGCUGGGUCCAGACUUGACAUUUGAGGAGGAGCCUAUAGCUAUUUUGGAUAGGCAAAUUCGAAAGCUUAGGACCAAAGAGAUUUCUUCAGUGAAGGUGCAAUGGAAGCACCGAUCAGUGGGAGAGGCAACUUGGGAGACUGAGUCUGACAUGCGUGCCAGAUAUCCUCAAAUUUUUGAAGCUUCAGGUAAUUACUUUUACUCUAUGUUCGAGGACGAACAUGAUUUUUAGUGGUGGAUAAUGUAAUGACCCGAAAGGUCAUUUUUGGAAAUUUUGAAUAUUUGCUUAACUUGAAUUAAUUAAUCGAUAGUUUAUGGGCUUAAGUAAUAAUUUAUUUAAGACCCUAUACUCUUUAGCCUAUAUUUAAUUAAAUAUAUGGGUAAAACCUAUCACUUUUAGUACUUAAAUAAUUCAAAAAAAAAAGGGGCGAAGGGUUUUUCUCUUGCAGCUACGAGAAGGUGAGUUUCUUUUCCUUUAGCUUCUUAUUUUCUGCACAUAGAUGUGCAUACAUAUCAAUUUUUAUAUAGUUAAUUAUAUUAUAUUAUAUAUAUAUAUAUAUAUAUAUAUAUAUAUAUAUAUAUAUAUAUAUAUAUAUAUAUAUAUAUAUAUAUAUAUAUAUAUAUAUAUAUAUAUAUAUAACAAGGAAUGAAGAUUAAACAAAACAAUUAAAGAAAAAGACAAAAAAAAAACAAAUGGCAUGCAUGCUGUAAUAUGAAGAAAUUAGGGGUGUUCAACGUGGCAACGUGGGUUCUGGAAAAAGAUUUUGAAACUAGAAUUUAAUGCAAAUAUAUAUAUAUAUAUAUAGGUAAUGAUUGCUAUAUUAUGUGUGGUUAGUAGAUAAUUUAAUUUAAUUUCUUAUUCUUAUCACAUUAUGGGUUAAGUUUUGGAAUAUUAAAUUACGUAAUUAAAUAUUAGAUAUAUCAUAUUAUAUAAAUACCAAUCGAAUUGUGAUAGUUGAAAUGUUAAUUGACAUCUAGAAUUACAAAUUUGAUUAUAAAUUUGGGGUGUAUUUUUAGGUCAAGAUUAAACACACAAAAGUGUGAGUGUUGUUAGUUCUGAAACCUUAUUGUGAAUAUAUAUACUUGCAUAGAUUGCAUCGAUUUGGAAGCUCAACGGAAAGGGAAGGCUCAAGUCCCAGAGUGAUUAUUUGAGUGAUUGAGGCAAGUAGAUUUCUAAACCCUUGUUAAGCGUACGAAAUUCGUGUAUUUCCUUGUGUGAUGUUGAGAAUGAUUUGGAGACUUGUUGCUUAAUUGUUGGUGUUGUACUUCUUGUUGCAAAUUGUGCUUUGUUAUCAAAUGGUUAUCUCCUCCUUUUCAUUUGAGCAUGUCAUUUGCAUUGUAUCUGAGACAUGGUUGUGGUAAGAGGAUGUACUAUUUUCGAGGGUCGUAUCGCGUGCCGCGAUAGAUAUUAUAUUUCGAGGGACGUAUCGCGCGCCACGAAGGUUACUAUUAUCGAGGGUCGUGUCGUGCGCCGCCAUAGAUGCAUGGACAGAUAUGUCCCCCAUGGGUCCCGGACUGAGAGACAGCGGGUGUGUAUCGUUAGGGAAGACAUGCAUCACUAUACUUGACAUUGCAUCUCAUGGCAUUACACAUUUGAUUAUUGAUGAACUUGAACACGUGUUUUGUUGAUCUUGUGAGUGUUUCUCGUUGAAGCUUGUGACUGUUGAAUAUUGAGUUGUUAUUGAGAAUGUGUAAACUGAUAGAGUGUGGUUAUUGAGUUGUAUGUUUGGUAAACUGUAAACUAUUAGACUGUAGCGCGGAGGUUUAGAUAUGGUGUAAGAAGUGCCCGUAUUUUGUUCACUUAACUUGUGUUUAGAGGUUUGCUUGUUGGGUACCGCGUGGUUUGGUACUCACCCUUUGCUUCUACAAAUUUUUGUAGGAUACGAGCCUGGAUCUUCGUGAUACCUGUCAUUCUUUUCGUUUCCGAGGCAUCUUGUGUAGGAUUGUGAGGUAGCUGCUUGUCAUCUCAGCGAACUUUCCUACUCCAGUUUAUGACUUUGUUUUUACUUGAAAGACAACUUCAUGUUAGACUUCUAUUUUAUUUCAAUUCUAAUAUUUACAUUAGAGGCUUGUGCACGCGACAACCUGAUUUGGGGGAUUGGAUUAAUAUGACUUGUUUUCAUAAUAGAAAUUGUUGUUGGAUUGUCAUUUACUUCCACACUUUGUUAGAUAUUUGGUUUUAGGCUGACUUGUCUUGGUGGGAUAAGACGAGUGCCAUCACACCCAUUUUUGGGUCGUGACAGCAUGUCCAUGUGCAGAAGAAUUUAUUAUAAAUUAUUUAAUAAAAAUAAUCAAAUAUUGUGAAAAUAACAAGGAAUGUGGAAGGUUGUUAAAAACAAUUAUUAAGUUAGAAGAAGAAAAAUUAAAAUAAUUAAUAUUAAUAAUUAGGUAAUUCAUAUGGUUAUAAAUGAAGUUUUUAGAGGCAAAACAUAUGUAUAAUUUACAUUAUGCUUAUAAUGGCUCAAAAAACAAACUGGACUCAUUAAAGAAGAAAUUGUGCCACUAGUCAUUUGUGUAAGAAGUUACUUACAAAAGUACGUAAUGGACGAAUAAAAUUUGUUUCAAAAAUUUAGGGAGAAUUGAAUGUAGAGGGUUAAAAUAUGAUUGUUGAGAUUUCUAUUUACUUACUAUUUGUUAUUUAAUUUAAUUAUGAUUUAAUGAAGGACCGCAAAUUUUGUAAUGUGAUGAAGUUACAUUCAAUCUUUAAAUAAUUAAAAUAUGAUCGUAUAAUAUUUAAUUAAAUAUUUUAUGAUAUUUUUAUUUAUCAUUGUUUAUCGCAAUGGUGAACUUGCAAUCCGACGUUAAUUCUAAAAGUUAAUACAGUAUGAUAUGAUUAAAUAAAGUCUUUAAAAAGGGACAAAAAUGUUAAGUCAAGAAUAAAAUAUCAUGUUUGAAUACUUAUUUUUUGAGUUGAACCUUUUUAUGAGUAAAGUCAAUUAAUUUUAUUUUUAUUUUUAAAAACAACUAACAAAAUACUAAGAAUUGUUAUAAGUUAAAUAUAAUUUAUGAAAACAAAGAAACGCAUGUAAUAGAUAAUGUUUUAUAAAAUGACAAUUUUAUUUAUUUUCUACCUCUAAAUGAUGAAUAAAAACAAUAUGACAAUUUCACCUAUUUUUUUUUUAAAAAAAGAGUCAUAAAUCAGAACUAAAACGAAAAUCAUAUUUUGAGCUGAUACUUGUCAUGUUUUUUAAAAAAAAUGAAAUUAAUCUACUUAAUCUUAAAAAAGAAAAGAAGGACAUAUAAAAAAAUGUAUUUAUACAAAUAAGGAAAUAUUAGCCCGUAAGUAGGGUUGUUCGUGGUUCAGUUUAGACCGGUUAUCAGUUAAAAUCAAAAUGAAAUCAAUCUAGUCGAUUUUUAAAAUUUAUAAAACCAAAUAAAACCAAACGAAAAACAUAACCAUCGGUUUGAUUAUUGACUGUUUAGUUCACUUUUUCUAGUUUUUUAGUUUGAAAGUAAUAAUCUUUUAGGACAUAUGUAUCUUGAUAGACUCAAAUAUGUAACGACCUGUUUAGUCGUUUUGAGCAGCAGAUUUUAUUUCUGGAAAAUUGGCUGAAACAACGGAACCCACGACGGACCGUCACAGGCAUGACGGUCCGUCACAGAUGUCACGUUUCAAUAUACUUAGGAAUUUGGAAAUUGGGUACUGAAAAAUCGACUCUCUGAACUUCGUAACGGACUUGCAGGACGGACCGUCACAGGUGUGACGGACCGUCACAGUGUCCUUGGUGAAAAUAAAGUCCUGGCCCUCACGACGACCUGAGUGACGAACCGUCGCAGUCACGACGGCCCGUCACAGGUUACGCAAUCCAAGUUAGAAUCGGAUUUCUUUACACGUUUUAAGGGACGUUUUGGACUAUUCUUCCCUUAAUUAUAGAUUUCGUGGGUUUAUAUUAAUAACUCAAAUUCUUGGGGGUUAAAAGGAGGUGACCCUAAGUUAAUUAGUGGGGUAUUAUUACCAUCUUUUACACUUAGUUAUAUGUUAAUUAGGGCAAAGAAAGAGGGUUUUGAAUAAGAAAAGAGAAAAGAAAAGAGGGAGAUAGAUUGAUCGAUUGAGAGAGAGAAUCGAACGAGGAAGAAGAAUAUCAAAGCUUGGGAGAUUGCUUGUUGAUUCCAAUUCUUCGGUGGAGGUAGGUUAUGGUUAUUUCAUGCUAUUCGUAGUAAACUCUUAAUAGCGAAUGAUAUGCGUUAGUAGUAUUGUAAACCUUCUAUAUGCUUAAUUGUAUGCUUGCAUGAAUGAUGUGAUUAUGUAAUUGUGAAUAAAUAAGCAUGAUGAAGCUAUUGAAUCUCAAAUCUUGAAAAGAAACCCUAAUCUACUUUGUUAAUGAUGAAGCCUUGAUAUAAAAGAAGGCUUGAUGAACGAAAGUGGUGAGAUUAGGGGAUCGGGUGCCACGUUCCGGUACCAGGAUAGAAUCUGGAUCGGGUGUCAUGUUCCGACACCAGGAUAGAAUAUGGAUCGGGUGCCACGUUCCGGUACCAGGAUAGAAUAUGGAUUGGGUGCCACGUUCCGGUACCAGGAUAGAAUAUGGAUCGGGUGUCACGUUCCGACACCAGGAUAGAAUAUGAAUCGGGAGCCACGUUCCGGUACCAGGAUAGUAUAUGAGGAUCGGAGUGUCACGUUCCGACACCAGGAUAGAAUAUGGAUCGGGUGCCACGUUACGGUAAUAGGAUAGAAUGAGGAUCGGAGUGUCACGUUCCGACACCAGGAUAGUAUAUUGAGGAGCGGAGUGUCACGUACCGACACGAGGGGAAUAAAGAUAAUGAAUCUUGAAAUAUGAUAAUAUGUCCAAUCUAAUGAACUAAAUUCUCAAAUGAGUAUGAUGAGGAGGUGUGAGUCCUCAUUGAUGUGCUUGGUGUUGUAACCAAGGGUUAUGGUAACUAUAAAUGCUGCAUGCUAAGGAUAUUAGUUGAUUUUAUGAUAUUGCCUAAUACAUAGUGUUUUCUAUUUUGAGUUGGCCGAUGAUAUCUACUCAGUACCCGUGUUUUGUACUUACCCUUACUUUUAUGUUUGUCUUCUUGUUAUUUGUGGAGUGCAGCAAAUGUGCCGUCAUCUUUGACUCAACAGUAAUUCAAGCCAGUCUUCGUCACACCGGAUCUUCAGGGUGAGCUAACGCUUCUAGCUUGGACUGGAUGUUCUCCUUCAUAUCUUGAUGCCUUGAACCUCCGGUAUGGACUAGCUUCUUAUGUAUUUUUAGCUUUUAGAAAACUCUUAGAAUUAGUAAUUUAAAGUAGAUGUUCUUGUGAUGAUGACUUCCAGGUUUUGGGAAUAAUAGAUGUUGAAUAUUGAUAGUUAUUGAAUUGGUUUUUAUUAAUGAGUUUAAGUCUUCCGCAUUAUUUUCUGUUGAUGUUACAUUGAAAUGUUAAGGUUUAGAUUGGUUGGUUCGCUCACAUAAGAGGGUAAGUGUGGGUGCCAGUCGCGGCCCGGAUUUGGGUCGUGACAAACUUGGUAUCAGAGCAUUAGGUUCGUUGGUCUCAUCACACAAGAACAGGUCUAGUAGAGUCUUAAGGAACGGUAGGUGGACGCCUUUACUUUUCCUUGAGAGGCUAUAAGACUUUAGGAAAUUUUCACUCUUUCAUUCUUUCUUUCGUGCUACUACCUGGAUCCAAUUGGUAUCUAGGUGAUACAAAUUGGUAUCUGACCAUCUUCACUCUAUUUCGCAGAUGGUUAGAACUAGAGCAACGACCGCGCCAGCAGCGACAAUGGCAAGACAAGAAACGUCUGAGCCAGCCACUAGGGUUGUAGCUCGUAGCGGAGUAGCGGCAAGAGGCCGUGGAAGAGGUCGUGGGAGGACGUCCUCUAGAGGGAGAGGACAAGCACCUAGCCCAUCUGGUACUAGGGCGGUGACUCCUCCACCGACUGAGGAAGUGAUAAGAGUGGGUGAGGAAGGGGAUACUGAACAAGUGCAGAAUGAGGAAUUGCCACCCCAACCUACCCCAGAGAUGAUCAAUCAGGUUCUUGCUUAUCUUAGCGGGUUAUCUGAUCAGGGUCAGACACCUCCAGUGUUUUCUACACCAGCACCUCAGGCUCCGGAGGUACAACAUGCGGCUACUAUGGCUCCCCGCAUGGAUGUUCCAUUUGAAAUAAGCACAUUUCCUCGUCUGACUACAGGGCCUGUAAUGACAAAUGAUCAGCAUGAACUUUUCAGUAAGUUCUUGAAAUUGAAACCUCCAGUCUUCAAGGGUGUUGAAUCGGAGGAUGCUUAUGAUUUUCUGGUUGACUGUCAUGAGCUACUACACAAGAUGGGUAUAGUAGAACGGUUUGGUGUUGAGUUUGUGACUUAUCUGUUUCAAGGGAACGCCAAAAUGUGGUGGCGGUCACAUGUUGAGUGUCAACCAACAGAGGCACCACCUAUGACUUGGGCAAACUGGAGCCACUACAUCACAACAUGGUAGGGGCAACGGACAGACAGGUGAGAGGGCCCAUUGUUAUGCUUUUCCCGGGUGGUCAGAUAAUGAGAUUUAGUGUUGCAUUCUCAUUGAGAAACCAACUAGUUUAUUACUAGAGGAACUAAGAUUGAGCAUUAUUUUGAAGGAAAAUUUUAGUGGUUGAGCAUUAUUUUAAAGAAAAUCUUUAGUGGUGGAUCUUUGGUACAAUAUUAAUACAUUUAGCUUGUGAAAUGUAUCUUGAGGGUUCUGAAUGAGUACUGACGAUUUUAUCUUAAUCUUCAAAAGGUAGAUUGAUACUAAAAUAACAAACUUAUAGGGAAAGAAAGUCCUACUGGAUAUACUUGGGUGAAGUAAAUUGAAGAUUUAGCAAGAAAGUGCAUAUAAAUUGGGUUAGUCCCUUGAAUUUGAUUGGUAUACCUAAGUUUAAGGUGUUAGAUCGAGGAAAAGAUUCACUUCAUGGUGAUAAAAGGGUAUAACAGAAUUUUGCACCAUGAGAAGAAUUUGAGAAAAGUGAAGGAAUAAGACCUCUUGUAUAAACCCAUGGGGUAUAGUUGAUGGUUGUAUUGAUUUUUGCGUAUGAGUUUAGAUAUGACUUUGGGAGGGUGACUACACUUCCAAUCCGGUCCGCAUCGUCUCCUUUCUUCGUGCUAAGAAAAUGAUUAGUAAAGGGUGUUUAGCUUUCUUGGCACAUCUCAAGGAUGACACUACCCAAGUACCUUCGAUUGAGUCGGUUUCAGUGGUUCGUGAGUUUCUGGAUGUGUUCCCUGCAGAUCUUCCUGGUAUGCCACCGGAUAGGGAUAUUGACUUCUGUAUUGAUCUUGAACCCGGUACUCACCCCAUUUCUAUACCCCCUUAUAGAAUGGCUCCCGCGGAGUUAAGAGAGUUAAAGGUACAACUUCAAGAGUUAUUGAACAAAGGCUUCAUUAGACCAAGUGCAUCCCCUUGGGGUGCUCCGGUUUUGUUUGUAAAGAAGAAGGAUGGGAGUUUUCGAAUGUGUAUAGACUACAGACAACUAAACAAGGUAACCAUAAAGAACAAGUAUCCUCUUCCCCGCAUUGAUGACUUGUUCGAUCAGUUAGAAGGUGCUUGUGUCUUCUCUAAGAUUGACUUGAGAUCCAGUUAUCAUCAAUUGAAAAUACGGGCAACGGAUGUGCCAAAGACUGCUUUUCGAACGAGGUAUGGGCAUUACGAAUUCGUAGUGAUGUCCUUUGGUCUUACGAAUGCCCCUACUGCGUUCAUGAGCUUGAUGAACGGGAUUUUUAAGCCAUAUUUGGACCUCUUCGUGAUCGUAUUUAUUGAUGAUAUAUUGGUAUACUCAAAGAGCAAGAAGGAACAUGAAGAGCAUUUGAGAUUGGCAUUGGAAAUGUUAAGGGAGAAAAAGCUUUAUGUCAAGUUCUCUAAGUGUGAGUUUUGGCUAGAUGCAGUGUCCUUCUUGGGGCACGUGGUGUCUAAGGAAGGAGUGAUGGUGGAUCCUUCUAAGAUUGAAAUAGUGAAGAAUUGGGUAAGACCCACUAAUGUGUCAGAAAUAAGGAGCUUUGUUGGGUUAGCUAGCUACUACCGCCGAUUUGCCAAGGGAUUCUCUUCUAUUGCUUCCCAAUUGAUGAACUUGACUAAGCAGAAUGUUCCAUUUGUAUGGUCGGACGAAUGUGAGGAAAGCUUUCAGAAGCUCAAGACUUUGUUGACUACCGCACCUAUCCUUACCUUGCCAGUAGAGGGUAAGAACUUCAUUGUUUAUUGCGAUGCAUCCUAUUCUGGUUUGGGUGCAGUACUAAUGCAAGAGAAGAGUGCGAUUGCUUAUGCUUCAAGGCAACUAAAGGUGCAUGAACGUAACUAUCCAACUCAUGAUUUGGAAUUGGCUGCGGUAGUGUUUGCAUUAAAGCAAUGGAGACACUAUUUAUAUGGGGUUAAGUGUGAGGUCUACACGGAUCAUCGUAGCCUUCAGUAUGUCUUUACUCAAAAAGAUUUGAACCUAAGACAGAGGAGAUGGAUGGAGUUACUAAAGGACUACGAUAUCACUAUCUUGUAUCAUCCGGGGAAGGCGAAUGUUGUAGCGGAUGCUUUAAGUAGAAAAGCGGGAAGCAUGGGAAGUCUAGCUCACUUGCAAGCCUCUAGACGCCCAUUAGCUAGAGAGGUUCAGACUCUAGCUAACGACUUGAUGAGAUUAGAAGUAAAUGAGAAGGGAGGAUUGUUGGCUUGUGUGGAGUCAAGAUCUUCUUUUCUUGACAAAAUUAAGGGAAAACAGUUUGAUGAUGAGAAACUAACAAGAAUUCAAGAUAAAGUAUUGCGAGGGGAGGCUAAGGAAGCACAAAUCGAUGAGGAAGGUGUUUUGAGAAUCAAGGGAAGGGUAUGUGUACCCCGCGUCGAUGAUUUGAUCAACACUAUUCUGAUAGAGGCUCAUAGUUCAAGGUAUUCUAUACAUCCGGGUGCAACCAAGAUGUAUCGUGACCUAAAACAACACUUUUGGUGGAGUAGAAUGAAGCGUGACAUUGUGAAUUUUAUUGCCAAAUGUCCAAACUGUCAACAAGUAAAGUAUGAACACCAAAGGCCCGGAGGAACACUUCAGAGAAUGCCCAUUCCGGAAUGGAAGUGGGAAAGAAUUGCAAUGGAUUUUGUGGUUGGUCUUCCGAAGACAAUGGGUAAGUAUGACUCCAUUUGGGUGAUUGUUGACAGGUUAACUAAAUCUGCUCAUUUUAUUCCGGUUAAGGUGACUUACAAUGCCGAGAAGUUAGCCAAGAUCUAUAUCUCAGAAAUCGUUCGAUUGCAUGGGGUUUCACUAUCCAUCAUAUCAGACAGAGGUACGCAGUUUACUUCUAUGUUUUGGAAAACAUUGCAUGCGGAAUUGGGUACUAGGUUGGACCUUAGUACUGCGUUCCAUCCUCAGACCGAUGGUCAGUCUGAGCGAACGAUUCAAGUGUUGGAGGAUAUGCUUCGUGCGUGUGUGAUAGAGUUUGGUGGUCAUUGGGAUAGCUUCCUACCCUUAGCGGAGUUUUCAUACAAUAAUAGCUAUCACUCAAGCAUUGACAUGGCUCCAUUCGAAGCCUUGUAUGGUAGGAGAUGCAGGUCUCCUAUUGGUUGGUUUGACGCAUUUGAGGUUAGGCCUUGGGGUACUGACCUUUUGAGGGAUUCGAUAGAGGAAGUGAAGUCUAUUCAAGACAAGCUUCUAGCGGCGCAAAGUAGACAAAAAGAAUAUGCAGAUCGAAAGGUUAGAGACUUAGAGUUCAUGGAAGGUGAACAAGUCUUGUUGAAAGUUUCGCCCAUGAAAGGGGUGAUGCAGUUUGGAAAAAGGGGUAAGCUAAGUCCAAGGUAUAUUGGACCAUUUGAAGUACUUUAGCAAAUAGGGGAGGUGGCUUAUGAGUUAGCCUUGCCCCCAGGGCUUUCCAGAGUGCAUCCGGUAUUCCAUGUGUCUAUGUUGAAAAGAUAUCAUGGGGAUGGAAAUUAUAUUAUCCGUUGGGAUUCAAUUUUGCUUGAUGAGAACUUGUCUUAUGAGGAGGAGCCUGUUUCUAUCUUAGAUAGAGAAGUUCGCAAGUUGAGGUCAAGAGAGAUUGCAUCCAUCAAGGUGCAAUGGAAGAAUCGACCGGUUGAAGAAGCCACUUGGGAGAAGGAGGCAGAUAUGCAAGAAAGAUACCCACAUCUGUUUACAGAUUCAGGUACUCCUUUUCUCCCUUGUUUUCCUUCUUGUGAUCGUUCGGGGACGAACAAUGGGUAAAUUGGUAUCUAUUGUAACGACCUGUUUAGUCGUUUUGAGCAGCAAAUUUUAUUUCUGGAAAAUUGGCUGAAACAACGGAACCCACAACGGACCGUCACAGGCACGACGGUCUGUCACAGAUGUCUCGUUUCAAUAUACUUAGGAACUCUUAAAUUGGGUACUGAAAAAUCGAAUCUCUGAACUUCGUAACGGACUUGCAGGACGGACUGUCACAGGUGUGACGGACCGUCACAGGUGUGACGGACCGUUACAGUGUCCUUAGUGAAAAUAAAGUCCUGGCCCUCACGACGACCUGAGUGACGAACCGUCGCAGUCACGACGGCCCAUCACAGGUUACGCAAUCCCAGUUAGAAUCGGAUUUCUUUACACGUUUUAAGGGACGUUUUGGACUAUUCUUCCCUUAAUUAUAGAUUUCGUGGGUUUAUAUUAAUAACUCAAAUUCUUGGGGGUUAAAAGGAGGUAACCCUAAGUUAAUUAGUGGGGUAUUAUUACCAUCUUUUACACUUAGUUAUAUGUUAAUUAGGGCAAAGAAAGAGGGUUUUGAAUAAGAAAAGAGAAAAGAAAAGAGGGAGAUAGAUUGAUCGAUUGAGAGAGAGAGUCGAACGAGGAAGAAGAAUAUCAAAGCUUGGGAGAUUGCUUGUUGAUUCCAAUUCUUCGGUGGAGGUAGGUUAUGGUUAUUUCAUGCUAUUCGUAGUAAACUCUUAAUAGCGAAUGAUAUGCGUUAGUAGUAUUGUAAACCUUCUAUAUGCUUAAUUGUAUGCUUGCAUGAAUGAUGUAAUUAUGUAAUUGUGAAUAAAUAAGCAUGAUGAAGCUAUUGAAUCUCAAAUCUUGAAAAGAAACCCUAAUCUACUUUGUUAAUGAUGAUGCCUUGGUAUAAAAGAAGGCUUGAUGAACGAAAGUGGUGAGAUUAGGGGAUCGGGUGCCACGUUCCGGUACCAGGAUAGAAUAUGGAUCGGGUGUCACGUUCCGACACAAGGAUAGAAUAUGGAUCGGGUGCCACGUUCCGGUACAAGGAUAGAAUAUGGAAUGGGUGCCACGUUCCGAUACCAGGAUAGAAUAUGGAUCGGGUGUCACGUUCCGACACCAGGAUAGAAUAUGGAUUGGGUGCCACGUUCCGGUACCAGGAUAGUAUAUGAGGAUCGGAGUGUCACGUUCCGACACCAGGAUAGAAUAUGGAUCGGGUGCCACGUUCCGGUACCAGGAUAGAAUGAGGAUCGGAGUGUCACGUUCCGACACCAGGAUAGUAUAUUGAGGAGCGGAGUGUCACGUACCGACACGAGGAGAAUAAAGAUAAUGAAUCUUGAAAUAUGUUAAUAUAUCCAAUCUAAUGAACUAAAUUCCCAAAUGAGUAUGAUGAGGAGGUGUGAGUCCUCAUUGAUGUGCUUGGUGUUGUAACCAAGGGUUAUGGUAACUAUAAAUGCUGCAUGCUAAGGAUAUUAGUUGAUUUUAUGAUAUUGCCUAAUACAUACUGUUUUCUAUUUUGAGUUGGCCGAUGAUAUCUACUCAGUACCCGUGUUUUGUACUGACCCCUACUUUUAUGUUUUUCUUCUUGUUAUUUGUGGAGUGCAGCAAACGUGCCGUCAUCUUUGACUCAACAGUAAUUUAAGCCAGUCUUCGUCACACCGGAUCUUCAGGGUGAGCUAACGCUUCUAGCUUGGACUGGAUCUUCUCCUUCAUGUCUUGAUGCCUUGAACCUCCGGCAUGGACUAGCUUCUUAUGUAUUUUUAGCUUUUACAAAACUCUUACAAUUAGUAAUUUAAAGUAGAUGUUCCUGUGAUGACGACUUCCAGGUUUUGGGAAUAAUAGAUGUUGAAUAUUGAUAGUUAUUGAAUUGGUUUUUAUUAAUGAGUUUAAGUCUUCCGCAUUAUUUUCUGUUGAUGUUACAUUGAAAUGUUAAGGUUUAGAUUAGUUGGUUCGCUCACAUAGGAGGGUAAGUGUGGGUGCCAGUCGCGGCCCGGAUUUGGGUCGUGACAAAAUACCUAUUAUAUCAAUAAUCCACUAAAAAGUUAUUGUUGGUUCAAUUAAGAAAUUAAACAAUACUAAAGUUAUUAAUACAUGAAUAAAGUGUUUCAAUUAAGAAAAAGGUGUAACUAUCUUAUGAAAUAUAUGGCAGAUAAAGACUAAAGUAAAGAAUUUUGAUGCAGUUGAACUUAUGAUUGUAAUAUAUGGGCUAAAAUUUAUAUGUUGAGCUUGAGCAAAUUGUAAGUUAAACACUUAUAUUACUUAAAAUUUAACAAAAUAUUUAUAUUUUAUUUAUGAACAAUAUCGUUAUAAAAUUUAUUGGUUCGAUUUGGUUAUUUUUGCAGUUAUUUUUUAAUAAAAUUAAAGUCAAAUCAAAUAGUAUCGAUUUGUCAAAAUGCAAAAUCAAAUAUAAUCACAUCAAAUCAAAUAUCGUUUUUUUAAAUUGGUUUGAUUCAUAUUGUGAUUCGAUUUUAUUUUUUAACCCUAACCAUGAACAACCCUACUGGUGAAUAUUAACUUAUUUGACAAUUUAAUUUAUUUAUAUAUUUUCUAAAAAUGGCACACAUCCCAAGUAAAUAUAAUUUUGAGUUUAUCAUUUAUAUAAUUUUAAAAAAUGAAGUCAAAUUUCAUUUGUCUAUUUGUUUUCUAAAUAAAAUUAUAAAUUAAAAGUAAAAUAAUAUCUUUUUAUUUAAAUUGUGAGUUGAUCCUUUUUAUAUUUAAAAAUAAUGAAGUUGGAAUUACUUAAUUUUAAAAAUAGAAAUAAUAAAAUAUUAUAAGUUAUAUUUUAUAUCACGAUAAUAAACUUAUGUUCUUAAAUUUGAUCGUAAUUAUUUCUAAUUCUUGGCUAACCUUUUGGUGUUUAAAUAUAAGUUUUUCUUUACAUAUUAUUAGAGUCAUAUAUUUUUAUGAAUCAUUUUUUAUUCUCUCUACAAUUCUUAUAAAUAGUGUUAGGAUGGGUAUUCUCAUCCUCAUAUUUCAAAAAAAAUGUCAGAACAAAGUCAUUUGAUUUUCAUGACACAUCUACUCGACUUGUAUGUUCUCCGAUUAUUUCUAUCACAACCUUAGAAGCCAAGAGUUGAUAUCUCAUUCUAACUUAAGAUUCUUAUGGUUUUUGAGUGCAGGAGAAUCAUGAAUGGAGGCUUUUUGUCGACUCUUUGAUCUUAGAAAGGGAAGGUUAUUUUCUUUCCAACGAUUUUAGUAAGUAUCAUUGGUAAAAAAUCAUUUUAAUAAUUAAUUUAUUGAAAUUUUUAGUCAUAGUUAAAAUCUCAUUCUAACCUAAUAUUCUUGUGGUUCUUAAGUGCAUGAGAAACAAGAACGGUAGGUUCUUGUCGAUUCGUUGAUAUGAAAAAUGAACGGUGAUUUUCUUUUCUGAUAAUUUUAGUAAGUACUAGUCUUGGACACGUGCAACGCACGUAUACCAUACUAAUUUAUAUUGAAUCAUUAGAAUUAAUGAUCAAUGUAUUUCUGAUAGAAUAAAGUUUUAUAUAUAACUAAUAGAAAUUUCAUUUUGAUCUAUGAAAGUAUUCUUGCAAUGAAAACAUUUUUCUAGCCUAAAGUUUUAGUUAGAGAACUGAUUGGUUAAAGGCUUAAGGUGACAAUAAAAUUAAAAAAUAAAAUAUGCUAAGAAAUCACGUGAACAUCCAGCAAAUAAAUGCAACAAGAAACAAAUAUAGAAAAAUAUAAAGAUAAUAACAGUGACCUACAUACUUGAUAACAUUCCAUAUAUUCAUUAUACAAAAAAAAAAUAGAAAUAAUUGAGUUAGUCAAAAUUCUUAUUGGUAAAACAAUUUCUUCUUCUGCUAUUCAACUCACUCCACCAUAAAAAAGGAAUUACUACACGUUGAGUUUUGGAUUGAAACCCUAUCACGUAUCCAUAUGUGUGAAUGUUUUCCAUAAGUUCACAUGAAUAGUAAACAAUAAAUAUAUCAAAUCAGUUUAAUUGAACUAACUUUUUAGUUUCCCUAAAAAUUGUUACACUUCCAAAUAAUUUUAGGGGCAACACUGCACACUCGUAUAGUUCGAUCAUCAAAUGUAUAUAAAAGAUAUGAAUUAGACUAAGUGUUUUACUUAACAUCAAUUUGUGAUUUAAUACUAUAUUCACAUCUCAUAGGAGGGACGCAAUCGUUUAAUAAUAAAUACAUAAUGAACAUAUGAUUAGUUGUUAUACAUAUAUGAACCUAGUUCAUCCGAUCUCCAAUUACAUAAAUUGGAUUUUUAUCAUUGUUAAUUUUCUCAAAUUAAAAAAAAUCACAAUAGCUCUUGGAUGUUUCGUUAGUCUUUGAAUUAAUCUGAAAAUUUUGAUGUAAGUCCAAGCACACUUAUGAAAAUAGAAAAUAUUUGUUACUGUAGUGUUAAUAACGAUAUAAGUAAAUAAGUUACUUUUUGUUUUUUGUGUUUUUUAUGAGAACAAUUAGGUUUAUAGUCAAAUUUUGCAUCAUUUCUACUUUGUUUUAAUUUGCAAAAUAAAAUACAAUUAGUUGAAUUAAUUUGCCUUUUCAAUUUACCUCGGUGUGUUCUAUAUGACAAGGAAAAAGAAAACUAAUUACAAAUUUUCUAACCUAAUGAAGGUAUAUGUAUUGAUGUUUGUGGUAAGCAAAUGAAUUAAUGGGCACCAUAUUCUUAUUUUAAUUAAUUGAUACUAAUUUACAUGAAGAGUGCCUACAAAUUAAAUAUGAGAAAAUUACUGCCCAUAAAUAAACUAGACGCAAUAUUACGAAACUUCUGAUACUUUUUAAUCUUUAAUAAAUAUAAUUAUAUAUUACAAAAUAUAGCAAAGUGCAAUAAAUUAGAAAGUGGAGCCUUUUUCUAGAUUUUAGACUUUACAUAUGGGCUAAAUUUGGUUCCGAUAAUCUCGUGAUCUUUCAUUAUUAUCAAUGAUUUCCUUCAAAUAUUUUAUCAAUCAAUUCUUCAUCAAAGUUUUAGUCUUUCAUCAAAAAUUUUAUUAUUUGAUGUUCCUCUCUUGUCAUAUAUAGUUUAUUUUUUGGCCAAUACUAGCUUAUAGACUUAAAAAAUUACGCUUCUUUCUUCCCUAACCAUGUCUUGAGAAAAUGUAAAGGGAAAACAAAUAAUAAUCACAAUUUUUAUCUUGCACUUAACACAUAAGCAUCGAAUGUUAUCAAUAUGUAUCCUCAUUGUCUAAACAACUCAUUCUUCGCGUUGAAGAUUUUCAUUCUUGAUUUCUGAGUGAAUUAGGUGCAAAUACUAAUAUUCUGAUUAUCAUCUAUCUAACUUUCUUUCUAUUUUUAGAAUAUCAAAUUGAAAAUACUACUUAUUUCGGUGCCUACCAUUUAUGAGGUUUUUCGUUUUUCUCCUUUUUCUAAAAUGAAGUGUUUAGUUGUAAUGACCUGUUUAGUCGUUUUGAGCAGCAGAUUUUAUUUCUGGAAAAACAGGCUGAGACGACGGAACCCACGACGAAACGUCAUGGGCACGACGGACCGUCGAGGGUGUCUCGUCCCAAAACACUUAGAAAUUCUGAAAUUUGGGUGCUGAAAUCGACUCUCUGAACUUUGUAACGAAAUGGCAGGACGGACCGUCACAGGUGUGACGGACCGUCACCGGUGUGACGGACCGUCACCGGUGUGACGGACUGUCACAAGCCCUUGGUGGAAAUUUGGGUCUCUGAACUUUGCGACGACCUACAGGACGGACCGUCGCAGGCGCGACGGACCGUCACAGCUUGCGUAAUCCCAGUUGGAGUCAGAUUUCUGGUUAAGUUUUAAGGGACGUUUUUGACUAUUCUUGCCUUAAUUAUAAAGUUAGUGGGUUAAUGUCAAUAAGUCUAAUUACUUGGGGGUUAAAAGAGGUAACCUUAAGUUAAUUAGUGGGGCAUUACUGCCAUCUUUUAUCCUUAAUUAUACACUAAUUAGGGUAAAAGAAAGAGGGUUUGAAUAAAGAAAAUAGAAAGAACAAGAGAAAGAGAGAGAAAGUUGAACGAGAAAGAGGAGAAACGAAGAGGACACAAAGCUUUGGGAAUUUGCUUGCUUGAUUUCUAAUCUUCGGUGGAGGUAGGUUAUGGUUUUCAUGCUAUUCGUAGUAAACUCUUAAUAGUGAAUGAUAUGCAUUAGUAGUAUUGUAAACCCUUCUAUAUGCUUAAUUGUAUGCUUGCAUGAAUGAUGUGAUUAUGUAAUUAUGAAUAAAUAAGCAUGAUGAAGCUAUUGAAUCCCAAAUCUUGAAAAGAAACCCUAAUCUACUUUGUUAAUGAUAAUGCCUUGGUAUAAAAGAAGGUUUGAUGAAUGAAAGUAGUGAGAUUAGGGGAUCGGGUGCCACGUUCCGGUACCAGGAUAGAAUAUGGAUCGGGUGUCACGUUCCGACACCAGGAUAGAAUAUGGAUCGGGUGCCACGUUCCGACACCAGGAUAGAAUAUGGAUCGGGUGCCACGUUCCGAUACCAGGAUAGAAUAUGGAUCGGGUGUCACGUUCCGACACCAGGAUAGAAUAUGGAUCGGGUGCCACAUUCCGGUACCAGGAUAGAAUGAGGAUCGGAGUGUCACGUUCUGACACCAGGAUAGUAUAUUGAGGAGCGGAGUGUCACGUACCGACACGAGGGGAAUAAAGAUAAUGAAUCUUGAAAUAUGUUAAUAUAUCCAAUCUAAUGAACUAAAUUCCUGAAUGAGUAUGAUGAGGAGGUGUAAGUCCUCAUUGAUGUGCUUGGUGUUGUAACCAAGGGUUAUGGUACCUGUAAAUGUUGCAUGCUAAGGAUAUUAGUUGAUUUUAUGAUAUUGCUUUAUACAUACUGUUUUCUAGUUUGAGUUGGCCGAUGAUAUCUACUCAGUACCCAUGUUUUGUACUGACCCCUACUUUUAUUGCUUUCUUCUUGUUUAUUUGUGGAGUGCAGCAAACGUGCCAUCGUCUUCAACUCAACAGUAAUUCAAGCCAGUCUUACUACAUCGGAAAUUCAGGGUGAGCUAAUGCUUCUAGCUUGGACUGGAUCUUCUUCUUCAAGUCUUGAUGCCUUGAACUUCCGGCAUGGACUAGCUUCUUAUGUAUUUUUAGCUUUUAGAAUACUCUUAGUUUAGUCGUUUGAUCGUAGAUGUUCUUGUGAUGAUGACUUCCAGGUUUUGGGGAAUAAUAGAUGUUGAAUUUUAGAAGUUAAUGAAUUGGUCUUUAUUUAAUGAGUUUAAGUCUUCCGCAUUACUUUCUAUUGAUAUUAUAUUGAAAUGUUAAGGUUAGAUUGGUUGGUUCGCUCACAUAGGAGGGUAAGUGUGGGUGUCAGUCGCGGCCCGGAUUUGGGUCGUGACAAACUUGGUAUCAGAGCAUUAGGUUCGUUGGUCUCAUCACACAAGAACAGGUCUAGUAGAGUCUUAAGGAACGGUAGGGGGACGCCUUUACUUUUCCUUGAAAGGCUAUAAGACUUUAGGAAAAUUUUACUCUCUCACUCUUUCUUUCGUGCUACUACUUGAGUCCAAUUGGUAUCUAGGCGAUACGAAUUGGUAUCUGACUAUCUUCUCUCUCUUUCGCAGAUGGUUAGAACUAGAGCAACGACUACGCCAACACCAACACCGGCCAGACAAGAAACAACUGAGCCGGCCACUGGGGCUGUGGCUCGUGGAAGAACAGCGGCAAGGGUCCGUGGUAGAGGUCGUGGGAGGACGUCCUCUAGGGGAAGAGGACGAGCGCCUAGCCCAUCUGAUACUAGGGCAGUGACUCCUCCACCGACUGAGAAAGUAAUAAGAGAAGGGGAGGAUGGGGAAACUGAACAAGUGCAGAAUGAAGGAUUGCCACCCAAACCUACCCUAGAGAUGAUCAAUCAGGUUCUGGCUUAUCUUAGCGGGUUAUCUGAUCAGGGCCAGACACCCCCAGUGUUUUCUGCACCAGCACCUCAGGCUCCGGAGGUAUAACAUGCGGCUACUAUGGCUCCCCACAUGGAUGUUCCAUUGGAAAUAGGCACGUUUCCAUGUCUGACUACUGAGCCUAUAAUGACAAAUGAUCAGCAUGAACUUUUUCAGUAAGUUCUUGAAAUUGAAACCUCCAGUCUUCAAGGGUGCAGAAUCUGAGGAUGCUUACGAUUUUCUGGUUGACUGUCAUGAGCUACUACACAAGAUGGGUAUAGUAGAACGGUUUGGUGUUGAGUUCGUGAGUUAUCAGUUUCAAGGGAACGCCAAAAUGUGGUGGCGGUCACAUAUUGAGUGUCAACUAACAGAGGCACCACCUAUGACUUGGGCCUCAUUCUCUAGCUUGUUUAUGGAGAAGUAUAUCCCCCGAACUUUGAGGGAUAGGAAAAGGGAUGAGUUCUUGAGCCUAGAGCAAGGUAGGAUGUCGGUCAAUGCAUAUGAGGCUAAGUUUCGUGCAUUAUCCCGGUAUGCCACCCAACUGUGUUUUAGUCCACAAGAGCGAAUUCGCCGGUUUGUGAAGGGGUUGAGGUCAGAAUUGCGGUUUUCGGUCUUACAAAUAGCCGCAACGGCAAAAUCCUUCCAAGAGGUGGUAGACUUUGUGAUAAAAGUGGAAGGAGUGAAGCCAGAUGACUUCACCCCGACAUUGACAUCAAAAAGGUUUCGAAAGGGAGGUGAGUUUAAUGGUGCUUACACUAGAGGACAGGGUUCGGGAAGUUACUCAGUCUGACCAAUUCAGUCUUCACUACAGACUGUAGUUGGGGGUCCAUCUCCGACCGGUCAACCCUUCUCUGAGACACCUAUGCAUGAACCCAGAGAGUGCUAUGGAUGUGGGAAGAUUGGACAUAUUAAGAGAUAUUGUCCAAAAUAGAGUUACAGACCUCCAAAUGUUAGAGGUAGAGGUGGUCAUGGCAGAGGCCGUUAUUCUGGAGGAAGUGGUGGUCGAGGAAAUGGUGGUCACCAAAACGGUCGAGGUGAUGGGCAAACUGGAGCCACUACAUCACAACAUGGUAGGGGCAACGGACAGACGAACGAUAGGGCCCAUUGUUACGCUUUCCCUGGGCGGUCUGAAGCGGAGGCAUCUGAUGCUGUCAUCACAGGUAAUCUUCUGGUUUGUGAUUGCAUGGCCUCUGUAUUGUGUGAUCCUGGAUCCACAUUUUCUUAUGUAUCUUCCUCAUUUGCUAAUGGUCUAACUUUACAUUGUGAAUUACUUGAUAUGCCUAUUCGUGUUUCUACUCCGGUGGGUGAGUCUGUGGUAGUUGAAAAGGUAUAUAGGUCUUGUUUGGUGAAAUUUGUGGGGAGCAACACUUAUGUAGAUUUGGUUAUCUUAGAAAUGGAUGAUUUUGAUGUAAUUCUGGGUAUGACUUGGCUUUCUCCGCAAUUUGCGAUUUUGGAUUGUAAUGCUAAAACGGUGACGAUAGCCAAGCCUAGGACAGAUCCGUUAGUUUGGGAGGGUGACUACACUUCCAAUCCGGUGCGUAUAAUCUCCUUUCUUCGUGCUAAGAAGAUGGUUAGUAAAGGGUGUUUAGAUUUCUUGGCACAUCUCAAGGAUGACACUACCCAAGUACCCUCGAUUGAGUCGGUUUCGGUGGUCCGUGAGUUUCUGGAUGUGUUCCCUGCAGAUCUUCCUGGUAUGCCACCAGAUAGGGAUAUUGAUUUUUGUAUUGACCUUGAACCGGGUACUCGCCCCAUUUCGAUACCCCCUUAUUGAAUGGCUCCCGCGGAGUUAAGAGAGUUAAAAGCCCAACUUCAAGAGUUGUUAAACAAAGGUUUUAUUAGACCAAGUGCAUCUCCUUGGGGUGCUCCGGUUUUGUUUGUAAAGAAGAAGGAUGGGAGUUUUCGAAUGUGUAUAGACUACAGACAACUAAACAAGGUAACCAUAAAGAAAAAGUAUCCUCUUCCCCGCAUUGAUGACUUGUUCGAUCAAUUACAAGGUGCUUGUGUCUUCUCUAAGAUUGACUUGAGAUCCGGUUGUCAUCAAUUGAAAAUACGGGCAACGGAUGUGCCAAAGACUGCUUUUCGAACGAGGUACGGGCAUUACGAAUUUGUAGUGAUGUCUUUUGGUCUAACGAAUGCCUCUGCUGCGUUCAUGAGCUUGAUGAACGAGAUUUUUAAGCCUUAUUUGGACCUCUUCGUGAUCGUAUUUAUUGAUGAUAUAUUGGUACACUCAAAGAGCAAGAAGGAACAUGAAGAGCAUUUGAGAAUGGUAUUGGAAAUGUUGAGGGAGAAAAAGCUUUAUGCCAAGUUCUUUCAGUGUGAGUUUUGGCUAGAUGCAGUGUCCUUCUUGGGGCACGUGGUUUCUAAGGAUGGAGUGAUGGUAGAUCCUUCUAAGAUUGAGACAGUGAAGAAUUGGGUAAGACCCACUAACGUGUCAGAAAUAAGGAGCUUUGUUGGGUUAGCUAGUUACUACCGCCGAUUUGUCAAGGGAUUCUCUUCUAUUGCUUCCCAAUUGACGAACUUGACUAAGCAGAAUGUUCCAUUUGUAUGGUCGGACGAAUGUGAGGAAAGCUUUCAGAAGCUCAAGACUUUGUUGACUACCGCACCUAUCCUUACCUUGCCAGUAGAGGGUAAGAACUUCAUUGUUUAUUGUGAUGCAUCCUAUUCUGGUUUGGGUGCAGUACUAAUGCAAGAGAAGAGUGUGAUUGCUUAUGCUUCAAGGCAACUAAAGGUGCAUGAACGUAACUAUCCGACCCACGAUUUGGAAUUGGCUGCGGUGGUGUUUGCAUUAAAGCAAUGGAGACACUAUUUAUAUGGGGUUAAGUGUGAGAUCUAUACGGAUCAUCGUAGCCUACAGUAUGUCUUUACUCAGAAAGAUUUGAACUUGAGACAGAGGAGAUGGAUGGAACUACUAAAGGACUACGACAUCACUAUUUUGUAUCAUCCGGGGAAGGCGAAUGUUGUAGCGGAUGCUUUAAGUAGAAAGGUGGGAAGCAUGGAAGUCUAGCUCACUUGCAAGCUUCUAGACGCCCUUUGUCUAGAGAGGUUCAGACUCUAGCUAAUGACUUGAUGAGAUUAGAAGUAAAUGAGAAAGGAGGAUUGUUGGCUAGUGUGGAGUCAAGAUCUUCUUUUCUUGACAAGAUUAAGGGAAAACAGUUUGAUGACGAGAAACUAAGAAGAAUCCAAGAUAAGGUAUUGCGAGGAGAGGCUAAGGAAGUACAAAUCGAUGAGGAAGGUGUUUUUAAAAUCAAGGGAAGGGUAUGUGUACCCCGCGUCGAUGAUUUGAUCAACACUAUUCUGACGAAGGCUCAUAGUUCAAGGUAUUCUAUACAUCCGGGUGCAACCAAGAUGUAUCGUGACCUAAAAUAACACUUUUGGUGGAGUAGAAUGAAGCGUGAUAUUGUUGACUUUAUUGCCAAGUGUCCAAACUGUCAACAAGUAAAGUAUGAACACCAAAGGCCCGGAGGAACACUUCAGAGAAUGCCCAUUCCGGAAUGGAAGUGGGAAAGAAUUGCAAUGGACUUUGUGGUUGGUCUUCAAAAGACAAUGGGGAAGUAUGACUCCAUUUGGGUGAUUGUUGAUAGGUUAACUAAAUCUGCUCAUUUCAUUCCGGUAAAGAUGACUUACAAUACAGAGAAGUUAGCCAAGAUCUAUAUCUCAGAAAUCAUUCGAUUACAUGGGGUUCCACUAUCCAUCAUAUCAGAUAGAGGUACGCAGUUUACUUCUAAGUUUUGGAAAACAUUGCAUGCGGAGUUGGGUACUAGGUUGGACUUUAAGACUGCGUUCCAUCCUCAGACCGAUGGUCAGUCUGAAAGGACGAUUCAAGUGUUGGAGGAUAUGCUUCGUGCAUGUGUGAUAGAGUUUGGUGGCCAUUGGGAUAGCUUCCUACCCUUAGCGGAGUUUUCAUACAAUAAUAGCUAUCACUCAAGUAUUGAUAUGGCCCCAUUUGAAGCAUUGUAUGGGAGGAGAUGUAGGUCUCCCAUUGAUUGGUUUAAUGCAUUCGAGGUUAGACCUUGGGGUACUGACCUUUUGAGGGAUUCGAUAGAGAAAGUGAAGUCUAUUCAAGAAAAGCUUCUAGCGGCGCAAAGUAGACAAAAAGAAUAUGCAGAUCGAAAGGUUAGAGACUUAGAGUUCAUGGAAGGUGAACAAGUCUUGUUGAAGGUUUCGCCAAUGAAAGGGGUGAUGCGAUUUGGUAAGCGAGGUAAACUUAGCCCAAGGUAUAUUGGUCCAUUUGAAGUACUUAAGCGAGUAGGGGAGGUGGCUUAUGAGUUAGCCUUGCCUCCAGGGCUGUCCGGAGUGCAUCCGGUAUUCCAUGUGUAUGUUGAAAAGAUAUCAUGGGGAUGGAAAUUACAUUAUCCGUUGGGAUUCAGUUUUGCUUGAUGAGAAUUUGUCUUAUGAGGAGGAGCCUGUUGCUAUUUUAGAUAGAGAAGUUCGCAAGUUGAGGUCAAGAGAGAUUGCAUCCAUCAAAGUUCAAUGGAAGAAUCGACCCGUUGAAGAAGCCACUUGGGAGAAGGAGGCGGAUAUGCGAGAAAAAUACCCAUAUCUGUUUACAGAUUCAGGUACUCCUUUUCGCCCUUGUUUUCCUUCUUGUGAUCGUUCGGGGACGAACGGUGGGUAAAUUGGUAUCUAAUGUAAUGACCUAUUUAGUCGUUUUAAGCAGCAGAUUUUAUUUCUGGAAAAACAGGCUGAGACGACGGAACCCACGAUGAAACGUCAUGGGCACGACGGACCGUCGAGGGUGUCUCGUCCCAAAACACUUAGAAAUUCUGAAAUUUGGGUGCUGAAAUCGACUCUCUGAACUUUGUAACGAAAUGGCAGGACGGACCGUCACAGGUGUGACAGACCGUCACAGGCCCUUGGUGGAAAUUUGGGUCUCUGAACUUUGCGACGACCUGCAGGACGGACCGUCGCAGGCGCGACGGCCCGUCACAGCUUGCGUAAUCCCAGUUGGAGUCGGAUUUCUGGUUAAGUUUUAAGGGACGUUUUUGACUAUUCUUGCCUUAAUUAUAAAGUUAGUGGGUUAAUGUCAAUAAGUCUAAUUACUUGGGGGUUAAAAGAGGUAACCUUAAGUUAAUUAGUGGGGCAUUACUGCCAUCUUUUAUCCUUAAUUAUACACUAAUUAGGGUAAAAAAAAGAGGGUUUGAAUAAAGAAAAUAGAAAGAACAAGAGAAAGAGAGAGAAAGUUGAACGAGAAAGAGGAGAAACGAAGAGGACACAAAGCUUUGGGAAUUUGCUUGCUUGAUUUCUAAUCUUCGGUGGAGGUACCAGGAUAGAAUAUGGAUCGGGUGUCACGUUCCGACACCAGGAUAGAAUAUGGAUCGGGUGUCACGUUCCGACACCAGGAUAGAAUAUGGAUCGGGUGCCACGUUCCGACACCAGGAUAGAAUAUGGAUCGGGUGCCACGUUCCGGUACCUGGAUAGAAUAUGGGUCGGGUGUCACGUUCCGACACCAGGAUAGAAUAUGGAUCGGGUGCCACGUUCCGGUACCAGGAUAGAAUGAGGAUCGGAGUGUCACAUUCCGACACCAGGAUAGUAUAUUGAGGAGCGGAGUGUCACGUACCGACACGAGGGGAAUAAAGAUAAUGAAUCUUGAAAUAUGUUAAUAUAUCCAAUCUAAUGAACUAAAUUCCCGAAUGAGUAUGAUGAGGAGGUGUGAGUCCUCAUUGAUGUGCUUGGUGUUGUAACCAAGGGUUAUGGUACCUGUAAAUGCUGCAUGCUAAGGAAAUUAGUAGAUUUUAUGAUAUUGCUUAAUACAUACUGUUUUCUACUGACCCCUACUUUUAUUGCUUUCUUCUUGUUUAUUUGUGGAGUGCAGCAAACGUGCCAUCGUCUUCAACUCAAUAGUAAUUCAAGCCAGUCUUACUACAUCGGAAAUUCAGGGUGAGCUAAUGCUUCUAGCUUGGACUGGAUCUUCUUCUUCAAGUCUUGAUGCCUUGAACUUCCGGCAUCGACUAGCUUCUUAUGUAUUAUUAGCUUUUAGAAUACUCUUAGUUUAGUCGUUUGAUCGUAGAUGUUCUUGUGAUGAUGACUUCCAGGUUUUGGGGAAUAAUAGAUGUUGAAUUUUAGAAGUUAAUGAAUUGGUCUUUAUUUAAUGAGUUUAAGUCUUCCGCAUUACUUUCUAUUGAUAUUAUAUUGAAAUGUUAAGGUUAGAUUGGUUGGUUCGCUCACAUAGGAGGGUAAGUGUGGGUGCCAGUCGCGCCCCGGAUUUGGGUCGUGACAUUAGUGUUUGUUCUCUUCAAAACUUUCAACUAACCAAUAACAAUGAAGCUAAUCGUGUUAUGUUUUAAUAAUUGAUAUAUGAUUAUAACCAUGUUUUGUUACUGCUGAACAUAGAGUUGGGCUAUAUAUCAGUACAACAAUUUUUCUUGCUAACUUUUCUUCAAUCUUUUAAAUCUUACGCUGAGAAAUUUUAUGAAUUAAAGAUUAAAAUUAUAAUUCCUUAUAUAGAUAGAAAUCGGAUCAUAUUGACUUCAAUAUAAUAUUAAAUCUAGUUUCAAUUUAGUUAAUUUUGAUUUUCUUACUAAAACAACAUACAAGUGAAUGAGGGUAAAAAUUUAGAUGUUGAACAUUUUGUCAAUUGGUUUUAGGGGUGGGCAUUCGGUAAUUCGGUUCGGUUUCGGUUUUUUAAUUUUCGGUUCUUGUACAAUGUGUACUGAACACCGAACCAAAAUAAUUAUUUUGGUUCGACUUUGUUAUUUCGGUUUUUUUUAAUGGGCCUACUUAGUUGGGUUUUAAAAAUUUACAAAUUUUUUUGUUUGAUUUUCAGCUUAAUGGGCUAAAAGUAGUUACAUCAAAAAGUGUCUUUUACUUUUUAUCUUUUUAUUUUAAAUUAUAAUAUUUAUUAUUUAACAUUAAUAAUUAAUAUAAUAUAAAUAUAUAUUAUAAUAUAUUAUAUUUCGGUAAACCGAAAUACAGAAUAACACAAAAUUACAUAUCAAAAACCGAAUCGGAAUAUCAAAAAAUACAAAAACACAUAUCGAAUACUAAACCGAAAACCGAAAAAUCAAAAUCGAAAUACCAAAAAAGUUCAGUUCGGUACGGUUUUUUGGUUUUCCGGUGUUUAUGGUCAGCCCUAAUUGGUUUUUCUAUAAAUAUUUGGCUGAGAAAUCUACUAACUUCGUUUUCUAUUUUUUCUAUGGACCCCUUUCACUAGAUUACUUUACUGACUGAAAUUCAGUCAAAAAGAGUAAAGAAACUUAAGUUUGACAAAAUUAUUUUUAAACUUUUUUGGUUUAGAAACACAUAAAAAGGUCAAUCUAGACAGACAAUACACUUUAUUCAACACAUAUUUACUAUUAAUUUAUAUUUUUGACGGGGGGUUUAAAAUAAAAUAAUGUGAGUUUUAGAGAAAAGAAUGUAAGAAGACAAACAAAGUUUUCUUCAUUUCUUCUAUUUGAUUGAGAUUAAGGAGAAUAAAUAUUUAUUUUUAUAAAAAUGAUACGUUUGUCAUAAACAAAUAUUUCUAUGAAAUAUUAACACAAAAAUUAUUUUUGGGGAAAAAUUGAGGCCCCCUAAAAUUGGGGGCCUAAGGCAUGUUCCUUAUUUUUAUAAGCAGUGAGCCGACACUGAUCACAAGGGUAUUGAUGACUAAACAAAAUCUCUAUGAAAAUUUAUUUUCUCCAAAACUAAAUAAAGAUUUAAUAACUCGGUGAGAUAUACCUUUAAUCUUCAUUCUUUAAUCAUUCAAAACUGAAAAGUACUAGAUAUCAUUUUAUAAUUACAAAAGUUUUAAAAUUUACACUUCAAAAACGACACUUCGUAAAAUAAUUCACAACAAAAUGUAUAAUAGAAUAUCACAAUAAAAGCUUCGAACCCAAAAGUAUUCGACAUGAAAUCAGCAAGAUAACAAAAUCUUCGAAUUCCAAAGUCAUUUAGAAACACCGAUUAAAAAGAAAUAAAGGGUUAUAUACAUGAUCACAUAGAUAUACAUAUAUCUAAAAUGCAUGAAUAAAUUAUAAAAUAGUUGCAACAAUUUGAGUGAAACAAUGGAGAAGCAUUUGAUAAAAAAUAGUUUAAUUGUAAAAGGAAGGAAAGAGUGAGUAGUUCUUGAAUUUCCACCCAAAAAAUAAUUAUCAUGAACUAGUAGUUAAUAUUUUUCUAUGUUUACAAGCUCAGAUAUAAAGAGAAAUGAAGACUGAUACAUAAUUGUGUGUUCUCUCUCUCAAUAUAUAGAGAAAAAUAAAUCUAAUUUAAUGAACGAAUCUAGAAGUUUCUAAAUCUACAUUCAAGAUGAUCGGUCAACGGAAAUUUGUUACAAUUUAUUACGCAAUAAUAAAAUUGUAAGAUAUAUAAUCAUCUUAUUAAAUACUAGUUAAUAAGUAAGGUAUUUAUAAUAAAUGAAACUAGACAUUUAUAAAAAUAUUUUUUUUUGAGUUAUCCUAAUCAUGUUUUUUACAAUCCACCAUAUAGCAAAAGGAACAAUAAUGAAUAGAAAAAAAAGUUUUAGUUGGAUUUUCACAUAUGAAUACAGUGCUUUAGUUCUUGUAGACGCUGAAUCGAACUUAAAUUAAUUUUAUAAAAUAAUUGAUGAAGUUUAGAAUUUGUAUGAAUCAAGAAUUGUUUUAUUCACUCAAAGUUUUAUUAUAUCACAUUAUAUUCACAAUAUUAUUAUUAUCGUUGUCGUGAUUUUUGCACUCUCAAGCUAUACCUGUACAAUGAUAUUCAUGAGUGCUUUAAAAAGAUUAUUAUGAUUUCAUAUAAACAACACAAAUUUACGAAUAUAUAGAUCCAAUCAUCAAAUAUAUUACCUAUACAAGAUAUAAAUUUGAUUAAACGUUUAACACAAUCUUACUUUGCGAUAUAACAUUAAAUUAAACCUAUAAAUAUAGAGGAAAACUAAUUACAAAUUUUCUUAACUUAAUGAAGGUAUUACAAUUUUUCUUAACCUAAUGAAGGUAUAGUUGUUGAUUGCUAAUGUACAAUUCAACUGUGGUGAGUUUUCAGGUACGUAUACAAUGCGUUGAAUUCAGUGUGUUAGACUAUGAACUGUAUCUUGAUAAAGUAAGAUUAAACUUAUAGAAUAAUUGGUGAAGUUAACAACUUUUAUAUGGACCCUCAAUUCUUAUAUAAGAAUAAGAUAUUAUGUCACUCCCUGAUAUUACCCCUAAAUCGGACACGGUACUUAACUAGAGCCACAAGUUACCCCAAACUAGUCUCAUGGUGUGAUGUGACACUAAGAUUAACAUAAAUCAAUAGAAAAUUGAAACAUAAACACGAAAUCUAAAUUUGAUAUAUAUAUAUAUAUAUAUAUAUAUAUAAUGUCCAUAACACAGAGAUAGACUGAUAUAUCUAACCUAAGCUGAAUCUAUAUCGAUAAUGACUGUUUGAAAGCCUUUAGUAAUAUGAGCCGCUAGGAGAAACCUCUAGCUAAUAACUCCAAAUGUCUAAAACUGAAAGUAACAACUGAAAAGAAAGAUAAAAGUACUUUUCUUUGAAGUGACGAUGAGAACUUUCCAACAAUGUUGCUCGAUGAUCAAAGGUAAUAAUAACCACGGACUGGAUACUAAACACCAGAGACCUAUAUUAUCAAAUGAUAGUAUGUUAUCAAUACUUUUUGUUACCUCACGGGGGUGAAUUAACGUAAUGAGAAUAUUACCUUUGGUGAUCAAGAUUAUCAUCAUGUAUGUCCAUUGUUGCCUCCAUUAGAAUUAACAUCAUCAUCAAAAAGGAAAGUCAAAUUGUCAUUCCGCAUAAUCACAUCAGUGACAUCUUUCUUCUUCAAAAUACGUCGAUUAUUUUCUUGAGCGUUAAGCCAGGAACGAAGGGUGAGUUAUUGAAUGAAAAAAUCACAUGCCUUAGCAAGCAAAACAGGCGAUUCAGAAGUGAUCCUUCGGACAUCCUUGUUCGUCUUCAUGAUGUUCUUGAUAUGGUUAGGUGAAACAAGCAGAUUGUUCUUGAAAUUGUCAAUUUUCUCCAUUUCUCUCUCCUGGUCUGUCCAAAACAUCUCCAUAUAUUCUUGCUCAAUCUUUUCAAUGUUAAGAUGAGACAUCGUUGAGUACGCAUCAACGGAUUGAGUUGCAUUCACUGUGGAUUUCUCAGAGUUGUUUUCCAUGGUGAUUUUUUCGUUGUUUACAAGCUCAGACAUGGAGAGAAAUGGAAGAUUGAUGCAUACACACAAUUGGGUUUUCUCUCUCUCUAUAUAUAUAUAUAAAGAGAAAAAUAAAUCUAAUUAUAAAUUUUUAAAUCAUAUUAAAUGAAUGAACCUAGACAUUUUUAAAUCUGUGUUCAAGCUAAGACUAUUAAUGAAAAAUUGUUCCAAUUUAACAUGUCAUAAUAAAAUUGUAAGAAAAUCAUUUUAUUAAAUACUUGUUAGUUCUAGUCAAUAAGGUAUUAAAUAUUAGUUAGUUCUAGUCAAUAAGGUAUUAAAUAAUGAGCGGAGAUAUUAAUAAAAUAAUUUUUUAAAUUUUUAUUUCUAGAAUCCUCCAUAUAUCACAAAAAUCCAAUAAUUGAUAGAAAGAAAUAGAAAAUUUAUUAUAUAUGGGCUUUCAUAUAUGUGUACAAUGCGACUAAGUUUAAUGUUUGGUAGACUAUAAAUCAUACUUUGAUAAAACAAGAUUAAUUUUAUAGAAUAGUUGGUGAAUUCUAAAACUACUAUGAACUAGGAUUUUUUUAUAAACUCAAAGUUUUAUUAUAUCACAUGAUUAUACUUGAAAAAUUAUUAUUGUUAUCACAAUAUUUGUACCAACAUGUCAUAUGUGUAUCCUAAGAUUCAUGAGUGUUUUAAAAUCUAUAGGUUUAAUCAUCAAAUGUAUUAUGCAGAGCAAUACACGACCUAUAAAAUAUAUGAAUUGGAUUAAACGUUUAACUAACAGCAACUUUUGCAUAUAGCAAACAUAAAUUUUAUAUUGGUAUGUCAUAACUAUAGUUUGUCUAAUUGCACUACAUAACAAAUUUUAUAUUUUCUAUGGAGCUUUUGAUUUGUAUAAUUACAAACAUCUAAUUUAAGACAAAUUGCUCAGUUUUGUAUAAAUUUAUUUAUACAUUGUAAUUUGUAUAAUAAAAUCUGUAUUUGUAUAAUUAUAAGUGUAUAAGACACAAAUAUAUGUAUUUGUAUAUACAUUUUUCUCUAGCUUUAUACAAACAUAAAUACAUUUUAUACAUUUAAUAUCGAAAUGUAUAAAAUGACUAAUUGUAUAUAUAAAAAAUGAGUAAUUGUACACAGAAUCAGAUGACAAAAAAGGGAAUGUUUGCUGCAAAUUAAAAUAAGAAUAAACUAUGGAUAUGACAUUUAAUUUGAAUUAAUAAUUUGUUAUUUUAUACAAUGUUCCUUUUAACUAAUUAGCCUCACUAAUUUGUGAUGUAACAUUAUAUCCAGACAUCAUAGGAGGAUAUAUAUAUAUAUAUAUAUAUAAACCUAGUUCAUUUGAUCUCCAAUCAGAUAAUUGAGUCAUGUACAAUCAUUGUUAAUCUUUUCAAAUUGAUAAAAAUCUCACACUCCUCGACGUUUCUUUUUAUCUUUGAAUUGAUCUAUAAAGUGCCUCUUUGAAAUUUUUUGAUUUAAAUUCAACACUUUAAGAACACUAAUAUAUAUAGAAAAUAUUUUUUAUUUUAUCAAUAAUGACGACAAGUGAAUAAAGUAACUUCAGUUUCUUGUUUUCUUUGCGAAAACAUUAGGUUUACAAGUCAAUUUUUUUGCAUUACUAUUACUUUGUUUUUUAAUUUACAAAAGAGAACACAAAGUUUAACGGAUUUUCCUUAUGAAUUAAAAAAAUAGACCUUCUCAAUUUCUCAUGUACAUCAUUUUGUCUACCAUGUUAUUUUGCAACCAAAUAAAGCCUGUUUGGUUAAGCAUAUAUACACAUCAAACUUAUUUUAUUGCGGUGUUGAUAAAUGGUAAUCUAUAAACUUUUCUCUAUUACAACAAAGUAAUUGUUAAAUUCACUCAUAGAUUCAUUAUAUAUGUUGCAAUAGUAUUCAUCAUCAUCGACUGCUCAGAUUUAUUUUUCAUGAAAUGUGAUCAAGGCAAAUUGUUUCUAAAUUAACAUAGACAUAAUUGAAAAUAAGAUAAAUGUUAGUGCUUAUAUAUACAAAGGAGAAAGAAAACUAAUUACAAAUUUGCUAAGCCUAAUGAUAAAUGUUGAUGUUUGAGGUACAAUACAACUACGGUAAUGUAUAAAUAAGAAAAUUGGGGUUAUAUAAUUUGGUGUCUAGGUGUAAUGAUCCGGAAGGUCAUUUUUGGAAAUUUUAAAUAAUUGCUUAACUUGAGUUAACUAAUAGAUGAAUAAUUGUAGAUAAAUGAUUAAAUUAUUAGUUAAUGGUCUAAAGUAAAAAAAAAAUUAAUUAAGACCUUAUACCCUUUAGCCUAUAUUUAAUUAAAAAAAAGAAGGGUUUUUUUUUAGUAUUUGUAAAUCAGAAACUGAUAAAAAUUUGGAAUGAAGAAUGGUAGUGCAGCGAUAAGAAAAAGACCAUAAUUCCCAAGGUAAACCUCAAUUUUUUUCUAUAUCCUUAUAUUGGUAAUUAUAGGUAUGAUCAUAUUAUAUUAUUAUUAUAGAAAUAAGUUGUGGAAAAGUGGUUGUUAGCAGUGUCUUUGGAGAGAAAAUAUUAGUGGGAAAGUAUGGCAUAAUGAUUGUAUGUUGGAGGCAUAAUGAUUGUCCAUGUUGUAUAUCUUUUAAUUAUUAAUUAUAUAUAGUAUUACUCUCAUUAUAAGAUACGUUUUCCUCCUUUGUUCGUCUGCCACUAGUUUCGUAACUAGUGGCCUCAUAUUUUAAUAAUUAUAAUUUAGUUAAUGCAUUAAAAAUUCAAGUUGGAUACAUUAAGAUACAUAUUAAGCAUUAGAUGUAUGGUAUUAUGUGAAUACCAUUGGAAUUAUGCUAUUGAAAAUAAUUUGGGACUUAACCUUAGACUUGGAACUUGAAAAAAAUAUAAUAGUUGAAAUGUUAGUUGGCAUCAAGAAUUACGAACUUGAUUAUAAAUUUGGGGUGAAUUUUUAGGUCAAGAUUAAACACACAAAAGUGUGAGUGUUGUUAGUUCUGAAGCCUUAUUGUGAAUAUAUAUACUUGCAUAGAUUGCAUCUAUUUGGAAGCUCAACGGAAAGGGAAGGCUCAAGUCCCAGAGUGAUUAUUAGAGUGGUUAAGGCAAGUGGAUUUCUAAACCCUUGUUAAGCGUACGAAAUUCGUGUAUUUCCUUGUGUGGUGUUGAGAAUGAUUUGGAGACUUGUUGCUUAAUUGUUGGUAUUGUAUUUCUUGUUGCAAAUUGUGCUUUGUUAUCAAAUGGUUAUCUCCUACUUUUCAUUUGAGCAUGUCAUUUGCAUUGUAUCUAAGACAUGGUUGUGGUAAGAGGAUGUACUAUUUUCGAGGAUCGUAUCGCGCGCCACGAUGGAUAUUAUAUUUCGAGGGACGUAUCGCUCGCCGCGAAGGUUACUAUUAUCGAGGGUCGUAUCGUGCGCCGCGACAGAUGCAUGGAAAGAUAUGUCCCCCAUGGGUCCCGGACUGAGAGACUGCGGGUGUGUAUCGUUAGGGAAGACAUGCAUCACUAUACUUGAUAUUUUAUCUCACGGCAUUACACAUUUUAUUAUUGAUGAACUUGAACACGUGUUUUGUUGAUCUUGUGAGUGUUUCUCUGUGAAGCUUGUGACUGUUGAAUAUUGAGUUUUUAUUGAGAAUGUGUAAACUGAUAGAGUGUGGUUAUUGAGUUGUGUGUUUGGUAAACUGUAAACUAUUAGACUGUAGCGUGGAGGUUAGAUAUGGUGUAAGAAGUGCCCGUAUUUUGUUCACUUAACUUGUGUUUAGAGGUUUUCUUAUUGGGUACCGCGUGGUUUGGUACUCACCCCUUACUUCGACAAAUUUUUGUAGGAUACGAGCCUGGAUCCUCGUGAUACCUGUCAUUCUUUUCGUUUUCGAGGCAUCUUGUGGAGGAUUGUGAGGUAGUUGCUUGUCAUCUCAGCGAACUUUCGUACUCCUGUUUAUGACUUUGUUUUUACUUGAAAGACAACUUCAUUUAGACUUCUAUUUUGUUUCAAUUCUAAUUUUUACAUUAGAGGCUUGUGCACGUGACAAGCUGAUUUUGGGGAUUGGAUUAAUAUGACUUGGCUUCAUAAUAGGAAUUAUUGUUGGAUUGUCAUUUACUUCCGCACUUUGUUAGAUAUUUGGUUUUAGGCUGACUUGUCUUGGUGGGAUAAGACGAGUGCCAUCACACCCAUUUUUGGGUCGUGACAAAAUGGUAUCAGAGCCCCAGGUUAAUAGGUCUCACGUGUAUACAAGCCGAGUCUACGUAGAGUCUCAAGGAUCAGUAUGGAGACGUCUGUACUUAUCUUUGAGAGGCUACAAGGAUUACUAGAAAAACAUCUUUUUGUUCAUUCUUUUUCAUCGUGCGUAGUCACCUUCUUUAGUACUGAGUUGUUGUAUACUCUUUUGACAGAUGACGAGAACUAGAACUAAUGUUACUGGUGGUAUAGGGGAGGCACUUCCCGAGGCAGUUGUUGAGGCCCCAGCUAGAGGUAGGGGUAGAUCUUGAGAUCAAGGUCAUCCUAGUAGUGCGACAGUAGCCAGAGGUCGUGGACGUGGAGAAGCACCAAUGAGAAGUCGUGCUAGAGAGGUCUCUACCGAACCUCAAAUUGAUGACAUAGAGGACCAGGUUCCUCCAGAUCCCGUAGUCACACCUUUGCUUCAGGAUACGCUAUUGAGGGUGUUAAGUGUGCUAGAGGGCUUUUCUCAGGGUGGUGGUGCAACUACCACACCACAUGACUCUCAUACUACAGAGGUGGCUCAGACCCAAGAGCAGCAACAAGCUCCGGUUGUUCAGGAUGCGGUGGGGCAACUACCAGUAGAUCUCGCGGUUCAGAAUGAUAUUGCACCAGCAGUUGGGGGUCAAGUUACAUCGAUGGUUGUUCUGACAGAGGAUGAGCAGCGUAGGUAUGAGAGAUUUCGAAAGAUGGACCCACCUCAGUUUCAGGAUGGAAAGAGCGAGGACGCACAUAAGUUUCUAACUACCUGCCGAGAGUUACUAGAGGUGGUUGGGUUACCCGAGUCACAUGGGGUUCGAUAUGCUACACUCCAACUUUGUGGACCAGCGAAAGACUGGUGGAGGACUUAUUCGGGAUGUUUGCCAGUUGGAUCUCCUCCAGUGACUUGGGAGCAGUUUGCUAGUGCAUUCCAAGAUCGUUUUGUCCCAUGGAGCGUGAGAGAAGAGAGUCGCUUGAGGUUUGAGAGUCUGAUACAGGAUGGUUUAUCAGUUACAGAGUAUGAGGUGCGUUUUUGCCAGUUGUCUAGGCAUGCAUUGGCCAUUAUUCCAAAUGAGACAGAGAGGAUCCGCAGAUUUGUGAGGGGACUAACUUUCUCUAUCAGGUCAGCUAUGUUUCGGGCAUCUAGGGAGGGGGCUUCUUUUCAGUCCAUUGUGAGCGCCGCCAAAGAGGCAGAAUUGAUGGAGAGAGAGAGGAGUUUGGGGAUCCUAAGAGAGCCCGUAUAUCAGGACAGUUUCAUGAUGCCUCCUCUGGAGGUAGGGGAUCACAGAGAGUGAGUGGUUCUUUUCAGCAGCGGGGACCUAUGCCGACAUUUGAGGGUGGCCAGACAUCUAGGGGUUCUUAUCGCUCGGGUCAGAGCUCGUACAGUUCACAGCAGCGACCUACAGGGCGAGGAAAUUAUAGUGGGUUUUCAGGGUCCACACAACAGUUCCCAGGUCAGAGAUUUUGUUUUACUUGUGGAGAUCCCAAUCAUCUAAUGCGGCAAUGUACUUCUCAAAGAGGUCGUGGUGGGCCUCGACCUAAUUCGUCAUUCCAUACUAGACCGCCAGCACCACAGGGUAGAGGUCGUGGAAGAGUUUAGUCAGGUAGAGGUGAUAGAGUUUCUAGUAGUGGUGUUGCAGCUCAGCAGAGUGGGGGUAGAGGUACCACCCAGCAUGGAGGUGGACGAGGAGGCCACUGCUAUGCUUUCCCCGGGAGACCUGAGGCGGAGACCUCAGAUGCUGUUAUUACAGGUAUCAUCCCAGUAUGCCAUCGACCUGCGUCUGUGUUGUUUGAUCCAGGUUCUACAUUCUCUUAUGUGUCUACGUAUUUUGCUGCUAAAUUUGAUAUGAUAUGUGAUAGCAUGACUGUAUCUAUUCGUGUUUCUACACCCGUGGGUAAGCCCUUAGUGGUGGAUUGAGUGUAUCGAUCCUGUCUUGUUUCUUUGGCUGGGUAUGACACUUGGGUAGACUUAAUCAUUCUGGGGAUGGUGGACUUUGAUAUUAUCUUUGGUAUGGAUUGGCUUUCUCCUUACCAUGCUGUCCUUGAUUGUAAUGCUAAGACUGUGACUUUAGAAAUGCCUGGUGUUCCGAGGGUUGAGUGGAAGAGUGUUAGUGGUUCUUAUCCUAGCAAGGUCAUCUCUUUUAUCCGUGCUCAGAGACUGGUGGAGAGGGGGUGUUUGUCUUACUUAGCUUUUAUUCGGGAUACUAGUGUUGAACCACCUCCAAUGGACUCUGUUCCCGUGGUCCAGGAGUUUCUCGAUGUAUUUCCUUCUGAUCUUCCUGGUGUUCCUCCCGACGGGGACAUCGAUUUUGCUAUUGAUUUGGAACCGGUCACUAAACCUAUUUCUAUCCCUCCAUACCAUAUGGCUCCAGCAGAGUUGAAAGAAUUGAAGGAUCAGUUGCAGGAUUUAUUGAGUAAGGGUUUUAUUCGCCCUAGUGUAUCACCUUGGGGUGCCCCUGUAUUAUUUGUGAAGAAGAAUGAUGGGACUAUGAGAAUGUGUAUUGAUUACAGACAUUGAACAAGGUAACAAUGAAGAAUAAGUAUCCUCUUCCGCGUAUUGAUGACUUAUUUGAUCAGUUACAGGGAGCAUUGUUCUCUAAGAUUGAUUUGAGGUUUGGGUAUCAUCAGUUGAAGAAUAGGGCAUCAGAUAUCCCUAAGACAGCUAUUCGGACUCGGUAUGGGCAUUAUGAGUUCCUAGUGAUGUCCUUCGGGUUGACUAAUGCCUCUGCAGCAUUCAUGGAGUUGAUGAAUGGGGUGUUUCGACCAUACCUUGAUUCUUUUGUGAUUGUUUUCAUUGAUGACAUCUUGGUUUACUCCAAGACUAAGGAGGACCAUGUCCGACACUUGAGGAUUGUACUUCAGAGGUUGAGAGUAGAGAAGUUGUAUGCCAAGUUCUCAAAGUGUGAGUUCUGGCUUACUUCUGUGGCAUUCUUAGGACAUGUGGUUUCUAAGGAGGAUAUUAGAGUAGAUCCGGCCAAGAUUGAGGCAGUUAGAGGUUGGACGCGACCUACUUCACCUACUGAGAUCAGGAGAUUUGUGAGAUUGGCAGGCUAUUAUCAAUGAUUUGUUCAGAGUUUCUCUACUAUUGCAGCUCCAUUGACUAGAUUGACUCGACAUGAUGUGAGUUUUCAGUGGUCUGAUGAGUGUGAGGAUAGAUUUCAAAAGAUCAAGACUUUGUUGACUUCUGCUCCUGUGUUGACUCUACCUGAGGAGGGUGUAGACUUUACUGUGUAUUGUGAUGGUUCAGGAGUUGGUUUGGGUGGUUUGUUGAUGCAGAAGGGGAAAGUGAUUUCUUAUGCUUCUAGGCAAUUAAAAUCCCAUGAGAAGAACUACCCUACUCAUGAUUUAGAGUUGGCGGCUGUGGUAUUUGUACUUAAGUAAUGGUGUCAUUAUUUGUAUGGAGUGCAUUGUGAGAUCUUCACUGAUCAUCAGAGUCUCCAGUAUAUCUUUAGUCAGAGAGAUUUGAACUUGAGGCAGCGGAGAUGGCUUGAGUUGCUGAAGGACUAUGAUAUGACCAUUCUGUAUCAUCCGGGGAAGGCCAAUGUUGUGGCCGAUGCUUUAAGUAGAAAGACUCAUAGCAUGGGGAUUCUUGCAUCUCUUAGUGUUGAGGAGACCAUUGGCUAGAGAUGUUCAAUUAUUAGCUUGUCCGAUUACAGAUCUCAGAGGAGAGUGAUGGAAUGAUUGCUUUUAUUGAGGCUCGAUCUUCUUUAGUCGAGAAAAUCCGUGCACACCAAUUUGAUGAUGAAAAAUUAUGUCUCAUUCGAGACAAAGUAUUGAGAGGGGAAGCUAAGGAGGCUGUCCUUGAUUCUGAUGGUGUCUUGCGGAUCGGAGGCAGAAUUUGUGUGCCCAGGACAGGAGAUUUGAUUAGAUUAAUUCUUGAGGAGGCCCAUUGUACUCGGUAUUCCAUCCAUCCGGGAGUGGUGAAGAUGUAUCAUGAUCUGAGUCAGCAUUACUGGUGGUGUGGGAUGAAGAGAGAUAUUUCAGACUUUGUUUCGAGGUGUUUGACUUGCCAGCAAUUCAAGUGUGAGCACUAGCGGCCCGGGGGUGUAUGUCAGAGGAUGCCUAUUCCUACUUGGAAGUGGGAGCGGAUUACUAUGGACUUUGUUGUGGGUUUGCCUACCACAAUGGGUGGUUAUGACUCUAUUUGGGUUGUUGUUGAUAGGCUGACCAUGUCUGCCCACUUCAUCACGAUUCGAGUGAAGUAUACUGCAGAAAAGUUAGCCGAGCUAUAUAUCAGUCAGAUUGUGCGACUACAUGGAGUUCCUGUUUCUAUCAUAUCAGAUCGAGGUUCACUAUUUACUUCUCACUUCUGGAAGGCAUUACAACAUGGUCUGGGUACUCAGUUAGAUAUGAGUACGACAUUUCACCCUCAGACAGAUGGUCAAUCUGAGCGGACCAUUCAGGUUUUGGAAGAUAUGCUUCGAGCGUGUGUGAUCGAUUUUGGUGCAAGAUGGGAUCGACAUUUACCCUUAGCGGAGUUUGCCUAUAAUAACAGUUAUCACUCUAGUAUUCAAAUGGCUCCAUUUGAGGCAUUGUAUGGUAGACGGUGUAGAUCUCCGAUUGGUUGGUUUUAUUCGGCGGAGAUGGACUCUUUGGAUACAGACUUGCUUAGAGAUGCUAUGGAACAAGUUCGUAUGAUUCAGUAUAGACUGUUGACAGCCCAGAGUCGACAGAAGAGUUAUGCAGACCGGAGAGUUACAGCCUUAGUGUUUAUGGAGGGUGAUCAUGUUUGGCUCCGAGUAUCACCAAUGAAGGGUGUGAUGAGGUUUGGAAAGAAGGGCAAGCUUAGCCCUAGGUUCACUGGACCUUUUGAGAUUUUGAGCCGAGUGGGAGAGGUGGCCUAUAAGUUAGCCUUGCCACCUAGUUUGUCGGCAAUUAAUCCUGUUUUCCAUGUCUCUAUACUUCGGUAGUAUAUUCCGGAUGAAUCUCAUGUGAUUUCACUCGAUUCUAUGGAGCUGGUUCCAGACUUGACAUAUAAGGAGGAGCCUAUAGCUAUAUUGGAUAGGCAAAUCCGAAAGCUUAGGACCAAGGAGCUUGUUUCAGUGAAGGUGCAAUGGAAGCACCAUUCAGUAAGAGAAGCAACUUGGGAGACAGAGUCUGACUGCGUGCCAGAUAUCCUCAACUUUUUGAAACAUCAGGUACUUUCUUUUACUUUAUGUUCGAGGACGAACAUGAUUUUAGUGGUGGAUAAUGUAAUGACCCGGAAGGUCACUUUUGGAAAUUUUAAAUAAAUACUUAACUUGAGUUAACUAAUGGAUGAAUAAUUGUAGAUAAAUGAUUAAAUUAAUAGUUAAUGGGCUAAAGUGAAAAAAAAAUAAUUAAUUAAGACCUUAUACCCUUUAGCCUAUAUUUAAUUUUAAAAAAAGAAGGUUUUUUUCUAGUAUUUGUAAAUCAGAAACUGAUGAGGAUUUGGAAUGAAGAACGGUAGUGCAACGAUAAGAAAAAGACCAUAAUUCCCAAGGUAAACCUCAAUUUUUUUCUAUAUCCUUAUAUUGGUAAUUAUAGGUAUGAUCAUAUUAUAUUAUUAUUCUAGAAAUAAGUUGUGGGAAAGUGGUUGUUAGCAGUGUCUUUGGAGAGAAAAUAUUAGUGGAAAAGUAUGGCAUAAUGAUUGUAUGUUGGAGGCGUACUGAUUGGCCAUGUUGUAUAUCUUUUAAUUAUUAAUUAUAUAUAGUAUUACUCUCAUUAUAAGAUACGUUUUCCUCCUUUGUUCGUCUGCCACUGGUUUCGUAACCAGUGGCCGCAUAUUUUAAUAAUUAUAAUUUAGUUAAUGCAUUAAAAAUUCAAGUUGGAUACAUUAAGAUACAUAUUAAGCAUUAGAUGUAUGGUAUUAUGUGAAUACCAUUGGAAUUAUGCUAUUGAAAAUAAUUUGGGACUUAACCUUAGACUUGGAACUUGAAAAAAAUAUAAUAGUUGAAAUGUUAGUUGGCAUCAAGAAUUACGAACAUGAUUAUAAAUUUGGGGUAAAUUUUUAGGUCAAGAUUAAACACACAAAAGUGUGAGUGUUGUUAGUUCUGAAACCUUAUUGUGAAUAUAUAUACUUGCAUAGAUUGCAUCGACUUGAAAGCUCAAUGGAAAGGGAAGGCUCAAGUCCCAGAGUGAUUAUUAGAGUGAUUGAGGCAAGUGGAUUUCUAAACCCUUGUUAAGCGUACGAAAUUCGUGUAUUUCCUUGUGUAAUGUUGAGAAUGAUUUGGAGACUUGUUGCUUAAUUGUUGGUAUUGUAUUUCUUGUUGCAAAUUGUGCUUUGUUAUCAAAUGGUUAUCUCCUCCUUUUCAUUUAAGCAUGUCAUUUGCAUUGUAUCUGAGACAUGGUUGUUGUAAGAGGAUGUACUAUUUUCGAGGGUCGUAUCGCGCGCCGUGAUGGAUAUUAUAUUUCGAGGGACGUAUCGUGCGCCGUGAAGGUUACUAUUAUCGAGGGUCGUGUCGUGCGCUGCGACAGAUGCAUGGACAGAUAUGUCCCCCAUGGGUCCCGGACUGAGAGACAGCGGGUGUGUAUCGUUAGGGAAGACAUGCAUCACUAUACUUGACAUUGCAUCUCAUGGCAUUACACAUUUUAUUAUUGAUGAACUUGAACACGUGUUUUGUUGAUCUUGUAAGUGUUUCUCUUUGAAUCUUGUGACUGUUGAAUGUUGAGUUGUUAUUGAGAAUGUGUAAACUGAUAGAGUGUGGUUAUUGAGUUGUGUGUUUGGUAAACUGUAAACUAUUAGACUGUAGCGUGGAGGUUAGAUAUGGUGUAAGAAGUGCCCGUAUUUUGUUCACUUAACUUGUGUUUAGAGGUUUGCUUAUUGGGUACCGCGUGGUUUGGUACUCACCCCUUGCUUCUACAAAUUUUUGUAGGAUACGAGCCUGGAUCCUCGUGAUACCUGUCAUUCUUUUCGUUUUCGAGGCAUCUUGUAGAGGAUUGUGAGGUAGCUGCUUGUCAUCUCAGCGAACUUUACUACUCCUGUUUAUGACUUUGUUUUUACUUGAAAGACAACUUCAUUUAGUCUUCUAUUUUGUUUCAAUUCUAAUUUUUACAUUAGAGGCUUGUGCACUUGACAAACUGAUUUUGGGGAUUGGAUUAAUAUGACUUGGUUUCAUAAUAGGAAUUGUUGUUGGAUUGUCAUUUACUUCCACACUUUGUUAGAUAUUUGGUUUUAGGCUGACUUGUCUUGGUGGGAUAAGACGAGUGCCAUCACAACCAUUUUUGGGUCGUGACACUAGGAGACAAUGAAUUAUAUCUUCAUAAAGCAAGAUUAAACUUAUAGAAUAAUUGGUGAAGUUUAAAAUUUUUAUGAAUCAAGAAUUUUUUUGUAUGCUUAGGAUCUUAUGUCACGCUCCAAUAUUAUCCAUGCACCCGAGAAGGUGCUUAGAGCCACAAGCAUCCGAAGCUGGCGUGAUAGUAAAAUUAACAUAAAUCAAUAGAAAAUUGAAGCAUAAAUGUAUAACCUAAUUUGAAAUAUCGAUAUAAAGUCCUUAACACUGAGACGUAUUAAUAUAUUUGAAAGAAAUAACACAAACAAAAUUUAUAUUGAUAUGACUGUUGGAAAGCCUUUACUUGUAUGAGCUGCUAGAAUAAACGCCUAACUAAUAACUCCAUCUCUGUGAAAUUGAAAGUAAUAUUGAAAAAAAAGAUCGGGUACUUGUUAUCAAAGUGACGAAGAUUCACCAAUAUUGUUGCUCGCUAAUCAGAAGUACCACUAACCACGAGUAGGUCUAAACAUCAAAAGCUACCUGCAUUAUCAACCAGAGUAUGUUAAUAGUACCUUUUGUAACCCUAUAGGUAUGAACUUAAGGAAAUAAGAAGGUUACAUUUGAUGAUCAAUAUUAUCAGUAUGUAGGCCCAUUGUGCCUUCAGCAACAUAAUACGGAACAACAUGUGGUGUGGAGCCGUCACUAACAUCAGCAUCAUCAUCAAGAAGGAAAUCCAAAAUGUCAGUCUCCAUAAUCACAUCAGUGACGUCAUCCUUCUUCAAAAUACGACGAUGAUUUUUCUCAGUUUUAAACCAGGAACGAAGAGUUAGUUCUUGAAUGAACAACUCACAUGCUUUAGCCAACAAAACAGGUGAUUCAGUAGCAAUCAUUCUGACAUCCUUGUCUGUCUUCAUGAUCUUCUUGAUGCGGUUAAUUGAAGGUAGCAGGUUGCUCUUGAAAUCAAUAACAUUCUCCAUUUCCCUCUGCUUGUCUAUCCAAAACAUCUCUAGCUUUUCUUGCUUUUUCUCAAGGUGAGGCAGCGCCAACAUUGAAUACACAUCAGAUUGACCUGCAUUCACUGCUGAUUUCUCAGAGUUGUUUUCCAUGAUGAUUUUUUCUAUGUUUUCAAGCUCAGACACAGAAAAAUGAAGAUUUAUACAUAUAUGCAAUUGUGUCUAUAUAUAGAGAGAGAGAGAAAAAAAAUAAAUCUAAUUAUAAAUUUUCUAAAUUUAAUUAAAUGAAUGAACCUAGAAAAUUCUAAAUCUACAUUUAGUCUAAGACUAUUAAUGGUAAUUUGUUAAAAUUUAAUAUGUAAUAAUAAAACUGUAAGAAAAUAAUUAUCUUAUUAAAUACUAGCUAAAUUUAGUCAAUAAUGCAUCAAAUACUAGUUAGUUCUAGUCAAUAAGGUAUUAAAAUGAGCUAAGAUAUCAAUAAAAUAAUUAUAUUUGAGUAUUCUAAUAAUUUUUUUCUAGAACCCACUAUAUAUCACACAAAAAAAUUAAAAAUGAAUAGAAAGAAAUAAAAAUUUUGUUACAAGAUAUACGUACAAUGCAUCAAAUUUGAUGUAUUUUAGACUGUGAAUAAUACUUUAAUAAAAUAAGAUUAAUUUUAUAAAAAAGCGGACGAAGUUUAGAAUUUCUAUGUACAAAGAAUUUUUUUAUAAACUCAGAAUUUUAUCAUAUUAUAUAUAUCACAUCAUUAUAUUAACAAAAUCAUUAUUGUCAUCACGAAUUUGGUACUAACAUGUCAUGCGUGUAUUUUGAGAUUCAUGAGUGUUUUAAAAUCUAUCGGUACAAUUAUCAAAUGUACUAUGCAGAGCAAUAUAUGACCUGUACACGAUAUGAAUUUGAUUAAAUGUAUAACUUAGCUUCACUAAUUUGCAAUGUAAACUAUAUUCAGACAUCAUGAGAAGGGGUGACAUAGUUUAAUAAUGCAUAUUAAAUAAUAAUUUUUAUUACAAAUAUGAACCCAAUUAAUAGGAUCUUGAAUCACAUAGUUGGGUUAUGUACUAUCACUGUUAAUAUUUCCAAAUUGAUAAAAAUCUCGCAUUCCUCGACGUUUCUUUUUAUCUUUUAAUUGAUCUAUACUGCACCUCUGUGAAAUUUUUUGAAUUAGGAUUAAUACAUUAAACACUCUAAUGUAUAUAGAGAAUAUUUGUUAUUUUACAAACAAUGACAACAAGUAAACAAAGUAACUUCAUGUUUCUUGUUUUCUUUGUGAGAAAAAUUAGGUUUACAAGUGAGAUUUUGCACUACUUUUACAUUGUUUUAUUUUUACAAAAGAGAACACAAUUAGUUUAAUUAAUUGAUCUGCCUUCUCAAUUUCUCGUGUACCUCAUCUUGUCUAUCAAGUUAUUUUGCAACCAAACAAAGCCUAUUUGGUUAAACAUAUAUACACAUCAAAUUUCUUUUAUUAUGGUGUUGAUAAAUGGUAACAUAUACAUUUUUUUCUAAUACAACAAAGUAAUUGUUAAAUUCACUCAUAACUUCUUUAUAUUUGUUGCCACUGCAUCCGCAAUCGACUAUUCAAAGUUAUUUUUCAGAAAAUUUUGGACAAGAGACGACUUUUUCAAUAUUAACACAGACAACUGAAUGUAAGAUAAAUGUUGGUGUUUAUAUAUACAGAGGAGAAAGAAAUCUAAUUAUAAAUUUGCUAAACCUAAUGAAGAUAUAAGUGUUGAUAAUUCUUGAGGUACAAUGCAAUUUCAGUAAGAAAUAAAUGAGAGAAGUGGUCCACAUACUUAUUUUAAUUAAACGAAAAUCUUAAAAAUAGUGAACAGCUCCAUAGAUAAAAUAUGAAAAAUCACAUCCCCAUAAAUAAAUCAGACACAAUAUUACAAAACAUAAGAUUCAUUUAAAAUCUUAGAAAAUAUAAUUUUAUAUCACAAAAUAUAGCAGAUUGAAAUAAAUUAGAAAAUGUUUUUUUUUCUUUUAAAUUUUGGACAUUAUUUAUGGGCUAAAUUUUUAAUUUUAUAUUGUGGUAACACGUGUUUUAAUUUUCUAAAGGAAAAUCACUUGUCUGUUCAUACAUUUUUCCAUUUCUCUCUCUUUUUCACUUUUAAUGGGAAACUCAUUAUUCUCUCCCUAAAAUAAAAUAUAAUUAUUAGAAUUUUUUUCGUACAAUUCUCAUAAUGCUAUAUCAGUAUUAGUAUUUUCAUUCAAAUAUUUGAUUGAUCAUUUCCUCAUAAAAGUUUGAAUUUUCAUCUACUUUAUUCCAUGUUAAUGGAUUUCUCGAUGUUACUCUCUUGCCAUGUAUAAUACAUGUUUUCAGUCAAUACUAGACAUGUCUUCGAGAAAAAGUAACUUGAAAACAAAUAAUCACAAUUUUUAUCUUGCACUCAACACAAUAAAACAUGAAUCUUAUACAUGCAUGCAUACAUACAUACAUAAAUACAUACAUACAUACAUACAUACAUAUAUAUAUAUAUAUAUAUAUAUAUAUAUAUAUAUAUAUAUAUAUAUAUUAUUUUUAUUAUUUAGAAGAAAGAAGUGGGAGGACGAUCAAGGGCGAAAAUAUAAUUUCACGCUAACAAAAAUCUAUUAAGAAAGAUGGUUAAUAUUUCUAGAAAUAUCUUUCUAUAUAUGAAGUGAAUAAUGAUCAAGGGCAAAAAUGUAAUUUUACGCUAACAAAAAUCUAUCAAGAAUGAUAAUAAAAAAAUUAAAUAAUUCUAGAAACAUCUUAGGUUAUUGUUAUUACCAUUAACUUAUUUUGUUAUUACUUCACUUUCUUUUCUUUUAUGAGUUAUUAUUAUAUCUAUUUUAUUAUUACUCUAUUUUACUAUUACUUUAAUUUAAUUCUUAAUAUUUUUUUAUUCAUUGUGCUUAUAAAAAUGCCUACUUUUAAUAUAAAAAUUUAUCAUGAAUUAAUUAUUUUCAUCUUUAUUUUGGCUCUAAUAAUAUAAUUGAAAAUAAAUAAGUGUGAUCAAAUUAAUAAUAUAUAUUUGAUUGAAAUUAAAGAAAAAGAUGUUGAAAAGUAACUUUACAAAUAAAAAUGAAUAGGAUGAUAUAUUUGUAUUAAGGACGACUAAAAUAUAAUUUUAUUCUAACAAAAAUCUAACAAGAAUAAAUAGUUCUAGAAACAUCUUUAUAUAUAUAUGAAGUGAAUGAUGAUCAAAGGUAAAAAUGUAAUUUCAUGCAAUCAAAAAUCUACCAUGAAUGAUAACAAGAAAAUUAAAUAGUUCUAGAAACAUAUUUACUUAUUAUUAGUAGUAUUACCACACUUUUGUAUUUUUUUCAUUUUUUUAUGAGUUAUUGUGAUAUCUGUUCGUUAUAUGAAAGUAAAUAAAUAAUGAUUACGCUUAGCUUUUAAUAAUUAUAUAUCAAGUAUAAUAUUAGAUAGAAUCAAUCAAAAUUAAAAUUAGAAUUUAUAUGUAUAUUUAAAUUUUGUGUAUUGAAAUAUUUUUAAUUUUCUAAUUUAAAAUAUGCUAUAUAAAUAAAUUAAAAUUCAAAAGUUAAUUUCCUUUUUGAAAUAAAAUAUAACAAUAAGUUCAUAUAAAUAGAAAAGGAGGGAUUCAUAUAUUCAAAAUGAAAUGUACAUGUGUUAUUAUUAAAAUGAGCUUUCAUAUAUUUCUUUAUAAGAAAAUCGCUUGGCUUCUUUCUAUUAAUUUGUGCAUAUAUGUGGAGCUUUAAAGAUUUGAACAUUUUAAUAUAGAAAUAUAAUGAUUUGAAAACUUUAAAUUCUUCUCUUUAACUACUAAUUUUUUACAAAUUUGAAAAUUACAUGUCACGACCCAAAAAUAGACGUGAUGGCACUCGUCUUAUCCCACCAAGACAAGUAAGCCUAAAACUGAACUAUUACAAUAAAAAUGCGGAAAAUUUACUAUCAACUUACAGUAUACCCCAAAACCUAGUUGUCACGUGUACAAGCCUCUAAAGUAUUACAAUCGGAUCAAAAGAAAACAUAAGUCUCAUAUGAUAUUGUUUCUAGAGUAGAACAAAAUCAUAAGAAAGAGUAAGAAGGGAUGCUGAGAUGACCAACAACUACCUCACAAAAUCUCCAGGAAGCAUCGGAAAAGAAGAGAAUAUAUCAUAAAGUCCGGGCUAGUAAACUACAAAAAUUUGUAGAAGCAAGGGGUGAGUACCAAAUCACACGGUACUCAGCAAGUAAACCUCUAAACACAAGCUAAGGGGAUGAAAUACGGGUACUCCUACCACCCCCAACCGAACCUCCACAACUACAACCUACAUAAACAUCAGCCCAACCUAACAAAUCACAGUUUACAUAGAACGUAACUCAACAAAAACAUUUAGACAAAUUACAUAUCCUCCACAACAACACUUUAACAAAUUACAUAUCCUCAACAUCAACACUUAAACAAAUUAGAUAUCCUCAAUAGCAACACUUCCAAAAAUUUACAUAUCCUCAAUAACACACUUCAACAAAUCACAUAUCCUCAACAACAACACUUCAACAAAUUAUAUAUCCUCAAUAACAAGCUCAGUAUUCAACAAUCACAAGUUCUGCAAAAAGGCAAUCAGUAGAUCAGCAAAACACAAUAUCAAGUUCACUAAUGAUAAGUAUGUGCAAUGUAAUGGAAUGCAAUGUCAAGUAUAAUGAUGCAUGUCUGACCUAGUGAUACACACCCGCUGUCUCUCAGUCCGGGACCCAUGGGGGACAUAUCUGUCCAUGCAUCUGUCGCGGCGCACGACACGACCCUCGAUAAUAGUAACCAUCGCGGCGCGCGAUACGUCUCUCGAAAUAUAGUAUUCAUCGCGACGCGCGAUACGUCCCUCGAAAUAUAGUAUCCAUCGCGGCGCGCGAUACGUCCCUCGAAAUGGUACAUCCUCUUAAGUACCCAUUCUUUCUCAAUGCACAUAACACUUGUCACAACCAAUGCCUCAGAAUAAUGCAGAUGACAAGUUCACACAUAUAAUGAGGAGAUGACCAUUUUCAUAACAUCACACAGUUCACAACCACAGAAACAUGAAGUUACAUCAACAAUGAUUCAACAAGCCUUCAACCCUUUCUCAACACAACAGACAUAAACAAUUAAUCACAUUGCCUUUUGUUAUCCCCAUUCUUUUCAUCAUUAGAAUUAAUCAAUGUGGAAAAGUCAACCCAUCACCAAUCCCGUUACUCCCAACAUAUACCACAAGGACAUACACACAUUUCAUACACUUAACAAGAGUUUAGAAAUCCACUUGCCUCAAAUAGUCGAACAAUGACUCCAAAACUUGAGCCUUCCUCUUUUUGUUGACUUCCAAACCAAUAAAAUCUAUUCAAAUAAAUAACCACGAUAUGAUUUCGAAACUAACAACAUUAAUAUUGCUAUAUCUCUAUCUUAGACCCAAAAUUCAUCCAAAUUUAUAAUAAAAUUUCUAAAUCUUUAUUCCAACCAAUUGAUCAAAUCUCAUAUUUUCUAAUUUCAAGUUUAGGGUUAAAUCUUAAUUCUCCGAAUAACAUAAUUAUAAUGAUUUUUAUAUAUCAUAAUGCACCCACUAGUUAACACAUAUCUCAAUAUAUUAAAACUUGAAUCAUAAUAUGAUAAUCAAAUGAAAAUAAUUAAAGCUGAAACUAACUGCCCAACACAUCAAUGGCGGACUACAAAACUAUCUGCUGAAACCACUUAUUUUCAAUGUUCCAAUUCAUAUUUAUCGUUCCACUACUAAUCCUAAUCUUGGAGUAAUCAUUGUCCAAUGAUUAGGACUAAUCAUUGUCCAAUGAUUGAACCAUAAUACUUAUACACAUUUAUAACCCCAAGUUCACAUAUUAGUAUAAAUUAUACACGUUUUAACCUAAAACUCUACUUUUAAUUACAUAAAAACUUAAUAGAAAGGAUGAAAAUAAUUACCUUGACGCCUUGAGAUGAAAAUAUUGAUUUUUCUCCUCCCUUUUCCCUUUUCUUUUCCCCCUUUCUUUUCUUUUCUUCUCUGUUCUUCUUCAAAUCGUUCUUUUUUUUUCUCAUAUAAGCCGUUAGGCUUUUAUAAGUGUAGGGCACUUUGCCCCUUUUCUUUUUAGUUUAUUUUAUUUAUUUAAUUAAUUUAUUUCCUUUUCUUUCUUUUUUUUUUCUUUUUCAUUAUUAUUAGAAAUAAAAUAAUCUUUUACUAAAUCUAAAAUCAUGUCACUCAUUGUUACAAGUCAUAUAAAUUAUUUAUAAAAUCUACUAAAAAGGUUAAUAUAAGAAUAAUAGUUGGAAUUUCUAAAACGACUAAGAGGGUCGUUACAUUAUCCACCACUAAAAAUCAUGUUCGUCCUCGAACAUAAAAUAGGUGAAGGAAGAAUUAUUAACGUUAUCAAAAAUCUAAUGCAUGAUCUUCCAGAGUCGUUGUUCAUCUCUCCAUGAAAGCUUAUCUUUAACACGAUUCUAUCAAGACCAACUACCAAGAACUGAACUAUAGAGAAUUUGAUAGAUCUACAUAUCAGAAGUGAUUGUCAAGCUACAUACUAACCCAUGAACCGAAUCUAAACUGAAACCCCUUGGACAUAACACAAUAAUCAUGACUAAUCCUUUCUUACAAAAUCUUUUCUCACAUAGCAAAGAUAACGUUCCAUUGAUACUAGCUACAACCAGAAGUGAACCUGAACCAAUCAUCACAUACUUAUAGUGCACAAACCAUCACACAUCUUAUAACGAUUCCCUUUUCAGAACACAAUCUUUUUACAAGCUUAAGUUAUAAAAGUUUGAUGUUUAGACAUCGAAUACUCACCAAGGGAUAAUCAAACAUAUCUAAUCCAAAGAAGAACAAGAUCAAGUAUGCACCCUACAAAUGGUACACGCUAGGAUGCAUAACCUUUUACAACACUGUCGGAUAACCGUAACUAUUCUCAAAAGCUCUUUUGUAAGUUCCCAGAAGUAAGGUUGUACAUAUAAAAAUAAUGAUAUAUUUCUAAUUUUUCAAACAACAUCAAAUAUGUCAUAACUGAAGUGAACAAGUCUAACCAAGGAUCCUACCUUAUCAAGAAGAUAUAAGAGGAUCGGUACAUCCGAUCCACCACUAGAAAUCCACCCAUAGAUGUAGAAAAAUACACGAGUAUAUGGAACGAAUCACACUCUAAACCUUUUUUUUUAAACGAAGUAGGUGGUUACAUAAAAAUGUACAAAAUCGAGGCCGGAUAUCAUAAGAUACUCUUUUCAUUGUAAACAUAUCAAACAAUUAUAGUUAAAUGACUCAAUAUCAGAUUUUUUUUAGCUGCCCACAUUCAACUAGCCUGAUAUCAUUACAAUCUUACACAUACUCGAUUGUCAAACUCCACAUACUUCUCACAAUAUUCCAUCGAAGUCAACACUCUUAAUAUCAACAAACAUCAUAACCACAACAUUCAUUUACCUUACUCUCAAACUAUCACUAGUUUCAAAGUCUUCUUAGCAAAUAAAUUAUAACCUCAAAAAAUAUUGAACUAUGACUUUCUCUCUCUCUCUCUUUCCAUUUAAGUAUCACAUGAUAAAUAAGAGUCUCAUCCAAGGGUGAUACCACAAAUUUCAAUCUCCUCAAAUCCUCAUUAAAUUAUGUAAGAGGUCCACACCGUUAAACAUCAAUACGUUACCUAUCAUAAUUUGAACAAUCUAGCUCAACAUAAAUACAUAGAAUCUCUCCUACAUAGUUGUUUGUCACCCAAACAAAAACUCAAUCUUGAGAAAAGUCUAUGAUGAAUUAUUUUUUUUUUAGUAUGUUUGUACUGAACUAGUUCACAUCUCAGAAUUAUACUAAACUCAUAGGCAAAAAUUAAUUAAUCCUUCAAAUAAAAACCAAGAAUUUAUAUGAAAGAUCUUAUUACUUUUUUUUUUAAAUUAUUCCCAUGACACAAAGUUCUAAAUAUCUUGAACUCUUCAAUGCACCAAACUCAUGUUCCUUUGGUUGACUCGCUCACCAAUCUUAUUCUUUGGCCAACAACGCUAGACAUUUUUACCUUGUACACAAAACAAAAUCUUGAAAUGAAACCCUUCCUUAGGUAUUUUGAAAGUCAAGAUAACACACUUUAUGACUCAAAACAUAUACCAAAUUUCCAAAUGCUCAACAUUCACUAUGAUCGAUCAUUUCUUACCUUACCAAUCCACACCUUGAAAAAACAUACUACCAAAAACAUAAAAUCACCAUGAAAAACUUAAAUUUUUAUCCCAACCAUGUGACAUGAUUCUAUUAUCAAUCAAGAUUUGCUCAUACAUUGGAGAUCUUUAUGAAUCCACGUAUCUUAACCUAUCAUUUAUUGCCUCUUCAUUGAUCUUACCAUAUCCUUCUUUAAAAAUUCAACCGUACCAGUUAUCAAACUCAAAAUCAUAAGAUGUUAUCUCCACCCUCGAGUCAAACAUGUAUAGACUUCUUUCUCAAGGCUUACCAAUUGUUUUUAGCCAAUCUGAUGAACUUGUAACACUAUUAUCAUAAGUAGAGCAAAAUAGAUGAAAACAAUGUGUAUCAUAACCCAAUUAUCAACCUCUCUGAAAAUACCUCCUUAGCCCUUGCAAUCAGAAUAAAAUACUUUUGUUCUCACCUCUUUCCGAAGGUUAAAUUACAUCUUACUAAUUCUUUGCAUUUAUGACUUUAAAUUCCUUUCUAUUUUGUUCAAGCGAUGCCUCAACAACUCCUAUAACUUUUCAUGCCAUCAAGAUGCUCACCAAAUAGUAUCAAACCACAACCUUAACUACUCGCAAGUCACUAUUAUAAUACAAAAUUCAUUUAACCAAUAAUUUUUAUUAAAUAGAUGCAUCUCAAUCACAAUCCAUAACGAACUCUUAUUACCAUCAUUCUCAAUUAGCUCUUAUCAUCAUCAUGAAGCCAACAUUUUCAUUAAUGUGACACCUCAAACUCGGUUAUAUUCAUCAAAUCCAAAGGACUAUCCCACUUUUAUAUGCACUUCUUACAAAAAUCUUCAAUUACCUUUACACAAGUAUAUUCUUUGGGACUGUCUUUAUCCAUAAGCUCGAAAUUUUGGUAUCUAUCUAUUCCAUUGGACCUUAAAAAGAAAUCACCGUCCUCAUUUAGGAUUCUUUGAAUACGCUUUUAAUCUUAAAGCAUUAAUAUCGUAUCAACGAUCCACCACUAAAUGCUUCCUUAUAAAUAAUGCUUAACUCAUUCGUGUGUAUUAACAAGCUAUUUGGUUUCUCAAAUCUGAAUACAACAUUGAAUCUUAUUAUAUGAACAUGUGAUUCAAUUGAUAACUCUUUAAGUGGUUUGUAAUCGCACUUGACAUCAACAUAUCCAUUUUCAUGUACCAUUAGUAUCACCUUAUGAAAUCUGUUAAAUCCACCACUAGGACACAUCAUACCUAUCGAGAAUAUUGUACCCAAAUAACCUACACAUUUCUGUCUCAUUAAGAAACUAACAUACACUAUCAAAUCUUUUCGGCCUAUCAUCCAAAGCGAUUUGCAUCCCUUUGUAGAUCAGGUCAAUAACAAAAGUAACACACUCCAUAACUCUAACAAAGUAAGCAUCAAUAUUGUUAUGGUACAAAUUCUAACCUUAAUUGAUGUAUAAUUAUUAUCAUCAUUUUCGAAGCAACUCAUUCAUGUUAUGAUAACUUUAGUAAUUACAGUUUACAAAAUCACAUGUCCAUUAUCAAGCUCUCCCUUUAAUCAUUUAACUUUCAAUAUUUAAACCACUCUAAUUAUUUUACAUACCACACAAGAACUAUUAACUUUACAAGGGUAACUAAUCUCACACAGCCCAUUGAAAUUGUUGAACUUUUUAAAUCUAACCACACAUUUUUUUUUCACAAGUAUAUCAUUUUCACCUUAAUACCAGAGCUAACAUCAAAUCAAUACACGACAUGCCAAUGAUUCACAAAAGGAACUACGCACGAGUCAUCACAUAAAUUAGAGCGAAUGGAGUGAAGCGAUAAGAAUCAAAAUCGGACCAAGUACGCACAAUAGAGAUUCAAGAAAUGAAAAUGUUUCCUAAAAGUCACUACAGCCUCUCGAAGAUAGGUACAGACGUCUCCGUACCGAUCAUCGAGACUCUAUUUAGACUCGACUUGUACACACGUGAGACCUAUGAACCUAGGGCUCUGGUAUCAUUUUGUCACGACCCAAAAAUGGACGUGAUGGCACUCGUCUUAUCCCACCAAGACAAGUAAGCCUAAAACUCAACUAUUACAAUAAAAAUGCGGAAAAUUUACUAUCAACUUACAGUAUACCCCAAAAUCUGGUUGUCACGUGUACAAGCCUCUAAAGUAUUACAAUCGGAUCAAAAGAAAACAUAAGUCUCAUAUGAUAUUGUUUCUAGAGUAGAACAAAAUCAUAAGAAAGAGUAAGGAGGGAUGCUGAGAUGACCAACAACUACCUCACAAAAUCUCCAGGAAGCAUCGGAAAAGAAGAGAAUAUAUCAUAAAGUCCGGGCUAGUAACCUACAAAAAUUUAUAGAAGCAAGGGGUGAGUACCAAACCACACGGUACUCAGCAAGUAAACCUCUAAACACAAGCUAAGGGGAUGAAAUACGGGUACUCCUACCACCCCCAACCGAACCUCCACAACUACAACCUACAUAAACAUCAGCCCAACCUAACAACUCACAGUUUACAUAGAACGUAACUCAACAAAAACAUUUAGAAAAAUUACAUAUCCUCCACAACAACACUUUAACAAAUUACAUAUCCUCAACAUCAACACUUAAACAAAUUAGAUAUCCUCAAUAGCAACACUUCCAAAAAUUUACAUAUCCUCAAUAACACACUUCAACAAAUCACAUAUCCUCAACAACAAAACUUUAACAAAUUAUAUAUCCUCAAUAACAAGCUCAGUAUUCAACAAUCAAAAGUUCCGCAAAAAGGCAACAGUAGAUCAGCAAAACACAAUAUCAAGUUCACUAAUGAUAAGUAUGUGCAAUGUAAUGGAAUGCAAUGUCAAGUAUAAUGAUGCAUGUCUGACCUAGUGAUACACACCCGCUGUCUCUCAGUCUGGGACCCAUGGGGGACAUAUCUGUCCAUGCAUCUAUCGCGGCGCACGACACGACCCUCGAUAAUAGUAACCAUCGCGGCGCGUGAUACGUCCCUCGAAAUAUAGUAUUCAUCGCGGCGAGCGAUACGUCCCUCGAAAUAUAGUAUCCAUCGCGGCGCGCGAUACGUCCCUCGAAAUGGUACAUCCUCUUAAGUACCCAUUCUUUCUCAAUGCACAUAACACUUGUCACAACCAAUGCCUCAGAAUAAUGCAGAUGACAAGUUCACACAUAUAAUGAGGAGAUGACCAUUUUCAUAACAUCACACAGUUCACAACCACACAAAUAUGAAGUUACAUCAACAAUGAUUCAACAAGCCUUCAACCCUUUCUCAACACAACAGACAUAAACAAUUAAUCACAUUGUCUUUCGUUAUCCCCAUUCUUUUCAUCAUUAGAAUUAAUCAAUGUGGACAAGUCAACCCAUCAUCAAUCCCGUUACUCCUAACAUAUACCACAAGGACAUACACACAUUUCAUACACUUAACAAGAGUUUAGAAAUCCACUUGCCUCAAAUAGUCUAACAAUGACUCCAAAACUUGAGCCUUCCUCUUUUUGUUGACUUCCAAACCAAUAAAAUCUAUUCAAAUAAAUAACCACGAUAUGAUUUCGAAACUAACAACAUUAAUAUUGCUAUAUCUCUAUCUUAGACCCAAAAUUCAUCCAAAUUUAUAAUAAAAUUUCUAAAUCUUUAUUCCAACCAAUUGAUCAAAUCUCAUAUUUUCUGAAUUUCAAGUUUAGGGUUAAAUCUUAAUUCUCCGAAUAACAUAAUUAUAAUGAUUUUUAUAUAUCAUAAUGCACCCACUAGUUAACACAUAUCUCAAUAUAUUAAAACUUGAAUCCUAAUAUGAUAAUCAAAUGAAAAUAAUUAAAGCUGAAACUAACUGCCCAACACAUCAAUGGCGGACUACAAAACUAUCUGCUGAAACCACUUAUUUUCAAUGUUUCAAUUCAUAUUUAUCAUUCCACUAAUAAUCCUAAUCUUGGAGUAAUCAUUGUCCAAUGAUUAGGACUAAUCAUUGUCCAAUGAUUGAACCAUAAUACUUAUACACAUUUAUAACCCCAAGUUCACAUAUUAGUAUAAAUUAUACACAUUUUAACCUAAAAAUCUACUUUUAAUUACAUAAAAACUUAAUAGAAAGGAUGAAAAUAAUUACCUUGACGCCUUGAGAUGAAAAUAUUGAUUUUUCUCCUCCCUUUUCCCUUUUCUUUUCCCCCUUUCUUUUCUUUUCUUCUCUGUUCUUCUUCAAAUCGUUCUUUUUUUUUUCUCAUAUAAGCCGUCAGGCUUUUAUAAGUGUAGGGCACUUUGCCCCUUUUCUUUUUAUUUUAUUUUAUUUAUUUAAUUAAUUAAUUUCCUUUUCUUUCUUUUUUUCUUUUUUUUCUUUUUCAUUAUUAUUAGAAAUAAAAUAAUCUUUUACUAAAUCUAAAAUCAUGUCACUCAUUGUUACAAGUCAUAUAAAUUAUUUAUAAAAUCUACUAAAAAGGUUAAUAUAAGAAUAAUAGUUGGAAUUUCUAAAACGACUAAGAGGGUCGUUACAUUACAUUGAAAAACAAAAAAUAAAAUAUAACAAUUUAAGAUAAUUUUAGAAAAACAUAUUUUAAAAAAUGAUAAAAUUUGAAUGACUCCCUUAUUUUUGUCGAAACAAAAAAAAAGUUGCAUAUAUUGUUUGAAAAUAACGUAAGAACUAAAAAGUACUAUCAAUUACAGUAAAAUGACAACUAAAAAUAUGUGAGAAUCAUAUAAGAAAUUUCAUUGACUUUUCUAAUAUCACUUGUAUUAAAUAAAAUAAAACAGAUAUAGUAACAUGUAUUAUUCGAAAAUGACAUAAAAGGUACAUAAAUUCAUAAUUUCAAAUAUUUUUUAUAAAUAUACAUGUAAAAAAUUUAGUUCACUUUUUCAAAUUUCAUUUGUGUCACAUAAAUUGAGAAAAAGAAGAAGCUAAGAUACGUUAGGCCUACGCACCUGAUAUCUAGUAUAUAUAUAUAUGUACACACACCCAUUCUUAGUCUUGAAGAUUUUCAUUCUUGAUUUUUGAGUGAAUUAGGUGUGAAUACUAAUAUUCAUAUCAUCAUCCACUAGCUUUAUUUUCUCUUUUUAAAUAUCAAAUUGAAAAUACUGUUGUUUAGGCAUCGACUAUUUUUAUGAGAUUUUUCGUAUUUCUCUUCUUCUUUUUCUUUCAGAAUUAAGUUCUUAGUUUUUCUUACCAAAAUUUUCAACUAAGACACUGACAUUGAAGUUAUUGAUGUAAUAUUUUAAUAAUUGAUAUAUGAUCAUAAACAUAUUUAAUUAUUGUUGAAGAGAGAGUUGGGCUAUAUGAACUGUGCUUUUUCUUGCUAAAUUUUCUUCGAUCUAUUAAAUCUUUUAUGAGAAAAGUUUUGAAUCUCAAUUUAUAAUUAUAAUUUCAUGUAAAUAUAGAAAUUUGUUCAUAUUAAAUUCAAACACAACAUUAAAUUUAUUUCUGAUUUAGUUAAUUUUGAGUUUCUUACUAAAAGACCACAAGUGAAUAAGGAAAAAAUAUUAGUGUUUUUUUUGUUUUAUUUUUAUUUUUAUUUUUCAAAGAAGAAAACUCAAAAUACUAGUUAUAACCUUUAUUCCUCAUUUUUCAAGAAUGAAGUCCUAAUCUACAUUAAUUUUUUUUUGAUAAUUGGUUGAUAAUAGUACAUAAUACCAGUUGCGUUGGAACAAUUUCUUCGUAUCGUUUAAGCCAAAAAAAAUCACUUGUUUUAAUAAAUAAUUAUCUUGAUAAAUAGGAAAACCAAAUGUAAAAGCGGCGCCGUAAAAAAGAAAAUUCAUUCUAUUUAUAUAAUGAGAUAGAUGAAGGGAAAAAUCAGGAGACUGUGAAAUUUUGCACCUUCAUUUUAGGGGACACAGUCUCAACCUUUGCUGGUACAAUGAUCUCAAUUUCUCUUGUAUCACAUUUGAAUUGGAAUGACCAACCUAUUACGCCAACUGAUAUUUAUUCAAGUAAACUUCUAGUUUACUAUUUGCAUGUUAUUCCAUCACCAUGCUCGUAUUUGUCUACAACAAACAACGGGAAAAAAAAUGAAUAAUCUUAUACGUAAAUAUUUAUUACCCACUUUGAUUCUAGUAAUUGAAGAUAUGAAAUCUUCCCAUAAUUUAUUGUCUCAAUAUAAUAAUUUGUUUUUGAUUCUUCUUAAACUUAAAAAUUUUCUUUUGAGACUUAAUACAACCCCAAUAUUAUGAAUAAUUUUAUUCCUCCAAAUAGUAACAAUAAGCCUUUUCGAAAUUAUGAAUUAAUUUUGUGUACUACCAUAAUUUUCACAAUGUCAUUCUUAUGGUGACCAUCUCCUUCAAGGAGAAAAUUUUUAUUAUUGUCAUGAUUAAAAUUAUUACAUUCAAGACUUAUUUUUUGAUAACCAAUGACAAAUUUGUGUUGCCACACAAUAACAUUUAUUUUGAUCAUGGCCACAACCUUUACAGAAAAGAUUUAUUAUUUCUUUUGUCUCAUUUUAAAAUAUACCACAAUAUUUGUGUAGUAUUCAAAGUAUAUAUAUGACCAAAAUGACUAUUUAUGUCAAAAGAUUUUCUUUCAUCUCUCAAAACCUCCCGUAGAGGUGAGAUGCGACAUCCAUCCAACAAUACAUGAACAUGCUUUUAUCCAUACGAAAACAAGUCACAUUUUCUUUAAAAAAUGGACCAUAAUCAUUUGUACAUGUUCCAUAAGUUUUUAUUAGAGACUCAUUAAUGUUUUGACAUUAUGUAUAUGUAACAUUACGGAAAAUUACAUGUCUAGUGAAGAGCCCAAUAGGGGAUACAUAGACAUUCCAAUGCCCAAUAUUGAGAAAUAUAAGGCAUAAUAUAGAAAAUUGGCUAAGGGGUAUUAGCAAUUUAUAUGAUCCAAUUGGUGAUGUUGAUCUACAACUUCAGUUUCCUGUUGUUCAGUUUUUCCUUGUUGGAUUAGUUCAUGGUUUUGUUUGUUUUAAUUACUUUUUCGAUAGUGUUGACAGUAUUUACAUCCUCAAUCCAACAACAAGAGAAUAUAUCGUCCUUCCUGAGCCACAACGGGUAAGAAAGUGGCCUAAUAUAGUAAGGUAUGGCUUCGGUUUUGAUCCUGUUAAGUUAGAGUACAAAGUGGUUAGAAUCUAUCAAGGGGAAAUUCGCGAUGAUGAUACUAAUGGUCUGAAGUUAUGUUCUGGUUGUUGGAAAAUAGCAUACACAGCGGAAUCAUUCCAGAAUCAUACAUCUUGCAUGAAUAUAAAUAACAAUCACAAAUAGUUAUCACAUACAAAGUAUGCUGAAAAUUAACUCAGGAUUACCUCUUGAAGCGUGUGCAGAUAUCUUGAAGUAAAUCCAACUCCAGUUCUAUUGUCUUCUACAGUGAUCCCAAUCAACAACUGAACUCUCUCAAUACUUGGGUGGGCAAGUAUUGUAUAGAAUUCUCUUAUUGAAUCUAGGUUAGAAAAAUCCCUAUUUAUAGAGAUGUCUUCCUAGUCCAAAGAGGAGAGGAAAAACCAAUUCUUUUUCUUUUAGGAGAUGUCUUCCUAGUCCAAAGAGGAGAGGAAAAAUCAAUUCUUUUUCUUUUAGGAGAACUUGAAAACACACGUUUUCCUCCAAAGAAAAAGAACGCUACUUUUCCAUCUUCUACUAGAAAAUAGGAUUCUGAGUUCUAGUUAAAUUGGGCACUGGAGGGACCACAUAAUUUAUUACUGAGGCUUCCUAUUAUGGAAAUAAUUCUAAAUAAUUAAUUUAAAUUAUUCUUACCAUAAUAAAUUACAAAUCAUUCCACUAAAAAUUUGUAAUUGAACUCCUCUAUUUAUUUCGAAAUUCACCACUAAACACUUAUUUGAUUCCCCAUGUUAAGAUUACCGAUACUAAUCAAUAAAUUAAAUUACUAACUAAUUUAAUUCAAUGAUUAAAUUCUUUUAGAGCAAUACUUAACUUAUUUCAUGUGCCAGAUUCAUAAAUCUACCGGCCGGGUUUACACAUGAAAACUUACAAGCUUCUCAUAAAAGGUGUAUCAUCAAUCUCUAUACUGAGACAUGGAUUUCAUCAACUAACUAAUUAUUUCACCAAUAUAUAUUAUUAUCAUCCAAUUUACCAGGCAUAUUGACCCAUCUCAGAAUCUCACCUUUUAAUAAAUCAAAAUGAUAAAUAAUAUAUACAGAUCAUAAUCGUUAUAUCAAGAUUAAGAAUAUAAGUGCAUUUAAUAGUUUAGAGAAUAUGUUUUUAUCAAUCAGUCUAAAAGAACUAUCUCUGCUUGGUCCCGUUCAAUACAUACCAAAUGCACUAGCACGAGAAGUUAGAAUUAUGCCAUUCUCAUAAUCAAGAUAAAUUACAUUUAAUCUCGUGCUACAAUCUUUCUGAUGAUUUUGUCCAAAUUUCCAUCUAUGAUUGUGAACUAUAAAUUUUAACUUAUAAGAACUGAUGAUUUAAUCUUCUGUGUAUAAGUUUAAACUCUAUACACCAAAUCAUCUACUAUAUAAGUUAAGGACACAUACAUGACAAUUGAUCUAUUUAAUGUAACACUUUAUUGAAUUAAAUAAAUAAAUAAACAAUUGUUCAAUAUUAAUACUACAUCAAAACGCAUGGUUAAUAGUAUAUCCUAACAAUCUCCCACUUAGACUCAUAACCAUGCACCUACAACUCUUACACCCAUUCCUCUUUUUGUACACACAAGACUCAUCAAGACAUUGCCCAAAACCAAAAGACUUGACUGCAGUGUCGAAGCAAGUGUUCCAUGCCCUAGAAGCUUGCUUUAAUCCAUAAAUAGAUCUUUUAAGCUUGCACAACAUGUGUUCUUUUCCUUUUUCUAUGAAACCAUCUGGUUGUCGCAUAAAUAUGCUUUCAUCAAGACUUCCAUUAAGGAAAGCUGUCUUGAUAUCCAUUUGCCAAAUCUCAUAAUCAUAAUGAGCAGCAAUGGAUAAGAGAAUUCUAAUAGACUUAAGCAUGACUACUGGCGAAAAAGUUACCCUUUUGCAACAAGUAUAGCUUUGUAAGUUUGCACUUGUCCAUCUACUCCUCUCUUUUUCUUAUAUAUCCACUUGAAUCCAAUGGGUUUUACUCCAUCUACAAGUGGUUAUACAAGAUCCCAGACUUUGUUAGAGUACAUAGAAUCCAUUUCUGAUUUCAUAGCAACAAUCCAUUUUUCUGCAUCUUUAUCUUGUAGUGCUUCGUCGUAAUUCACAGGUUCGGUAUUUGACUCUUCAGGGAUUCUGUCAAAAGACUCUCCCAAGAGUGCAUACCGAAUGGUUUUCUUAUCACUCUCCCACUACGACGAGACACUACAGUUGCAGGGGUAGGUUCAGAGAGAUUUGCAUUAUUAUGAUCUUGUGGUGGAACCACAUCAUUUUUAGGAUCUUGAGUUUCCAUGUUAUCUUCAGUAUCUUGCGGUGCAGAGAUAUCAACAACUUCUUCCUCUAAUGCAAUCUGCUCACUAUCACUCCCACUACCUUGAUGCAAUGAAUUUUCAAGAUCUUGUACUUGCAGAAUUAUAUGUUUGUUAACAUCUCUCCCACUAUUAUAAUGCAAUGGUAUGUUAACUCUAACAUGUGGGGUUUGAAUUUGGUUUUCAUUAUUUUCAGUAGAUUGAUUUGUUUUCUCUUUGCUCAAUUCCUGUAAAACUAGUUUACUUCUAGGAAUAUGGUUUGUUAAAAAAUCCGUUUCCAGAAACUUGGCAUUGGUAGACACAAUGACCUUCUUUUCUUUAGGAUUAUAAAACAUACCACCUUUCGUUCCUUUAGGGUAUCCAAUAAAAACACAUACUUCUGUUUUAGGUUCCAAUUUUUCUGCCUUCCCUUUUAAUACAUGUGCUGGACAUCCCCAAACCCGAAUAUGUCUCAAACUAGGUUUAUGCCCAGUCCACAGUUCAAUGGGUGUCAAAGGAACAGAUUUAGAAGGAACUAAGUUUAGAAUGUAAUUUGCAGUUUCUAUGGCAUAUCCCCAAAACGAAUGCGGCAUAUCAGAGUAACUCAUCAUUGAUCUAACCAUUUCUAAAAGAGUUCUAUUUCUUCUUUCUGCUACACCAUUUUGUUGUGGCGUUCUAGGUGCAGACAUUUGAGAUGUAAUUCCUUGUUCUAAUAAGUAACUAAUUAAAUCAUUAGAGAGGUACUCGCCACCACGAUCAGAUUGCAAUGACUUGAUAUAUAUUCCAUGUCGUUUCUGUAUUUCAACCUUAAACUCUUUGAAUUUAUCAAAGCAUUCAGACUUACGGCGCAACAAAUAUAUAUAUCCAUAUUUUGAGUAGUCAUCAAUGAAGGUCACGAAGUACUCAUACCCACCUCUUACUUGAAUGUUCAUUGGGCCACACAAAUCUGAAUGAAUUAACUCUAGUUAAUCAUUGACUCUAUUUCCUUUUGAGGGAAAAGGUCUCUUAGUCAUUUUUCUUCUAAACAAGAUUCACAUGUUGGUAGUGCCUCCACUUUUAAUGAACCUAAAGGUCCAUCUCGAACCAACCUUGAAAUCCUAUCUAGAUUUAUAUGACAUAGACGCAAGUGCCAUAGAUAAGUCUCAUUAAAAUCAGAAGAACAUUUUCUUUGACUUGAAAGGUUAACAUUAUUCAAUUCUACGAAUUGUUGCAGUAUUGGAGAGCCAUUAAUAAUAAAAAGACCAUCAAUCAAUGUACCAGCAGAGACAAAAUGUUUAUUAUAACUAAUAACACAACCGUUAUCAGAAAAACUAACAUCAUAACCAUCUCUCAAAACUUUAGAAACUUAAAUCAAAUUUCUUCUAACAGCAAGUGCAUAUAGAAAGUCUUUUAAAAUUAAAACUCUACAACUAUCAGACGAAAAAAUAAUAUUUCCUAAUGCUAAAACUGGAGCUGCAGAGCCAUCUGCUUGAAAAACGCUAACUUCACCUCUAAUCAGCUUGCGCGUUUCUUGAAACCCCUGCAUAGUAGUGCAAAUAUGAUCAGUGGCUCCUGAAUCUACACACCAUGAAGUGGUAGAAACAGCCGCUAAAAAUGUUUCAACGACAAGUGAAAGUGAGUUACCUGGUUUGUUUUUCUUCUUGGCUAAGAAAAUUGGACAAUGUGCCUUCCAAUGACCUGACAUCUUGCAAUGAAAACACUUACCCUUAGACUUUUUCACUCCCCCAGUUGGAGGUGCAGUUGCCUUAUCUUUGUGAGACUUUUUCUUCUUCUGUCCACCUUGCGGUUUAGAAGUAGAACCUUUCUCAACAUUAAGUGUCAUUGAUGGUGCAUGUUUUUUUUGACUAGGGUCUCUGUCGCCUGUAGCUCAUUCAACAAUUGUGCCAAAGAUAAACUCAUCUUAUUCAUAUUAUAAUUUAGGUAAAAUUGUUGAAAACUAUCAGGCAGAGACUACAAUAUCAUCUCAACUUGGGAGUCAUUGUCAAUUUCAGCACCCAAAACCUCUAGUUCAUUCAGAAGACUUAUCAUCUUCAGAACAUGGUCUCUUACAGGAGUGCCUUCAACCAUCUUAGUGUUCAUGAGAGUUCUCAUGGCAGUCUGCUUAGCUGAUCGACCCUGGUCUCCAAACAUUUGUUUGAGAUUCUCCAGAAUUUCAUAAGCAGACAACAUAGCUUGAUGUUGAUGUUGCAAAACAUUUGACAUUGAAGCCAUAAUGUAACAUCGCGCCAUCUCAUCAGCUUUGCGCCAUUUCUGAUAAGCUAACUUAUCCUCAUCACUAGACUGAUCAUUUGGUUUCAAUGGACAUUCCUCAUGAAUCACAAACUUAUAUUCUUCAGCAGUUAACACAAUGUCAAGAUUUCUCCUCCAGUCAACAUAGUUAGAACCCUCUAGUUUGUUUUGACCCAAAAUAGUACUAAUGGGAUUAAAAGGAGACAUGUUGAAUCUGAGAUUGAAGAAAUAGUUACAAUAGAUCAAUAACAUAGUAAUAUAACAUUGAAUAUUUACAUUCAAACUCAUGAUAUACAUAUACAUUCAUGCAUCUUAAAUAGCCAAUCGUUGGGAUUGGAGAACUAUUCAUACAAUAUACAUAUAUAAUGACCGAUUAUUCAAUUUAUAAACUUAUACAUACCUAACUCAGUUGGAGAGUCUACUGUUACUUUAAGUCAAGGGAAAAUCCUCUAGUUGCAUUGAUCCAAUCAUAUAUUACUCAGUUUAGGAGAGUUAAUACAAAUAGUCAAACUAGCGAUUAAAUACGUAAUGACUUGUAUUAAAUUCAUCCAAUGGGGAGGAAGGUCUAAGCCAACACAUAAACUUAAUACUUCAUUAAUAUUUAAUCUUGGUAAAAAAUCUACUCAUCACCAUUUAUUUUCUUCCAAAUUUCAUACAAAAAAAUUUUCAGAAAGAAAAUAUACGCACACCAAAUUUUCGUACAUUCCAUGUACCAUCUCAUAUAUAUUCAAUAAUACACCUUUUGAUUAAAAAAAUUAUGGCUGCCUAUAAUGCGAACAAGAAAACUACAGCCAUACUAUUCUGUUUUAGUCGUACAAAAUCAAAAGUUUCUCUCUAUAUUAAAACAUGUGAGCCAAAAACAAAAAAAAUUAACCUUUUUUUUUAUUAUAUCAAAAAACAUCCAGCCACAUAAUUUAAUUCUUUUUUAUCAUAUCAAAAACAACCACAUAAUCGAGACAUAAAUCACACAUGCAAUCAUGUAUUGCUUCCAUGGCGUGGUAUGCUUCUCUUUGGCCUUGCCAUAACACAAAUCUGAUAUAUACAAUUGCACAUAAGUGCUUCCACAAGACAACAAUAAAAAAAAUUGAUCGGUGCAGCUAUCAAAAUUUCUCUUGAAAUUAUCCAUCGAAGAACACCGUGCAUGACAAUAUGAAAAUAUUAUCAAAUCUUACAAAUCAAUUUUCAUAAGUAACUAUUACCGUAUGCAUUUAACAAAAACAAAUCAAAUCAAGUUUUUAUCCAAUCUGUCCUUUUCGUGAUAAAACAAAAUUCACAACCACGAAUCAUACGUAUAAUUUCACAUAUGCAUAUUUUAGGUUAUGUAUAAAGAUGCAAGUAUGGCUCUGAUACCAAUUGUUGGAAAAUAGCAUACACAGUGGAAGCAUUCCAGAAUCAUACAUCUUGCAUGAAUAUAAAUAACAAUCACAAAUAGUUAUCACAUACAAAGUAUGCUGAAAAUUAACUCAGGAUUACCUCUUGAAGCGUGUGCAGAUAUCUUGAAGUAAAUCCAACUCCUGUUCUAUAGUCUUCUAUAGUGAUCCCAAUCAACAACUGAACUCUCUCAAUACUUGGGUGGGAAAGUAUUGUAUAGAAUUCUCUUAUUGAAUCUAGGUUAGAAAAAUCCCUAUUUAUAGAGAUGUCUUCCUAGUCCAAAGAGGAGAGGAAAAACCAAUUCUUUUUCUUUUAGGAGAUGUCUUCCUAGUCCAAAGAGGAGAGGAAAAAACCAAUUCUUUUUCUUUUAGGAGAACUUGAAAACACACUUUUUCCUCCAAAGAAAAAGAACGCUACUUUUCCAUCUUCUACUAGAAAAUAGGAUUCUGAGUUCUAGUUAAAUUGGGCACUUGAGGGACCACAUAAUUAUUACUGAGGCUUCCUAUUAUGGAAAUAAUUCUAAAUAAUUAAUUUAAAUUAUUCUUACCAUAAUAAAUUACAAAUCAUUCCACCAAAAAUUCGUAAUUGAACUCCUCUAUUUAUUUUGAAAUUCACCACUAAACACUUAUUUGAUUCCCCAUGUUAAGAUUACCGAUACUAAUCAAUAAAUUAAAUUACUGACGAAUUUAAUUCAAUGAUUAAAUUCUUUUAGAGCAAUACUUAACUUAUUUCAUGUGCCAGAUUCAUAAAUCUACCGGCCGGGUUUACACAUGAAAACUUACAAGCUUCUCAUAAAAGGUGUAUCAUCAAUCUCUAUACUGAGACAUGAAUUCCAUCAACUAACUAAUUAUUUCACCAAUAUAUAUUAUUAUCAUCCAAUUUACCAGGCAUAUUGACUCAUCUCAGAAUCUCACCUUUUAAUAAAUCAAAAUGAUAAAUAAUAUAUACAGAUCAUAAUCGCUAUAUCAAGAUUAGGAAUAUAAGUACAUUUAAUAGUUUAGAGAAUAUGUUUUUAUCAAUCAGUCUAAAACAACUAUCUCUGCUUGGUCCCGUUCAAUACAUACCAAAUGCACUAGCACGAGAAGUUAGAACUAUGCCAUUCUCAUAAUCAAGAUAAAUUACAUUUAAUCUCGUGCUACAAUCUUUCUGAUGAUUUUGUCCAAAUUUCCAUCUAUGAUUGUGAACUAUAAAUUUUAACUUAUAAGAACUGAUGAUUUAAUCUUCUGUGUAUAAGCUUAAACUCUAUACACCAAAUCAUCUACUAUAUAAGUUAAGGACACAUAUAUGACAAUUGAUCUAUUUAAUGUAAGACUUUAUUGAAUUGAAUAAAUAAAUAAACAAUUGUUCAAUAUUAAUACUAUAUCAAAACGCAUGGUUAAUAGUAUAUCGUAACACUGGUUUGGAUGUUGGGUACAGGGGUGAAUUUAUAUGGAAAGAUUCAUUGGUUGGUUUCUGAUGCUAAUCGAAAUGAGUUAUCAAACUCUUUAUCUCUCAAGAAUUUUGAAGCAGAGGUAGUAAAUGUCUUUUAGAUAUCUUGUACUGCUAGAGUAUUUUAUAUUUUUAGGUUUGUGUUUUAUAUCCUUGGCUAACAAUAACAUACCAUCAUGUUAUUUGAGGGGAAAGUUGUUUGUACAAAUCUGCAAGUAAUCUGCGUGGACAAUUUGAGCAACAUUGAAAAAAGAGUUGAAAUUUUCAGAAAAUAACAAAGUAAUGCUGAGAGAGAAAUAUUGCAAUGUAAUCAAAGGAGAAUAUUAAAAAGUUAAUGUAAUGAAUGAGUUUUGUUUGUAAGUUGCUAAUAUUCCUUAUUUGGUACUCUUGUUACUUUAGAUUACAAAAAUUACCAAAUAUAUCAUUGACUUUUUAGAGAAUAAAAAACUGAACGAAAUGUCUAUUGGUGCCACUUUCGAAAGAUGAGUUUGGAUCUAACUCAAUUUCAAAAUUAGCUGAUGAAUCUUGAGAAUUACUUAAUCUCAAAAACUAUUUGUAAAUAAUUCUGUUGAUUUAUAUGACCGGCACUAAAUCAAAGUGCACGUUGUUGCCUGUUAUGAAGAUAGAUUUUGGGUAUAACUCAACCUUAAAAGUAAAAAAUAACUUUUCAAAAUUCUCGAAACUCCUAAUGGAAGGAUGGACAAUAUACCAUGGGACUCAACAAUAAAUUGAAAUUACUAUAACUAACUCUCAUACCAAAUAAAUAUAUAGUGCGGAAAACUCAAAUUCAAAUACUAACUCACAAAGAGAAAAAAUAUUCAAAUCCAUCUAACAAGAUCAAUUUUUCAGUCCUCCUUAGGGUGUUAAACUUCUUUAACACCACUUACCUCAAAAAUCAGUAAAAUUAAUAAUGGGGGACAAGUUCUCAUAUCCCACAUGUUGUUCACUGAAUCAGACAAAUAGCUUUGAAAUGUAUUAGGAUGAAUUGGAUUGGAAAUAUCGGAACGAAUAUUCGAUUUUGUUCUAUCGUUCCCAUUAUAUAUCAGAAUGGAAUUGGAAUGAAUCGAAAUGGAACGGGAUGAGAUAAACGGAACGUCACUUUUAGUUAUUUCAAAAUCGAUUAAAAAUUUUAUUUUAGUUAUUUUAAUUUUUUGAAAUACGAAAAUAUGAAUACUUUUUAUUUUUCUAAGUUUAAAUUAUUAGUUUUUAAAUUUAUAACGUAAUUUUUUACUUAAGUUUAUUUUAAAGAUAGUUUUUUUAAAAUUUUUACUUAUUAAGUUUACAAGUUAAGUUAUAAGUUUUCAAGAUUUGAAUCUUUUGAAGUUUAUAAGCUAUUACCUGUUAAUAUAUUAUAACUUAUAGGUUAUAUUUCUAAUUUGUGAUUUAAAUAACUUAAAUUUGUAAUUUUAAAAAAAUUAAAUAAAUAUAAGAAUAAAAGAUUACACAAACUAAAAAAUAUAAAAUAUAAACUGUAAAUAUAUAAUAUAAAUUAAUUAAUAAAUAAUAAUUAAUCGAAAACCGAACAAACACCGAACCGGACCGGCACCUAACCAUACCGGAUCGGGAUCCGAGUAAUUCGAUACGGGUACACCGGUAUCAAAUCACGAUUACAUUUCGUUUCAUGUACCGAUUCAUGGUGUCUCGUUCCGUCUCGUAGGCAAUCGAAUCGGUGCGAACUGAAACAGUAUAGAUCAGUUGCCCAGUCUUACUUAAGAGUAACUUAACAAAAAACUUUCUAUAAAUAAUUAGGUUUAUUUAUAUGACCCAUUGGUGCCAGUUAUGAAUAUGGAUUUUGGAUAUAACUCAAUCUCAAAAAUAAGAAUAAUUUUUCAAAAAUCUGAAGUAUACCUUAAUGGGAGCAUGCACAAUAUACCAUGGAGUUCAAUAAUAAAUCAAAUCGACUUUAACAGCCUUUGAUACCAAGUAAAUAUAUAGAAAAAGAAAAUUUAUCUAAAUACUCUCUCUAUCCCUAUUUACUUGUCCAUAUUUCCUCUUUAAAUGUCCCUAGUUACUUGUCCAUUUUAACAAAUCAAGAAAGGAUUAAAAAAAAUUUCUAUUAUACCCUCAUUUAAACUUCUUGAAAAUUUCUAAGUUUUAAUUCAUCCUUUUUGAAAUAAUAUUUAAUAAGGGUAAACUUAUAAUUUUACCAUGUUAAUUAUUGUUAUCUUAAUAUGUAUGUCUUUUCUAAAGUGCACAAUUAAAUAGGAACAGAGGGAGUAUCUAUAAGGAUAUUAAUUUUCUAUUUUUUUUUAUGUUGCACUUAAUUCUCAUGCCCCACAUGAUGUUCACUAAGUCAAAACAAUUGACUUUGAAAUUUGAUCCAAGUACAGAAAUUUCUCUCUUUUAGGUUUGUGAUUUUUCGACGAAAUUUUAAAAAAAAUUAAGUAGUUGUGAUUUUUCCAACUGGUAUAAGAAAGAGUUGUGGUAUAAUAAAGAGUUUGACUUUUUAGGUGUAUGAUUUCUCGGAAUGGUCAAGAAAAUACUUGUUUACGCAACUCUUUGUUGAUUAUAAGCUAAUUCAUUGGUGAUUCUUAAAAUUUACUUUAACUUUCAUUUAGAUAUUUUAAUUAAAUUUUGUUCAUUUUAUAUAUUUUAUGUAAGUUUUUGCGAUGCUAUUUUGACAUUUUUUGCUUAUAAGGCAUACUGAGUAUCAUACACAUACUUAUUACGUGUAAAAGUCUUAUUCACAAUUUUUUUAUAAGAAAUUCUCCAUUUAAAUCUAUGAUAAAAUAAAUUUAGUAACGUCACAAAUAAAAAAGUAAAUUUUAGCUCAUAAAAUUUUUCAAAAGUUUAAAUUUUAACAUCAUGAAAUAAUAAUCUAAUUAUUUUUCAUGAAUCAUAAGAUUUAAAAAAAAAUUGCACUAUUAAUCAAUAACUUAAAAGUAAAAAAGAAAAUAUUAUACUUUUGUAAGAUAAUUUUUUUCAAACUAAUUAAGUUCUUUUGAAAGUAUCUUUUGAAAAUUUGAUAUGAAUAGAAACAAGACAGAAGUUGGAGUUGGUGGGGGCGAGAAGAGGAUCUGGUGACUGGUGGGGUGCAGGAAUGAUUGCGAUUGGGGUGGAGAGGAAGAUCUGAUGGCUGGUAGGGUGGAAGAGUUGUAGGGGUUGGGGUGGGGGUGAAUGGAGAAGGAAACUGGGUCGGGUGGGGUGAAGAAGACGACGGGGUUGGGUUGGGGUAAUUACUUUAUUCUUAUUGUUUGAGUUUAAAAUGACAUAUGCCAUCAAAUAUGUGUGUGUAUGUGUUGCAUGUUUUUAUUUGAUUCAUCACUUUGACACAUCAUCAACAAUUACAUUAUACACACUUAUAUAUAUUUGGGUAAUUGUAAAAAAGAGUCAAAAUGACGAAAUAGAACCUUAUAUAAAGUGUUUAAAAUGAGCAAAGUCUACUUGUGUCUAAAUAAAAGUUAGUGUCAAUUUUUCGGGGUUAUCAAUGGGUUAGGCCUUGACUAUAAAUAGAGAAGUUUAUCUAUUCUUUUCCAUGCAUUUUAAUUUUUUUAAUUUAAUUAUGAAUAGCCAGAUAACUAUAUUUGAUUUGUGUAAAUACUAAUUUUGGACACGUGCAAUGCACGUGUAUCUCAUACUAAUUUAUAUAGAAGCAUUAGAAUUAAUAAAAUCUAUUUUCUAAUAGAACAAAGUUUUAUAAUUAAUAUAAGGAUAUUAAUUUCCUUUUUUUUUUUUUUAGUGUUGCGCUUAAUUCUCAUGUCCCACAUGAUGUUCACUGAGUCAAACAAAUAACUUUGAAAUUUUAUCCAAAUACAGAUAUUUUAUCUCAAAUAUUGCCACAUAACAUAUCUAGAGUUCCAUUAAACCACUUUAUGCCUAUAAAAAGGAAAACUCCCAAGUGAAAAAAGUUGAAAGUUAUUUUGGUUGAUAAGAACCAAAACAACUUUUCCAGCAAAGAAAAAGUUAGCCCAAAAAACCUAAAAAAGAAAGUAAAAAAAGAGCCAAAACAGAGAGUUUUAGGAAUUUUUCUUUAACAAUGGUGGUUGCCCCUCUCUUGUUUAGCCAAUGAUUUUUAUUUUUAUUUUCAGAAGCAACAAUGUCACGACCCAAAACCAAGCCGCGACUGGCACCCACACUUACCCUCCUGUGUGAGCGAACCAACCAAUCUAAACCUUAACAUUUCAGUAUAAUAUCAACAGAAAGUAAUGCGGAAGACUUAAACUCAUUAAAUAACGGCCAAUUCAUUAACUUCUAAAAUUCAACAUCUAUUAUUCCCCAAAAUCUGGAAGUCAUCACCACAAGAACAUCUAUGCUCAAAUUGCUAAAUUAAGAGUAUUCUAAGAAGCUAAAACAAAUAAAAACUAGUCCAUGCCGGAACUUCAAGGCAUCAAGACAUGAAGAGGAAGAUCCAGUCCAAGCUAGAAGCAUUAGCUCACCCUGAUAUCCGGAGUAAUGAAGACUGGCUAGAGUUACGGUUGAGUCGAAGAUGACGGCACGUUUGCUGCACUCCACAAAUAUAAACAAGAAGAAAACAUAAAAGUAGGGGUCAGUACAAAACACGGGUACUGAGUAGAUAUCAUCGGCCAACUCAAAAUAGAAAACAAUAUAUACCAAGUAAUAUCAUAAAAUCAACUAAUAUCCUUAACAUGCAGCAUUUACAGUUACCAUAACCCUUGGUUACAACACCAAGCACAUUAAUGAGGACUCACGCCUCCUCAUCAUACUCAUUUGGGAAUUAGGUUCAUUAGAUUGAAUAUAUUAUCAUCUUUCAAGAUUCAUUAUCUUUAUUCCUUUUGUGUUGGUACGUGACACCCCUCUCCUCAUAUACUAUCCUAGUGUCGGAACAUGACACUCCGAUCCUUAUUCUAUCCUGGUGUCGGAACGUGACACCCGAUCCAUAUUCUAUCCUGGUACCGGAACGUGGCACCCGAUCCAUAUACUAUCCAGGUGUCGGAACGUGACACUCCGAUCCUCAUAUACUAUCCUGGUACCGGAACAUGGCACCCGAUCCAUAUACUAUCCUGGUGUCGGAAGGUGACACUCCGAUCCUCAUAUACUAUCCUGCUACCCGAACGUGGCACCCGAUCUAUAUACUAUCCUGGUGUCGGAACGUGACAUUCCGAUCCUCAUAUACUAUCCUGGUACCGGAACGUGACACCCAAUUCCCUCAUCUCACUACUUUCGUUCAUCAAGCCUUCUUUUAUACCAAGGCAUCAUCAUUAACAAAGUAGAUUAGGGUUCUUCAAGAUUUAGGAUUCAAUAGCUUCAUCAUGCUUACUUUAUCACAAUUAUAUAAUCACAUUCAUGGAAGCAUACAAUUAAGCAUAUAGAAGGGUUUACAAUACUACCCAUACAUAUCAUUUGCUAUUAAGAAUUUACUACGAAUAGUAUAAAAACCAUAACCUACCUCCACCGAAGAUUAGAAAUCAAGAAAGCAAAUUCCCAAAGCUUUGUUCUUUUUCUCUCCCUGUUUGAUCCUCUCUCUCUUUCGAAUUUCUCUCUCUUUCUCUUGUUCUUUCUAUUCUUUUCUUAUUCAAACCCUCCUUCUUUUACCCUAAUUAACAUGUAAUUAAGUGUAAAAGAUGACAAUAAUAACCCACAAUUUAACUCAAGGUUACCUCUUUUAUCCCCUAAGUAGUUAGACUUAUUAACAUUAACCCACUAACUUUAUAAUUAAAGCAGGAAUAGUCAAAAACGUCCCUUAAAACAUAUCAAGAAAUCCGACCCAGACUGGGAUUACGCAACCUGUGAUGGCCCGUCGUGCCUGCAACAGUCCGUCCUGCAGGUCGUCGCAAGGUUCAGAGACUGGAUUUCCACUGAAGACUCUAUGACGGUCCGUCACGCCUGCCAUUCCGUCACGAAGUUCAGAGAGUCGAUUUUCAGUACCCAAUUUCAGAUUUUCUAAGUGUUUUGAAACGAGAUCCUGCGACGGUCCGUCGUGCCCAUGACGGUCCGUCGUGGGGUCCGUCGCUUCUGCCAGUUUUUCCAGAAUUGAAGUCUGCUGCUCAAAAUGACUAAACAGGUCGUUACAAUAGAUACCAAUUUACCCAUCGUUCGUCCCCGAACGAUCACAAGAAGGAAAACAAGGGCGAAAAGGAGUACCUGAAUCUGUAAACAGGUGUGGGUAUCUUUCUCGCAUAUCGACCUCCUUCUUCCAAGUUGCUUCUUCAACUGGCCGAUUCUUCCAUUGAACUUUGAUGGAUGCAAUCUCCCUUGAUCUCAACUUGCGAAUCUCUCUAUCUAGAAUGGCAACAGGCUCCUCCUCAUAAGACAAAUUCUCAUCAAGCAAAACUGAAUCCCAACGGAUAAUGUAGUUUCCAUCCCCAUGGUAUCUUUUCAACAUAGACACAUGGAAUACCGGAUGUACUCAGGACAGCCCUGGAUGCAAGGCUAACUCAUAAGCCACCUCCCCUUGAAUCGUUCGCUCAGACUGACCAUCGGUCUGAGGAUGGAACACGGUACUAAGGUCCAACCUAGUACCCAAUUCAGCAUGCAAUGUUCUCCAAAACAUGGAAGUAAACUGCGUACCUCUAUCUGAUAUGAUGGAUAGUGGAACCCCGUGCAACCGAACAAUUUCUGAGAUAUAGAUUUUGGCUAACUUCUCUGCAUUAUAAGUCACCUUGACCGGAAUGAAAUGAGCAGACUUAUUUAACCUAUCAACAAUCACCCAGAUGGAAUCGUACUUACCCAUCGUCUUUGGAAGACCAACCACGAAGUCCAUUGCGAUUCUCUCCGAUUUCCAUUCCGGAAUGGGCAUUCUCUGAAGUGUUCCUCCGAGCCUUUGGUGUUCAUACUUUACUUGUUGACAGUUUGGACAUUUGGCAAUAAAAUCCACAAUAUCACGCUUCAUUCUACUCCACCAAAAGUGUUGCUUUAGGUCACGGUACAUCUUGGUUGCACCCGGAUGUAUCGAAUACCUUGAACUAUGAGCCUCUAUCAGAAUAGUGUCGAUCAAAUCAUCGACGCGGGGUACGCAUACCCUUCCCUUGAUCCUCAAAACACCUUCCUCAUCGAUUUGUGCUUCCUUAACCUCCCCUCGCAAUACCUUAUCUUGGAUUCAGCGCAGUUUCUCAUCAUCAGACUGUCUUCCCUUAAUCUUGUCAAGAAAGGAAGAUCUUGCCUCCACAGAAGCCAACAAUCCUCCCUUCUCAUUUAAUUCUAAUAUCAUAAGGUCGUUAGCCAGAAUCUGAACUUCUCUAGCCAAUGGGCGUCUAGAAGCUUGCAAGUGAGCUAGACUCCCCAUGCUUCCCGCCUUUCUACUUAAAGAAUCCGCUACAACAUUCGCCUUCCCCGAAUGAUACAUAAUAGUGAUGUCGUAGUCCUUCAGUAGUUCCAUCCAUCUCCUCUGUCUCAAGUUCAAAUCUUUCUGAGUGAAGACAUACUGAAGGCUACGAUGAUCCGUGUAGACCUCACACUUAGCCCCAUAUAAAUAGUGUCUCCAUUGCUUUAAUGCAAACACUACUGCGGCCAAUUCCAAAACAUAAGUUGGAUAGUUACGUUCAUGCACUUUUAAUUGUCUUGAAGCAUAAGCAAUCACAUUCUUCUCUUGCAUUAGUACUGCACCCAAACCCGAAUAGGAUGCAUCACAAUAGACAGAAAUUCUUACCUUCCACUGGCAAGGUGAGAAUUGGUGCAGUAGUCAACAGAGUCUUGAGCUUCUGAAAGCUUUCCUCACACUCAUCCGACCAUACGAAUGGGACAUUUCGCUUAGUCAGGUUCGACAGUUGGGAAGCAAUAGAAGAGAAUCCCUUGACAAAUCGGCGGUAGUAGCUAGCUAACCCAACAAAGCUCCUUAUUUCUGACACAUUAGUAGGUCUUACCCAAUUCUUUACUGUCUCAAUCUUAGAAGGAUCCACCAUCACUCCAUCCUUAGAAACCACGUUCCCCAAGAAGGACACUGCAUCUAGCCAAAACUCAAACUUAGAGAACUUGGCAUAAAGCUUUUUCUCCCUCAACAUUUCAAAUACCAUUCUCAAAUGCUCCACAUGUUCCUUCUUGCUCUUUGAGUAUAUCAGUAUAUCAUCAAUAAAUACGAUCACGAAGAGGUCCAAAUAUGGCUUAAAAGUCCCGUUCAUCAAGCUCAUGAACGCAACAGGGGCAUUCGUAAGACCAAAAUACAUCACUACAAAUUCGUAAUGCCCAUACCUCGUUCGAAAAGCAGUCUUUGGCACAUUCGUUGCCCGUAUUUUCAAUUGAUGAUAACCGGAUCUCAAGUCAAUCUUAGAGAAGACACAAGCACCAUGUAACUGAUCGAACAAGUCAUCAAUGCGAGGAAGAGGAUACUUGUUCUUUAUGGUUACCUUGUUUAGUUGUCUGUAGUCUAUACACAUUCGAAAACUCCCAUCCUUCUUCUUCACAAACAAAACUGGAGCACCCCAAGGAGAUACACUUGGUCUAAUAAAGCCUUUGUUUAACAACUCUUGAAGUUGGGCUUUUAACUCUCUUAACUCCGCGGGAGCCAUUCUAUAAGGGGGUAUAGAAAUGGGGCGAGUACCCGGUUCAAGGUCAAUACAGAAAUCAAUAUCCCUAUCUGGUGGUAUACCAGGAAGAUCUGCAGGGAACACAUCCUGAAACUCACGGACCACCGAAACCGACUCAAUCGAAGGUACUUGGGUAGUGUCAUCCUUGAGAUGUGCCAAGAAAGAUAAACACCCUUUACUAACCAUUUUCUUAGCACGAAGAAGGGAGAUGAUACGCACCGGAUUGGAAGUGUAGUCACCCUCCAACACUAACGGAUCUGUCCCAGGCUUGGCUAACGUCACCGUUUUAGCAUUACAAUCCAAGAUCGCAAAUUGCGGAGAAAGCCAAGUCAUACCCAGAAUUACAUCAAAAUCAUCCAUUUCUAAGAUAACCAAAUCUACAUAAGUGUUGCUCCCCACAAAGUUCACCAAACAGGACCUAUAUACCUUUUCAACUACCACAGACUCACCCACCGGAGUAGAAACACGAAUAGGCAUAUCAAGUAAUUCACAAUGUAAAUUUAGACCAUUAGUAAAUGAGGAAGAUACAAAAGAAAAUGUGGAUCCAGGAUCAAACAAUACAGAAGCCAUGCAAUCACAAACCAGAAGAUUACCUGUGAUGACAGCAUCAGAUGCCUCCGCUUCAGAUCUCCCAAGGAAAGCGUAGCAAUGGGCCCUCUCACCCGUCUGUCCGUUGCCCCUACCAUGUUGUGAUGUAGUGGCUACAGGUUGCCCAUCACCUCGGCCGUUCUUGUGGCCACCACUACCUCGGACACCACGUCCUCCAGAAUAACGGCCUCUACCAUGACCACCUUUACCUCUAACAUUUGGAGGUCUGUAACUCUGUUUUGGACAAUAUCUCUUAAUAUGUCCAAUCUCCCCACAUCCAUAGCACUCUCUGGGUUCAUGCAUAGGUCUCUCAGAGAAGUGUUGACCGGUCGGAGGUGGACCCCCAACUACAGUCUGUAGUGAAGACUGAAUGGGUCGAACUGAGUAACCUCUGGAAUCUUGUCCUCUAGAGUAAGAACCAUUAAACUCACCUCCCUUUCGAAACCUUUUUGAUGUAGUUGCCAUGGUGAAGUCAUCUGGCUUCACUCCCUCUACCUCUAUUACGAAGUCUACCACUUCUUGAAAAGAUUUCGCUGUAGCCGCUACCUGUAAGGCUGAAAUCGCAACUCUGAUCUCAACCCCUUCACAAAACGACGAAUCCGCUCUUGUGGACUGAAACAAAGUUGGGUGGCAUAUCUGGAUAGUGCACGAAACUUAGCCUCAUAUGCAUUGACCAACAUCCUACCUUGCUCUAGGCUCAAGAACUCAUCCAUUUUCCUAUCCCUCAAAGUCCGGGGGAUAUACUUCUCCAUAAACAAGAGAAUGAGGCCCAAGUCAUAGGUGGUGCCUCUGUUGGUUGACACUCAACAUGUGACCGCCACCACAUUUUGGCGUUCCCUUGAAACUGAUAACUCACGAACUCAACACCAAACCGUUCUACAAUACCCAUCUUGUGUAGUAGCUCAUGACAGUCAACCAGAAAAUCAUAAGCCUCCUCAGAUUCAGCACCGUUGAAGACUGGAGGUUUCAAUUUCAAGAACUUACUGAAAAGUUCAUGCUGAUCAUUUGUCAUUAUAGGCCCAGUAGUCAGACGUGGAAACGUGCCUAUGUCCAAUGAGGCAUCCAUAUGAGGAGCCAUAGUGGCGGCAUGUUGUACCUCUGAAACUGGAGGUGUUGGUGCAGAAAACACUGGAGGGGCCUGACCCUGAUCAGACAACCCACUAAGAUAAGCGAGAACCUGAUUGAUCAUCUCUGUGGUAGGUUGGGGUGGAAAUUCCUCAUUUUGCACUUGUUCAUUCUCCCCUUCCUCACCCUCUCUUACUACUUCCUCAGUCGGUGGAGGAGUCACUGCCCUAGUAUCAGAUGGGCUAGGUGCUUGUCCUCUUCCCCUAGAGGACGUCCUCCCACGACCUCUACCACCGCCUCUUGCCGCUGCUCUUCCUCGAGCUACAGCCUCACUGGCUGGCUCAGACGCACCCUGUCCCGCUGGUGCUGGUGUUGGUGUUGGCGUAGUCGUUGCUCUAGUUCUAACCAUCUGUGAAAUAGAGUGAAGAUGGUCAGAUACCAAUUUGUAUCACCUAGAUACCAAUUGGACCCAAGUAAUAGCACGAAAGAAGAAAGAAAGAGUGGAAUUUUCCUAAAGUCUUAUAGCCUCUCAAAGAAAAGUAAAGGCGUCCCCCUACCGUUCCUUAAGACUCUACUAGACUCGUUCUUGUGUGAUGAGACCAACGAACCUAAUGCUCUGAUACCAAGUUUGUCACGACCCAAAAUCGGGCCGCGAUUGGCACCCACACUUACCCUCCUGUGUGAGCGAACCAACCAAUCUAAACCUUAACAUUUCAGUAUAAUAUCAACAGAAAGUAAUGUGGAAGACUUAAACUCAUUAAAUAAAGGCCAAUUCAUUAACUUCUAAAAUUCAACAUCUAUUAUUCCCCAAAAUCUGGAAGUCAUCACCACAAGAACAUCUAUGCUCAAAUUACUAAACUAAGAGUAUUCUAAGAAGCUAAAACAAAUAAAAGCUAGUACAUGCCGGAACUUCAGGGCAUCAAGACAUGAAGAGGAAGAUCCAAUCCAAGCUAGAAGCAUUAGCUCCCCCUGAUAUCCGGAGUAAUGAAGACUGGCUAGAGUUACGGUUGAGUCGAAGAUGACGGCACGUUUGUUGCACUCCACAAAUAUAAACAAGAAGAAAACAUAAAAGUAGGGGUCAGUACAAAACACAGGUACUGAGUAGAUAUCAUCGGCCAACUCAACAUAGAAACAAUAUAUACCAAGUAAUAUCAUAAAAUAAACUAAUAUCCUUAACAUGCAGCAUUUACAAUUACCAUAACCCUUGGUUACAACACCAAGCACAUCAAUGAGGACUCACGCCUCCCCAUCAUACUCAUUUAGGAAUUAGGUUCAUUAGAUUGAAUAUAUUAUCAUCUUUCAAGAUUCAUUAUCUUUAUUCCUUUUGUGUCGGUACGUGACACCUCGCUCCUCAUAUACUAUCCUGGUGUCAGAACGUGACACUCCGAUCCUCAUUCUAUCCUGGUGUCGGAACGUGACACCCGAUCCAUAUUCUAUCCUGGUACCGAAACGUGGCACCCGAUCCAUAUACUAUCCUGGUGUUAGAACGUGACACUCCGGUCAUCAUAUACUAUCCUGGUACCGGAACUUGGCACCCGAUCCAUAUACUAUCCUGGUGUCGAAACGUGACACUCCGAUCCUCAUAUACUAUCCUGGUACCAGAACGUGGCACCCGAUCCAUAUACUAUCCUGGUGUCGGAACGUGACACUCCGAUCCUCAUAUACUAUCCUGGUACCGAAACGUGGCACCCGAUCCCCUAAUCUCACUACUUUCAUUCAUCAAGCCUUCUUUUAUACCAAGGCAUCAUCAUUAACAAAGUAGAUUAGGGUUCUUCAAGAUUUAGGAUUCAAUAGCUUCAUCAUGCUUACUUUAUCACAAUUAUAUAAUCACAUUCAUGCAAGCAUACAAUUAAGCAUAUAGAAGGGGUUACAAUACUACCCAUGCAUAUCAUUCGCUAUUAAGAGUUUACUACGAAUAGUAUAAAAACCAUAACCUACCUCCACCAAAGAUUAGAAAUCAAGAAAGCAAAUUCCUAAAGCUUUGUUCUUCUUCUCUCCCUGUUCGAUCCUCUCUCUCUUUCGACUUUCUCUCUCUUUCUCUUGUUCUUUCUAUUCUUUUCUUAUUCAAACCCUCCUUCUUUUAACCUAAUUAACAUGUAAUUAAGUGUAAAAGAUGACAAUAAUAACCCACAAUUUAACUCAAGGUUACCUCUUUUAUCCCCCAAGUAAUUAGACUUAUUAACAUUAACCCACUAACUUUAUAAUUAAAGCAGGAAUAGUCAAAAACGUACCUUAAAAAGUAUCAAGAAAUCCGACCCAGACUGGGAUUACGGAACCUGCGACGGCCCGUCGUGCCUGCGACGGUCCGUCCUGCAGGUUGUCGCAAGGUUCAGAGACUGGAUUUCCACUGAAGACGCUGUGACGGUCCGUCACGCCUGUGGCGGUCCAUCCUGCCAUUCCGUCACGAAGUUCAGAGAGUCGAUUUUUAGUACCCAAUUUCAGAUUUUCUAAGUGUUUUGAAACGAGACCCUACGACGGUCCGUCGUGCCCAUGAGUUUAAAGUGACAUAUGUCAUCAAAUUUGUGGCUUUUUUCUACUCAAAAGUCAUUAUUUGAUUUUUUUUGUGUGUGUGCAUGCGUGCGUGCGUGCGUGUGUGUGUCUGUGUGUGUGUUUGUGUGUGAGUGAGUGAGUGUGCGCGCGUGCGUGCGUGCGUGCGCGUGUGUGUUACGUGCCUUUAUUUGAUUCGUCACUUUGACACAUUAUCAACAAGUGUAUUAUAUACACUUGUAUAUUUGGGUGGUUGUAAAAAAAGUGUCAAAAUAACAUAAUAUAGAGAAGUUUAUCUAUUCUUUUUCUUGCAUUUUAUUUUUUUAAAAUUUAAUUAUUGAUAGUCAAAUAACUAUAUUUGAUGUGUAAACAUUAAUUUACGGCACGUGUAUCCCGUACUAAUUUAUAUAGAAUCAUUAGAAUUAAUAAAUAAUUUUCUAAUAGAACAAAGUUUUAUAAUUAAUAGAAAUUUCAUUUUGAUCUAUGAAAGUAUCUUUGCUGAAAAAUAUUUUUCUAGCCUGAAAAUUUAGUUAGAGAACUGAUUGGUUAAAGGCUAUAGGUGGCAAGAAAAUUAAAAAUAAAUAGGCUAAGAAAUCACGUGAAUAUCAAGCAAAAUACAUGCAACAAGGAAUAAAAUUAACAAAAUAUAAAGAUAAUAACAAUGACCUACAUACUUGAUAACAAUUAAUAUGUUCUCUAUACAAAAAAGAAGAUAAAAAUUUAUAAUUAGAAGUAACUGAAUUACUCAAAAUUAUUACUGAUACGGGAAUUUCUUCUUCUACUAUCUAAAUCAAUUUGCAUUAAAAAAUAAAUUACUACACAUUGAGUUUUGGAUUGAAACCCCAUCACAUAUCCAUAUAUGUGAGUUUUUAAUAAGUUAACAUUAAUAAUAAACAAUAAAUAUGUCAAAUCACUUUAUUUGAACUAACUUUUUAGUUUCUCAAAACUUGUUACACUUCCAAAAAAUGUGCAUAAGCAGAAAUAUAUAUUGUAGAUCAUUUAAUGAUAAUAAAUCAAAUAUUGUAAAAUAUAAAUGAAUGUGGAAGUUUGUUAAAAAUAAUUAAUAGAUAAAAAGAAAAAAAAAUUAAAAUAAUUAGUAGUAAUAAUUGAGAUAAUUCAUAUUGUUAUAAAUGAAGUAUUUUAGAGGCAACUCAUAUGUGUAAGUUAUAUUACGUAUACACAUAAUAGUUGAAAAAAUAAAAUUGACUCAUUAAAAAAAAUAUUGUUCAACUUUUCAUUUAUGUAAGAAGUUACUUACAAAAGUACGUAAUGACAGAAUAAAUUAGUUUCACAUACAUAUGGGGAGAAUUGAAUGUGGAGGGUUAAAAUAUAAUUGUUGAGUUUUCAACAUACUAGCUAUUUGUGUUAUUUAAACAUUACUAUUUGAUUUGAUUUUAAUUCAAUGAAGGACCGAAAAUUUUGACCAGUAGUAAACUUGCAUUCAACCUUCAAGUAAUUAAAAUAUGAUUGUAUAAUAUUUAAUUAAAUAUUUUAUGAUAUAUUUAAAUUUAUGUCAAUGAUGACCUUGUAAUUCGAUGUUGAUGAUAAAAACUAAUAUAAUAUGAUAUGAUUAAAUAUAUAAUAACUAAUUAAGUCUUUAAAAAAGGGUAAAAAUAUCUUGCAACUUUCCCUUCACAUUAUCUCGAAUUCUUGGCUAAUAUGGUGAUUUAAUAUAAGUUUUUCUUUACAUAUUAUUACAGUCGUUUACUUUUAUGAACCAUUUUUUAUUCUCGCUCAACUUGCAUUUUUCUAAGGGCAUCAUGGAUAAAUUUGUCACGAUCGGAAUCUAGACCCCAGACAAGACCGGCGUCAUUGACCUCUCAGAGGUCGCAAACAAGCCUACUUACGUCAUUCUUACUUUACAUAGAUUAAUUUUAGCGGAAAAUUUGAAAUUUUUGAUUCCUUAAUCAAAAUUGUUAUACAUUCUUAAUAUUUCGUAAUCGUUCAUCAUCAACCAUCUAACAAAUUUAAAGAUAAUCAACUGAAAGAAAUAAUUCAUUAAGUAUUAAUUGUAUCUCGGUCAAAAUAACCCCAAUACAAAGUCUGAACCAAAGUAGGAAAGAAACGCUAGUGGAACAUGCUCCACUAGCUCAACUCUAAAACUACGCUAGAAUGUAAAACAGUAGCAUCCUCGAAGCAUGAGGACCUACCAAACUCUGGAUGAAUGCCGACGUCCGGAUAGCUGCAAUCACGAACCUGUCGCUCUACCGUCCACCUGUGCCUGCACCUAAAAGUAAAUGUUUGUAUGGAAUUAGUACACACUUGUACUAAGUAUGGGUAUAUGCAAGCACACACCAAGGACAUGCAUGAGAAAGAAUAGCUCUUUCCUAACAACAUGAUUUUUGGAAGUCAAGUCAGUGGACUUGCCAAAUUGAGAUUGAAAAAGUUAUACCAUGAGAGUGACAUGCAUCAUUAUAGUUAUCGUAUGGCACACAACACAUAAUAUCUUCAUAUAACACAUAACAUAUAACACAUAGUUUCUUUCAUAUUAUUCAUUCAUAUACCAUGAGACCUUAUUAUCAUAGACUUAACCUUAAGACUUUUCAAAAUGAGGGCUCAACAUAUGGGACCUCAACUAGGGAGCCUUCUUUAGCAAACACAGAGUCUGUUUCAUUCGUUCGUACGUAUUUCAUUUAAAUUCAUUCAUAGGCCAGUGCGAACACCAGUCAUACCUAGGAUGUAGUUUAAGACUUUCAUCGGGUUUGCUGUGCAAUGAUCAGGAAUAACCUAAUGUCAUUACCUGAAUCUAGCUCACCUCUUGAUUAUCCUAUCCUAACAUCUUCGGUAUCAUUCAUUUCUUUAUAUUAUUCAUUUGAGGCUGACCUCAUUCAUUCAUUGGGAACUUUAACUUUAACCGACAUAGAUCAUGUGAACAUCAUGAAAUACAGUGUCUUCCCCACACCGAAAAGAGGUGGAAUCACCGGCCAAAGCGAUUCAAUAACAUGCUAUCGUAUAUGGGAAUUUAACCCCGCCAGAUCCCUAUAGUGGCAAUAUAGGUUUAAAGACUAGGAGAUGUAUGGAGACCCAUACCCGGCAAGCCGGAUAGUCUCAUCUCAUGAGAGUUACGUGAACCUCCGCCCUUCCCGAAAGAAGGCAUCACCGCUCAUAGCUAGCCUAUCGGUGCUCAGUAUAAAGUUCCAUUACAUUCAACUCAUACAUCAUGGAAGCUGGCUUCUAGUAUGAGGACAUCAUAGCUCAAUAGAUGAUUUCUCAUCUCAUCAUUAGUAUUAAGUGUUUUAAACUCAAUAUUUUUCAUUAGAGUGUUCAUAGAGACUGGUCUCUUCAUUAUCUUACACUCUCAUUGGUGAGUACGUAUUGGUAACAUUUACUUAGGCUCAUUUGAGAUUGCUCUCAUCAUAUACAUUAGUCUCACAUCAUGAUUGUCACCACAUUCUUCAUUAUUAGCACCUUUGUUUUUCAUAGUUAUUCACCUCUUAUUACGUGAGUGUUCAUUUCUUCAUUUCAUAGUUCAUCUCAUCAUAUGCCAAUGCACUUGGCCAUUUAACGUAUCUUACAUUCGUACUUAACCCUCAUAAGAGUCAUCAUUUCAUUACGUACAUCUUAGGUUCACUUAAUUUUUGAACGUAUGUUAGACUUAUGUGUCUAUACAUACAAGCCAUGGGGCUUCAUUCGUAGUUCGUUAAGUGAUUCUUAUUUUCCUAAGAUUAUGUAUUACAAGACUUAUGUAUCUUGUAUAUAUACAAAGAUCUCGAUUCUUGAUCCAAGUAGAUGAGAUUAUUCUUGAAUAUUUUGCUCACGUAUGACUUAUGUAUCAUUACGGAGGUUUGGGUCCGGGAACCCGACUCUUGAAUCACUUGGAUAUCAUUUAUAUUUUUCAUUAAUUUUAUUUCUAAUAUUCAUAACAUUAGAACUCUAAAUUAAAUCUCAACAUCUUCAUGAAAUGAUUUAUUUUCUAUUAUAAUUAAAAUUCCAACUUAAAUCUCAACAUCUUCAUGAAAUAAUGAAUUCUCUACAUUAAUUAGAAUUCUAACUUAAAUUUCAACAUUUACAUGAAAGAAAUAAAUUUUCUAUUUUAAAUAGAAUUCUAAAUUAAAUUCCAAUAUUUACAUGAAAGAAUUAAUAUUCAAUUUUAUUUAAAAUUCUAAUUUAAAUCACAAUAUUCGCAUGAAGGGAUAAAGUUUCUAUUUUAAUUUUUACUAUUAAUUAACCGAAAGGUUGGGGAUUCGAGCCCCAACAACCCCUUUGAUUUUUAGAAUUAAGUUUAUUACAAUAGGGAGGUUGUGGAUUCGAACCCCCACAGCCCUUUUUUUUAUUUUCACUAAAGAGAGGAGGCUGUGUGGUGGUGGGUUCGAACCCCCACGGCCCCUCUAUUUUUAUUUUUAUUUUUCGCUACUACAGUCCCUGAGGUUGUGGGUUCGAUUCCCACGCCUCACAUUUUUUUCCUUAUUUUUCCCCUCUCUCGCGCGCACUUGCAGGUCGUGGGUUCGAAUCCCACGCACCCCAUUUAAUUUACUUAAUUUAAUUCCCUUCUCCUCUUCCCCCAGGUCUCGUGUUCGAUUCCCCCAGCCCCCAUUUCUUGUUCUCCCUUUUUUUUCGCGUGUAGCUGGGGGUCGCGAGUUCGAUCCCCCCCCCCCCCCAGCCCCCUCUUCUUUUCCUUUUCUUUUGUCUUUCGCGGAAGGCAGGGGAGGGUUCGAUCCCCCCUUGCCCAUUUUUUUUAAUUAAAGCCUGCUGCAGGGAGGUCCUGGGUUCGAUCCCUGCAGCCUCCAAAACCCUUUUUUUUAUUUCUUUGACGUCCAAAAAUUUCCAGAUUCUUUUAAAGCCUAAUUCUAAGUUCUGGAAAUUUAUUCCAUGAUUUUUCUGCACUUUUUAUCAACUUUCACAUUAAUUUUUAGGGUGAUUUCAUGGUUUUAUUCAUAAUGUUUUUUGUUACAUUUUUAUAGAUUCGUCUAACCAAGAAUUUCUCCUUCAAUCAAGCCACCUACAUUUCAUAUGAACUUCACGCCUUGCCCCAUUUUAUUCACAAAAAAAUAUACAAUCAUAUUACAUUAAACUUUUGGAGCAUUACAUAGAGAACCUCAUUCACCGUAACAUACUUACACAAAAUUUCAAGAAAAAGAUGGUUACCUUUCAUACGAUUCCAAGUACACAAACAUAAUCAUAUUCAUCGCGAAAAUAUAAUAUACACCUAAAUCUACCAGCAAUCAUACCCAACCUAAAAUUCAUUGGGAGCUACUGACAAGGACAUACAAAAGGGAACAACCCUAGUUUUCGGAAUGAAUAUCUUGAACCUUAAGGGGUCUCUUGGGAAAGGGACCAAGAGAGAAGAAACUCAUACCUUAAUCGAUGUUCAAACUUUGAUGUUGCUGCCCAAAAAACUCCUCCAAGCCACUCCCAAUUCACUUCAACGUACACCUCACUCGACGAACCUCUCUUAGCCUUGACGUUUUGAUUACUUUUUUUCUUUUACUUAAAAAUUUUUGUGAGUUUUUCAAGCGUGAAGAACUGUUGAUAUUUGGCAGAAUAACGUGAGAAAGAUGGAGAACGUGAGAGAGAGAGUUAAGAAGUGUGUGAGAGAGAGAACUAUUAGGAUUAAGAGACUAAUUCAAGAAUUAGUCAAAUAGAAUUUAAAAUAAAUAAUAAUUGCAAAUCUGUUUUUAAUUAUUUAUUCAUUUAUUUAAAACGUGAAAGGACCAUUAUGCCCUUAAAUACCUAUUUAUUCUUAUUUAUAUACUAAUUUUUUUUCCUGAAUCGUUACAAAAUCGCCAUUCAACUUCUUAUAAAUAAUGUUAGGAUGGGCAGAUUCAUUCUAAGAAUCUUUUAAAAAACGAUAGAACAAAGUCUCGACUCGUAAGUUCUUCGAUUACACUAUCACAACCCUAGUAGCCAAGAGUUGAUAUUUCAUUCUAACUUAAGAUUCUUAUGUUUUUUAGUGCAAGAAAAUCAUGAAUUGAGGGUUUUUAUGUCGACUCUUUGAUCUUACAAAAGAAAGGUUAUUUUCUUUCCAACGAUUUUAGUAAGUAUCAUUGGCACAAAUCCAUUUUAUUACGUAAUUUAUUGAUAUUUUUUGUCAUCUUUAAAAUCUCAUUCUAGCCUAAGAUUCUUGUGGUUCUUGAGUGCAUGAGAAACAAGAACAGACUGUUUUUGUCGAUUCGUUGAUCGGAAAAUUAGACAGUGAUUUUCAUUUCUAAUGAUUUUAGUAAGUACUAGUCUUGGACACGUGCAACACACAUGUAUCCUAUACUAAUUUAUAUAAAAUCAUUAGAACUAAUGAUAAAUGUAUUUUCUAAUAGAACAAAGUUGUACAAUUAAUAGAAAUUUCAUUUUGACUUAUGAAAGUUGUCACGACCCAAAAAUGGACGUGAUGGCACUCGUCUUUUCCCACCAAGACAAGUAAGCCUAAAACUCAAAUAUUACAAUAAAAAUGCAGAAAAUUUACUAUCAACUUACAUUAUACCCCAAAACCUGGUUGUCACGUGUACAAGCCUCUAAAGUAUUACAAUUGGAUCAAAAGAAAAUAUAAGUCUCAUAUAAUAUUGUUUCUAGAGUAGAACAAAAUCAUAAACAAGGGUAAGGGGGGAUGCUGAGAUGACCAACAACUACCUCACAAAAUCUCCAGAAAGCCUCGGAAAAGAAGAGAAUAUAUCAUAAAAGUCCGGGCUAGUAACCUACAAAAAUUUGUAGAAGCAAGGAGUGAGUACCAAACCACACGGUACUCAGCAAGUAAACCUCUAAACACAAGCUAAGGGGAUGAAAUACGGGUACUCCUACCACCCCCAACCGAACCUCCGCAACUACAACCUGCAUAAACAUCAGCCCAACCUAACAACUCACAGUUUACAUAGAACGUAACUCAACAAAAACAUUUAGACAAAUUACAUAUCCUCAACAACAACACUUUAACAAAUUAUAUAUCCUCAACAUCAACACUUAAACAAAUUAGAUAUCCUCAAUAGCAACACUUCCACAAAUUUACAUAUCCUCAAUAACACACUUUAACAAAUUACAUAUCCUCAACAACAACACUUCAACAAAUUAUAUAUCCUCAAUAACAAGCUCAGUAUUCAACAAUCACAAGUUCCGCAAAAAGGCAAUCACUAGAUCAGCAAAACACAAUAUCAAGUUCACUAAUGAUAAGUAUGUGCAAUGUAAUGGAAUGCAAUGUCAAGUAUAAUGAUGCAUGUCUGACCUAGUGAUACACACCCGCUGUCUCUCAGUCCGGGACCCAUGUGGGACAUAUCUGUCCAUGCAUCUGUCGCGGCGCACGACACGACCCUCGAUAACAGUAACCAUCGCGGCGCGCGAUACGUCCCUGGAAAUAUAGUAUCCAUCGUGGCGCGCGAUACGUCCCUCGAAAUAUAGUAACCAUUGCGGCGCGCGAUACGUCCCUCGAAAUGGUACAUCCUCUUUAAGUUAUCAUUCUUUCUCAAUGCACAUAACACUUCCACAACCAUGUCUCAGAAUAAUGCAAUGACAUGUUCACACAAAUAAUGUGAAGAUGACCAUUUUCAUAACAUUGCACAGUUCACAACCAUACAAACAUGAAAUCACAUCAACAAUGAUUCAACAAGCCAUCAAACUUUUCUCAACAGAUCACACAUAAAUAAUUAAUCACAUCGCCUUUUGUUAUCCCUUUUAUUUCAUCAUUAGAAUUAAUCAAUGUGGACAAGUCAACCCAUCACCAAUCUCGUUACUCCCAAACAUAUAUCACAAGGAAAUACACGCAUUCCAUACACUUAACAAGAGUUUAGAAAUCCACUUGCCUCAACAACAAUGACUCCAAAACUUGAGCCUUCCUCUUUUUGUUGACUUCCAAACCAAUAAAAUCUAUUCAAAUAAAUAACCACGAUAUGAUUUCGAAACUAACAAUAUUAAUAUUGAUAUAUCUCUAGCUUAGACCCAAAACUCAUCCAAAUUUAUAAUAAAAUUUCUAAAUCUUUAUUCCAACCAAUUGAUCAAAUCUCAUAUUUUCUGAAUUUCAAGUUUAGGGUUAAAUCUUAAUUCUCCGAAUAACAUAAUUAUAAUGAUUUUUAUAUAUCAUAAUGCACCCACUAUUUAACACAUAUCUCAAUAUAUCAAAACUUGAAUCCUAAUAUGAUAAUCAAAUGAAAAUAAUUAAAGUCGAAACUAACUGCCCAACACAUCAAUGGUGGACUACAAAACUAUCUGCUGAAACCACUUAUUUUCAAUGUUCCAAUUCAUAUUUAUCGUUCCACUAUUAGUAAUCCUAAUCUUGGAGUAAUCAUUGUCCAAUGAUUAGGACUAAUCACUGUCCAAUGAUUGAACCAUAAUACUUAUACAUAUUUAUAACCCCAAGUUCACAUAUUAGUAUAAAUUAUACACGUUUUAACCUAAAAAUCUAUUCCUAGUUACACAAAAAUUUAAUAGAAAGGAUAAGAAUAAUUACCUUGAUAUCUCAGAUAAAAAUAUCGUUGUUUCUCCUCCUUUUUCCUUUUCUUUUCUCCUUUUUUUUCUUUUCUUUAUCUGCGUAUUUUUUUUUGUUUCUGUUCGUUCUUUUUCUUCAACGUUAGCCACUUGAGGCUUUUAACCUUUUAGGGAACUUUGCCCUUUUAUUAUUGUUAUUAUUAUUAUUUUAUUUAUUUACUUAAUUUUCUUUUCUAUUUAUUUUUUUUUCUUUUUUUUCCAAUUAUUAUUAGCAACAAAAUAAUCCUUUAUUAAAUCAGAGAAUCAUAUCAGUCACUCUUAUAAGUCAUAAAUUAUUUAUCAAAACUAUUAAAAAGAUUAAUAUAAAAAUAAUAGUUGGAAUUUCUAAAACGACUAAGAGGGUCGUUACAAAAGUAUCCUUGCAAUGAAAAUAUUUUUCUAACCUGAAGUUUUAGUUAGAGAACUGAUUGGUUAAAGGCUAAAGGUGACAAGAAAAUUAAAAAUAUAAUAUGUUAUUAAUUCACGUUAACAUCCAGCGAAAUACAUGCAACAAGUAAUAAAAGUAGAAAAAUAUAAAAAUAACAACAAUGACCUACAUACUUGAUAACAAUCCAUAUGUUCUUUAUAGAAAAAAUAAGAUACAAAUAAGAAAUUAGAAAUAAUUGAGUUAGUAAAAAUUCUUGUCGGUAUAACAAUUUCUUCUUCUGUUAUUCAAAUCACUCCACCUUAAAAAUAAAUUACUAGACAUUGAGUUUUAGAUUGAAAAUCGUCGUACAUUCAUAUAUGUGAGUUUUUUUCUAUGAAUUUACAUUAAUGGUAAAUAAUAAAUAUAUCAAAUCAGUUAAUUGGACUUACUUUUUAGUUUUCCAAAGAACAGUUACACUUUCAAAAAGUGUGCAUGUGCAUGUGCAUGUCCAUGUGCAGAAGAAUUUACUAUAAAUUAUUUAAUGAAAAUAAUCAAAUAUUGUGAAAAUAAAAAGGAAUGUGGAAGGUUGUUAAAAACAAUUAUUAGGUUAGAAGAAGAAAAAUUAAAAUAAUUAAUAUUAAUAAUUAGGUAAUUCAUAUGAUUAUAAAUGAAGUUUUUAGAGGCAAAACAUAUGUAUAAGUUACAUUAAAUAUGCUUAUAAUGGGUGAAAAAACAAAAUUGACUCAUUAAAGAAGGAAUUGUGCUACUUGUCAAUAAAUUAGUUUCACAGAUUUAGGGAGAAUUGAAUGUAGAGGGUUAAAAUAUGAUUGUUGGGAUUUCUAUUUACUCACUAUUUGUUAUUAAAUUUAAUUAUGAUUUAAUGAAGGACCACAAAUUUUGUAAUGUGAUGAUGUUACAUUCAAUCUUUAAGUAAUUAAAAUAUGAUCGUAUAAUAUUUAAUUAAAUAUUUUAUGAUAAUUUGAUUUAUCAUUGUUUAUCGCAAUGGUGAACUUGCAAUCCGACGUUAACGCUAAAAGUUAAUACAAUAUGAUAUGAUUAAAUAAAGUCUUUAAAAAGGGAUAAAAAUGUUAAGUCAAGAACAAAAUAUCAUGUUUGAAUACUUAUUUUUUGAGUUGAACCUUUUUAUGAGUUUUUACAAAAUGAAGUUAAAAUCAAUUAAUUUUAUUUUUAUUUUUAAAAAGAACUAACAAAAUACUAAGGAUUGUUAUAAGUUAAAUAUAAUUUAUGAAAACAAAGAAACACAUGUAAUAGAUAAUGUUUGAUAAAAUGACAAUUUUAUUUAUUUUCUACCUCUAAAUGAUGAAUAAAAACAGAUAUGACAAUUUCACCUAUUUAUUUAUUUUUAAAAAAGUCAUAAAUCAGAAUUAAAAAAUUAUAUUUUGAGCUGAUACUUGUCAUGUUUUUUUAAACAAUUAAAUUAAUCUACUUAAUCAUAAAAAAGAAAAGGACAUAUAAAAAUGUAUUUAUACAAAUAAGGAAAUAUUUAUAGCCAGUAAGUUUGGUUCACUUUUUCUAGUUUUUUCAGUUUGAAUGUAAUAAUUUGUUAGGACAUAUGUAUCUUGAUAGACACAAAUACCUAGUAUAUGAAUAAUCUACUGAAAAGUUAUUGUUGGUUCAAUUAAACAUUUAAAGAAGGGAUAAUGCCUAAGUACCCCCUCAACCUAUGCCCAGAAUCUCAGAGACACACUUAUACUAUACUAAGGUCCUAUUAACCCCCUGAACUUAUUUUAUAAGUAAUUUUCUACCCCUUUUCAGCCUACGUGGCACUAGUUUGAAAAAAAAUCAAACAUCAUUGGGCCACAAGAUAGUGCCAUGUAGGCCGAAAAGGGGUAGAAAAUUAGUUAAAAAAUAAGUUCAUGGGGGUAAUAGGACCUUAGUAUAGUAUAAGUGUGUCUCUGAGAUUUCGAGCAUAGGUUGAGGGGGUACUUGUGCAUUAUCCCUUUAAACAAUGCUAAAGUUAUUAAUACAAGAAAAAAGUGAUUCAAUUAAGAAAAGGUGUAACUAUCUUAUGAAAUAUAUGGUAGAUAAAGACUAAAGUAAUGAAUUUUGAUGCAGUUGGACUUAUGAUUGUAAUAUAUGGGCUAAAAUUUAUGUGUUAAGCUUGAGCCAAUUGUAAGUUAAAGACUUAUAUUACUUAAAAUUUAACCAAAUAUUUAUAUUUUAUUUAUGAACAAUAUCUUUAUAAAUUUUAUUGGUUCGAUUUGAUUAUUUUUGAAGUUAUUUUUUAGUAAAAUCAAAGUCAAAUCAAAUAGUAUCGAUUUUUCAAAUGCAAAAUCAAAUCUAAUCACAUCAAAUCAAAUAUCGUUUAUUUAAAUUGGUUUGAUUCAGAUUGUGAUUUGAUUUCAGUUUUUAACCAUAACCAUGAACAACCCUACCGGUGAAUAUUAACAUAUAUGACAAUUUCAUUUAUUUAUAUAUUUUCUGAAAAUGGCACACAUCCCAAGUAAAUAUAAUGUUGACUUUAUCAUUUAUAUAAUUUUAAAAAAUGAAGUCAAAUUUCAUUUAUCUUUUUGUUUUCUAAAUAAAAUUAUAAAUUAAAAGUAAAAUAAUAUCUUUUUAUUUAAAUUCUGAGUUGAUCCUUUUUAUAUUUAAAAAUAAUGAAGUUUGAAUGAUAAUAAACUUAUGUUCUUAAAUUUGAUCGUAAUUCUCUCUAAUUCUUGGCUAAUCUUUUGGUGUUUAAAUAUAAGUUUUUCUUUACAUAUUAUUAGAGUCGUAUAUUUUUAUGAAACAUUUUUUAUUCUCUCUACAGUUCUCGCUCAACUUGCAUUUUUUAUGGACAUUACAGAUAAAUAACCAUUAAGAUUCUAAUAAAUAAUGUUAGGAUUGGUAGGCUCAUCCUCAUAACUCAAAAAAAAUGACAGAACAAAGUCAUUUGAUUUUGAUAACACAUCUACUCGACUCGUAAGUUCUCCGAUUAUUUCUAUCACAACCUUUAUCUCAUUCUAACUUACGAUUCUAAUGGUUUUUGUGUGCAGGAGAAUCAUGAAUUGAGGCUCUUUGUCGACUCUUUGAUCUUAGAAAGGAAAGAUUAUUUUCUUUCCAAAGUUUUUAGUAAGUAUUAUUGGUACAAAUUCAUUUUAUUAAUUAAUUUAUUGAUAUUUUUAGUCAUAGUUAAAAUCUCAUUCUAACCUAAUAUUCUUGUGGUUUUUGAAUACAUGAGAAACAAAAACGGUAGGUUCUUGUCGAUUCGUUGAUCUUAAAAAUGGACGGUGAUUUUCUUUUCUGAUAAUUUUAGUAAGUACUAGUCUUGGACACGUGCAAUGCACAUAUACCAUACUAAUUUAUAUUGAAUCAUUAGAAUUAAUGAUCAGUGUAUUUUCUGAUAGAAUAAAGUUUUAUAUAUAAUUAAUAGAAAUUUCAUUUUGAUCUAUGAAAGUAUUAUUGCAAUGAAAACAUUUUUCUAUCCUAAAGUUUUAGUUAGAGAACUGAUUGGUUAAAGGCUAAAGGUGACAAUAAAAUUAAAAAUAAAAUAUGCUAAGAAAUCACAUGAACAUCCGGCAAAUAAAUGUAACAAGGAACAAAUAUAGCAAAAUAUAAAGAUAAUAACAGUGACCUACAUACUUGAUAACAGUCUAUAUAUUCAUUAUACAAAAAAGAUAGAAAUAAUUGAGUUAGUCAAAAUUUUUAUUGGUAAAACAAUUUAUUCUUUUGCUAUUCAAAUCACUCCACCAUAAAAAAAGGAAUUACUACACGUUGAGUUUUGGAUUGAAACCCUAUCACGUAUCCAUAUAUGUGAACUUUUUCCAUAAGUUCACAUGAAUAGUAAACAAUAAAUAUAUCAAAUCAGUUUAAUCGGACUAACUUUUUAAUUUCCCUAAAAAUUGUUACACUUCCAAAAAAUUUGCAUGUGAAGAAGCAUUUACUAUAAUAAUUUAAUGAAAAUAAAUGAAAUAUUGUUAAAAUAAUAAGAAAUGCGGAAGGUUGUAAAAAACAACUAAUAGGUGAGAAGAAGAAAAAAUUAAAAUAAUUAGUAGUAAUAAUUGAGGUAAUUCAUAUUGUUAUAAAUGAAGUAUUUUAGAGGCAACCCAUACGUGUAAGUUACAUUACGUAUGCUCAUAACAGGUGAAAAAUAAAAUUGACUCAUUAAAGAUGAAAUUGUGCAACUUCUCAUUUAUGUAAGAAGUUACUUACAAAAGUACGUAACGAGCGAAUAAAUUAGUUUCACACAUAAAGGGAGAAUUGAAUGUGGAGGAUAAAAAUAUGAUUGUUGUUGUAAAACUAAACCAAACUAACAAUAUAAAGAUAAAGAAAAAAAGAAUAUGAGACAAGAGAUAUAGAAGAUGAAAACAAUAGAAAUAAAGAGACAACAGAUGAGGGAUUUUCUUAUUAAUCAAAGUAUUUAUCAAAUCUUCAAGUGUAUACAAUAUGAACUCUUAAGCCUUUAUUUAUAGUGUAACAUAAAGGCAUAUAAAAGGUUAGUCAUGAGCAUGACAUUAACAUGAAUAUAAUGGUGAGAUUAUGAAAGUGAAAUGUUACAAGAAUAAUGAUUAUAAAGGUGGAAGUUAUGGAGGUUAUGAUCAUCUUCAUAAUGAGGAAAAUAAUGGAGAUAAUGGGUGAGUAACUUCUUGGUAUAGUUGACAUCCACACUAUAAUAUUUUAUAACACUCCCCCUUGGAUGUCCAUAGAUAAUAUGCUUCGUUAAAACCUUACUAGGAAAAAAUCUUGUGGGAAAAAAUCAUAGUGAAAGAAAAAUAGUACACAUAUAUUUUAAUACGCUUGAAUGUUGCAUCGUUAAAAACCUUACUAGGAAAACUCAUUUGGGACAAAACCAUGGUUAAGGAAAAGAGUACAACGCGCAUUUUUCUCCCCUGAUAAAAACUUUACAUAAUAUCUCGGAGACGAAGCAUUUCGAUCUUAUAUCACAACUGCUCAAAUAUUGAUGUUGGUAAUCCUUAAUGAAUAAGUUUACAAGAUUGUCACUUGAACGAGCCUUUGAGCGUCUAUCUCAUUGUUUUGUUGAAGAUCGUGUGUGAAAAAGACUUUAGGUGAAAUAUGUUGUGUCUGAUCUCCUUUAGUUGUAUCCUCCAUUCAAUUGAACUAUAAUUAUUUUCGUAUAUGGUGGCUGGAAUAUCCUUUGUCAAAGGAAAAUUUCAUAUUUUCUGAAUAUGAUAGAUUAUGAUUCCAAUCCAACACACCCUUAAAUAACUUCAUUGAUCUAUAUGAUUUGAAAAGGUGGUAACAAAUGUUUGUUGAAUGUCAAGAUAUUGUUGUGCCUCAUAUGUAAGCAAAUAGCUCAUUUGCGAUCGAGCUUUAUGAAGAUCAAAUAAAUAUUUUGCAUCUGCAUAAUCAAACUAUUUUUUACUCAUUGGAGCUUGAUCAAUUUUGUUGAAACUCGUCUUUUCUUCUGAAAGACAGUCAUACAUCUUCUACCAUUUGCAUAACCAACAAUUUGUAAGUGCACUAAUAUAUAACAUUUUAAAUCAUUUUCUUGAGAUUAAAAAGAUCCUUUCUUUGUGUUAAGCAAUCUCAAAAUUAUUGAAUACUCAAUGGAAUUGCUUAAAAAUCUUUUAAAUCUUUUAAGGAUUUUCAUAUAACCUUCAUUGUCUAGUUAGACAUAAUAAUCAUUCAUUAUGCAUAUUCAAGUAUUUCAUCACUUGCCAGACUGAAGCAAGUACCAUUGCAUUCAACAUUGGAGAAUAUAUCUCCAUUUAAUAAUGUCAGGACUUCUGAGAAAAUUUUUUAUGCCCCGCGGCACGAAUAGUACUUUAUAUCUUACGGUUAUACUUUCGCACAAUGAUUCAUUUGUACCCCCAAUGAUAUAUAUUUUGAUCUAUAGACUAUAUUUUCAAAAGUACCACUUUUCUAAGUGAAACAAAAUAUAUUUGAAUAGUGUCAACCAUUUAUCCGUCCAUAUUAUAUGAAAGAUUUGAAUUUAAGAUCCUUGUAACCAUUUAUAGCAUUGAGUGCUACAUCAUAUCAAAUAUAUCGUCGAUUAUCAUUUUGAUUUCAAUUCUAAUACGACAUAACUUAUCGAGAUAUCUUCAAUUUCUAUCAUUUUCAUGUACCUGAAUCUUAGUUAAGGUUUUAUGAAAUGUUAUGUCAUAGUGAUCUUUCAAAGCACUUACCUCAUUAUCAAUGACCAUUUUGAUAAUUUACUCAUCUACUUCCUCAAGAAGUUUUACAUUUGGAAUCGAUUGGUCUAUCACGCUUUUGGUGCACCAUAGACUCGGUCCUUCAAGGACUAUUUAUUGGAGCAUUUGGAGCUUAAUUAAAAUAUUAGGUCAGCAAAUACAUCUGGCAAAUUACUUGCAACAUUUUGCAUAUGAAUUGUCUUUUGAACUUCAAGUUCACAUUUUUUUCAAGGAGGAUCUAGAUAAUUCACCUCACACAUAAUUUUCAGCUGCUACACAUAUCUCCCCCUAAUGUUAAGAAAUCUAACAUUCACUCUCAACCUUAAUUGGGUACCCAUCUUUGUGCAUGGUGGAGCAAUAAAAUCAUAUGUGCACAUGUCAAAUUUUUAGAUGGAAAUUAUUGGUUACUGACCCUGAACCAAUUGUGUUAAGAAAACCUUGUUGGCUUGAUGCAUACAUGUUAAAUAAACAUAUCUCAUACCAAAUUUUAUUUGAGAGAUUUGUUCUCAUAAUCAAUGGUCUAGCAAUAUUGGAGGCAUACAAUUUCUGCUAAACCAAUCAGCAUUAUCAACAUGACUUUAUAGUUUGAAAAUGUGCUCUUAAUAAGUCCAGAAAACAACCUUACAAAAAUGCACAUGUGAUCAUACCAUAGAUGCAUCUAUUAAAUUAUAAUAGUAAACGGUCCACAUGGCAGGUGAACGGGCCCAUAUUCACCUUUUUAUAUGUUCCAAAUAAUUUUAGGGGACAUAGUCUCAACCUUAGCUGGUACAAUGAUCAUUUUAUCACGAGAACAAUCUGUAAAAGAGAAAUCUUGAAGAAUCUUUUAUUUCUUCAACAUAUAGCCACGUGAAUUCUCAAUUUCACUUGUAUCACAUUUGAAUCGGAAUGACCAAUCUAUUAUGCCAACUAAUAUUUAUUCAAGUAAACUUCUAGUUUACUUUUGCAUGUGAUUCCAUCACCAUGCUCGUAUUUGUAUAAAACAAACAACGGGAAAAAAUGAAUAAUCUUAUACAUAAAUAUUUAUUACCCACUUUGAUUGUAGUAAUUGAAGAUAUGAAAUCUUCCCAUAAUUUAUUGUCUCAAUAUAAUAAUUUGUUUUUAAUUCUUCUUAAACUUAAGAAUUUUCUUUUGAGACUUACUACAACCCCAAUAUUAUGAAUAAUUUUAUUCCUCCAAAUCGUAACAAUUAGCCCUUUCGAAAUUAUCAAUUAAUUUUGUGUACUACCAUAAUUUUCACAAUGUCAUUCGUAUGGUGACCAUCUCCUUCAAGGAGAAAAUUUUAUUAUUGUCAUGAUUAAAAUUAUUACAUUCAAGACUUAUUUCUCGAUAACCAAUGACAAAUUUGUGUUGCCACACAACAACAUUUAUUUUGAUCAUGGCCACAACCUUUACAGAAAAGAUUUAUUCUUUCUUUUGUCUCAUUUAAAAUAUACCACAAUAUUUGUGUAGUAUUCAAAGUAUAUAUAUAUGACCAAAAUGACUAUUUAUGUUAAAAUAUUUUCUUUCAUCUCUCAAAACAUCCCGUAGAGGUGAGAUGUGACAUUCAUCCAACAAUACAUGAACAUGUUUUUAUCCAUAUGAAAACAAGUCACAUUUUCUUUAAAAAAAUGGACCAUAAUCAUUUGUACAUGUUCCAUAAGUUUUUAUUAGAGACUCAUUGUCAUGUUUUGACAUUAUGUAUAUGUAACAUUCCGGAAAAUUACAUGUCUAGUGAAGAGCCCAAUAGGUCUUUAAGAAUGCGUAUUAGGGAUACAUAGGCAUUCCAAUGCCCAAUAUUGAGAAAUAUUAGGCAUAAUAUAGAAAAUUGGCUAAGGGGUAUUAGCCAAAUCCAAAUAAGCAAAAUAUUGGGCAUAUUAAAAAAUAUUGGCUUAAAUGGUGUUAGCCAAUUUUUCCAAGUAUUAAUGAGCUUGUUCAAGAAAUGUACAUGCAAUGAAGAUCCUAAGCUAAAAACAUAGAUUUUCCAACAUUUACACAUUAGGUGUGAGACAUUCAUGUGUCAAGCCAAGGCACCAUAGCACAUGACCAAUUAAAAAGGGCAUGUAGAUUAAGUAGUGCCCAAGGACAUAGUGAAAAUCCUUGGGACAAUAAGUACACAUUCCAAAUGAACCAUCAAGAAUAGUUAGUUAGGAAAGUACAAGAAACACAUGUGCAAGCACAUGUGAAAAAACGGCCAAGGGAGGAGACCAUCCUAACCGAAUUCAGUUAAAGUAGUUAGGGGGCAGGCGUGCACAAGGGUUCCACCAUGUGGACCUAGAUCUCUAACAAACUCUACACUCUAACUAACUGACCUAACUAGCUAACUAAACUAGGACAAACAAAAAUAAAUUAUCCAGUACACCCGACAACCUAAGACCUAAUUGGAUUACACUAACCUAGUAACUAGUUAAAGAGACAACCUAGUACCUAAUAACCUAAGAUAGUCCAAAGGGUUAGCUAUGGUCCUAACGACUUAAGGGUACUUUAGUAAUUAACCUAGGUCAAACCAAAAUCCUUAGACUAGACAAGGAACUAACUAAGGAACAUCCUAGUACCUAAUCUAGGAUGGUCCAAAAGGGUUAGUUAUGGUCCCAAUGACUUAGGGGUAUUUUAGUAAUUACCCUAGGUUCCUUAAUUAAUCAAUUUAAGUGAUUAAUUAAUUAAGAAAAAAUUCCAAGUAAGGCUGAAAUUCGAAAUUUCAGAUUUGACUAAUUAAAUAUUUUCCUAUUUCUAGUCAAUCUAGGAGGGGAUUUUUAGUAAUUAACUAAUUAGUUUACUUAAUUAGCCUAAGUCGAAUAAGUCAAGAUCAGUUCCUAUGACAUAGACCAUUCAAACACUAAGAAAUUCAUGACGCAAAACAGUAAACGAACGAAAGAAAAACAGAAAAGUUUCUCUCGAUUUCUCUUAGGCGAUUUCAAGAUUUUCUUUAAAAUUUCGUGCAAGGUGAUAUUCGUAGAUUUAAUUAUACAUAAGGUAUGGAUUUUAUCUCAUUGAAUUCUUUCUCCAAGAGACUUUUCAAACGUUUGAAUUCAUGAACUUCGAAACUAAGGUUGUACCCCAAUGAUAUUGUUGAACAUUCAUCUCCCUGGUUAUCCUUGUUUUUUAUUCUUUAAGUAUAUAGAUGUAUCUUGAACAUGUUGUUGGUAUAUGGCGCUAACUGAUUUUAUAAGUUCUUGAUUUGUUAAUGACGAAUGAGGUCUAUAGAUUGGAUUCAAAUUAUUUGAGUGUUAGUUACAAGAAAUUAAGGAAUGAUAUAAUGCUUACCUGUGUUUCGAGAAUAUGAAGUUACUAUGAAUCGGCUAUGGAAUUUAGUUACUGUUAAAAUCUUAAAUUUUCGAAUGAUUCAUGUUGGGAAUCACUAUAUUACAUUUAUAAUAUUAAUUGAUGUUGUUAGUGAUAACAUAAUGAAUGUUGUUUAAGUGAGUUUGAUUUAUGCCAAUAAAAUGUCUAACAAUGUCUUGCCCAAAAAGUUGAAUGAAAUUGGCUUACAAUAUUACUUUCAAAUAAUGAUGGAAUAGUGGCUAAUGUAAACCCAACUAAGCAUGACUAAUGUAACUUUGAUUUCAUAACCAAGGGUAUGUCAAUCAUUGGGAUAGUCCCAACAUACCCUUUCCAAAUGAACUAUGAACAUAGUAACUACAUUGAACAAAGUUCUUACCGUUUAUAAAGAAUGGUAUAAAGCUACAAAAAUACAUGAAACGAGUUAAGGUAAGUAAUAACAUAAUUAAAAGUCUUUAAAUUGUGAAGGUGACCAGAAUGGGUUAUUAAAAGAAGUGAGACAAGUCUCACUUACACCUAAGAUAACUAUGUUAAAGAUACUCACAAAAGCUGGUGUUAAUAAUCGUAAGACAAGUCUCAUUAAAACCAAGAUGAUAAUGUAAGGUUAAAUUUCACAUUUCAUCAAGUAAAGAAAGGGAUGACCGGUUAUCCAAAGAGUUAAGUAAACAUCAUAACUAGAAGAAAGAUUCCAUAAUGUUUGAUUCAACUCUAAAAGAUGUAAAGAAAAAAAGUUGAGUAAAGCACCGAUAUACUAGCAAUGAGUUUAUACCAGCACAUGUAAGCCUCAUGAGAUGAGGCUACCACCAAAGUGGAUAAGUAGUCUCCAUAUCUCCUAGUCUUCGAACUGUGUCGCCGGCAUAGGAACUAGCCAGUGGAUUCCACCUAAGAGAGAAGGGUAUGAUGCGGUUUCACUUUGGCCGGUGAAAUCACCCCUUUUCAGUGUGGGGCAGACAUUGAAUUUCAUGAAAAUCUCACAUGAUCUGUGUUUAAAUGCUCAAAGAAAGUAUUCUGUUCACUUUAUCCAUGAACCACCUCUUUUCGGUGUGGGAAAGACACUGAACUUGGUUUCACUUUAGCCGGUGAACCACCCCUUUUCGGUGUGGGGAAGACAAUGGAUUUUAUGUUAGCUCACAUGAUCUAGAUUCACUCUUAUCAUUGAAUCACCCCUUUUCGGUGUAGGACAUAUAAUGAAUUUCAUGUUAGCUCGCAUGAUCUUAAUUCUAAAGAUGUACUUAAGAAAGCAAGAAAGAAAGAAGAAGAGAUGUAUGUUCAAAGUGAGAUAAGAAAGUAAGAGCUUAAGAAUAUCAAUCGUCAGUGUUUGAUAAGAAUGAAGUUUUCAGCAAAUAAUAGGCAUAGCCAACUAAAAUUGGCUUAUAAUGACUUCUUAUAUUAUGUCAAUAAAGGGGAAUAAAAUGUAAAAUAUAGGAUCAAAGGAGAUCAUUGGACUACAUAACAAAAAGAAGAAAUGACUGAAAAAAAUAAGUAUAGAAAAAAGUGCUCUCGGGUUUGGGGGAUCAAUUUUUAGAAUUUUCGUUUGAGUUGUUCUAAAAUUAUGUUUCUAAGGUCUUAUGUUCAAAUAGAAAAUGAUUUGUGUGCUUUGAAUGCAUUAAAAUACAUCAUAUUCGUACCACAAUUCACAAAUAGCGAAUUAGAAAACUCUAGUAAUGUCACUUUCCAAAAAUGGCAUGUUGUUAUAGGAAGAGUUUUCCUUGAUCAUGCAUAGUCUUAUCUGUAUGUGUACAUACACCAUAUUUAGUACAAGUGUGUACUAAUCCUUUAUUAUUAUUAUCUUUAUAGGUGGUGGUUAUAGAGAAGGUUUAAGAUUCAUCGAAGCUGUUUGGAUUGUCGAUCUCCAAACUUUGGUAGGUCCUCUUGAUGUUCGAGGAUGCUACACUUAUCUAUCUAGCUUAGUACUUUAGACAUAGAUACUGAAUGUUUUCCCUAGCGUUUCUUUUAUGAUGUUUAUUUCAAAGUUUUGUAUUAAGGACAUUUGGCAAACUAUUACAAAAUAUAUUGAUCUUUUGAUUUGAAUCGAUUCAUCAAUUGUAGAUGGUUGUUUUAAUUUGAGCUUAGUAGAAUAUUAAUCUAUGUAGAAAAUAUAUGAAGUCUAUGUAUACUUAGUUAUGUUUAAAAGUUUAAAAUUUUCUGCAAAUUUAACUAUAUGAAUGUGAUGAAAGCUAAGAUGAGGCUUGUCUGCGACCUCUGAGAGGAUAACAACGCCGAUUGCAUUCGGAUUCCAGAAUUCGGAUGUGACAGUAACUCACCUCAACUAGAUAAAUUGUCAAAGUUGAGUGACUUUUUAAGAUGUUAACUCUUACUAUUAAUGUAAACUUAUGGAAAAAUCUCACAUAUAUGAAUACGUUAUGGGUUUCAAUCCAAAACUCAACGUGUAGUGAUUCAUUUCUUAAGAUAGAGUGAUUUGGAUAGCAGAAGAAGAAAUUGCCGUACCAGUAAGAAUUUUGACUAACUCAAUUAUUUCUAAUUUUUUAUUUUUAUCUUCUUUUUUCUAUAAAAUACAUAUGGAUUGUUAUCAAGUAUGUAGGUAAUUGUUGUUAUAUUUAUAUUUUGCUACUUUUAUUAUUUGUUGCAUGGAUUUCACUGGAUGUUAACGUGAUUUGAUAGCAUAUUUUAUUUUUCAGUUUUCUUGUCACCUUUAGUCUUUAACCAAUCAGUUUUCUAACAAAACUUUAGGCUAGAAAUUUUUUUCAUUGCGAGGAUACCUUCAUAGGUCAAAAUGAAAUUUCUAUUAAUUAUAAUACUUUGUUCUAUUAGAAAAUAUAUUUAUCAUUAAUUCUAAUGAUUCUAUAAAAUUAGUACGGGAUACACGUGUGUUAUACAUGUCCAAGACUAGUACUUAAUAAAAUCAUUAGAAAUGAGAAUCACUGUCCAUUUCUCAUAUCAAUGAAUCGACAAAAACCUUUCGAUCUUGUUUCUCUUGCCCUCAAGAACCACAAGAAUCUUAGGUUAGAAUGAGAUUUUAAAGAUGGCUAAAAUAUCAACAAAUCAAUUAAUAAAAUGGAUUUUUUAAAAGUUACCUAAAUUUAUUAUUAUUUUAAAAAAGAACUAACAAAAUACUAAGGAUUGUUAUUUGUAAAUGUAAUUUAUGAAAACAAAGAAAUUGCAUGUAAUAGAUAAAUGUUUUGAUAAAAUGACAAUUUUAUUUAUUUUCUUCCUCUAAAUGAGGAAUACAAACAUAUAUGACUAUUUCACCUAAUUAUUUAUUUUUAAAUAAAACUUCAUAAAUCAAAAAUUAAAAAAAUAAUAUUUUGAGGUGAUAUUUGUCAUGAUUUUUUUUAAGAAAAAUAAAACUACUUAAUAUUAAAAAAUAAAAGGACAUACAAAAAAUGUAUUUAUGCAAAUAAGGAAAUACUUAUAGCCGGUGAAUAGGGGUGUUCGUGGUUCAGUUUGGAUCGGUUAUUGGUUAAAAUUAAAAUGAAAUUAAUCUAGUCGGUUUUUUAAAAUUUCUAAAAUCAAACCAAAUAUGUCCUUUAACUUGGCUUCGAAUCAUAUUUAUGUCCUUCAAGUUUGGGUGUGCACAAGUAGACAAUUAAACUUGUAUAAAGUUGAACAAAGACACACAUAUCUCGUACAUGUCAUUUUUUGUCUUACGCGGUGUUUUACGCGAUUUUGUCAUGUAGGACUCAUGUGUUUAUUUAUUUAAAAGUUGGAUAGUUAAAGUGUCUGUUUGUGCAUUAUGAAAGUUGGAGGACAAGUUAAAAUUUGAAGCCAAGUUUAUGGUCUAAUAUAUGUAUUAUGCGAAUAAUUUUUGAGGACAUAUGUAUCUUGAUAGACACAAAUACCUAGUAUAUGAAUAAUCCAAUAAAAAGUUAUUGUUGGUUCAUUAAGCAAUUAAACAAUACUAAAAUUAUUAAUACACGAAUAAAGUGUUUCAAUUAAGAGAAGGUGUAAAACUAUCUUUAAAGAAAUGUGAUUUGCCGGAAUAAUCAUGACUUUUCACAUGGUAUACAAAAUAUACUAGUUCAUAGUACUCUUUGUUGACUAUAAACUAUUCUUCUUCUUCUUGCGUUUAAAUUUUUUUUUUGUUAAUUAUAGACAAUCAGAUAAUUAUCUUUGAUUUUGUGUACAUAAGCAAUUGAAAAGUCAAAUAUAAGAGCCAACAACAAAAAUAUCGUGUACUGUUUUAUAACUUAUAAAAAUAAAAAUUAAUUUGUACCAAAAAUAGUUUUAAAAAAUAAAAUAUAGCUACUAUCUUAACAUGUUCAUAUGACAUUCAAACAAUCUGACAUGAAAAAAACGUACAAAACACAUUUGGUUAAAUGACAAGAAAAAUGCACAACAAAUAUCGUCUAUAAGGUAAUAUAUAUAUAUAUAUAUAUAUAUAUAUAUGGAAGGAUUCAUUGGUUGGUUUCUGAUGCUAAUGGAAAGGAGUUAAUAUGUUCGUUUAAUUUGGAGAAUGAGUUGUUUGAAUCAUUCCCAACUUCUCCAGGUUACGAUGAGGAAAAUUGUCCAAAUUUGCGAAGAUUGGGAGUUUUUGGACGUUGUCUAUGUGUGUGUGAUAAUAAUGCAGAUACUCAUUUUGAGGUAUGGGUGAUGAAAGAAUACGGAGUUACUGAUUCAUGGGUUAAACAGAUGGUCAUAAACAUAACUCCUGAAUGCAAUAAUAAUUUGUUGUGCUAUGAAAUUAUUAAUCUGGUGAAAGUUUUGGAUGAUGGAGAGGUGUUGUUCUUGUGGCGUGAUGAUUUCUUGUUCUUGCACCAUCCUGUGAAGAACACAUUGAAAAGGGUUAAUGUCUGUGAUGGCAACUUUGUGGCAUCUGUGUUGUAUCAAACUCUUUAUCUCUCAAGAAUUUUGAAUCAGAGGUUGUAAAUGUCUUUUAGAUAUCUUGUACUACUAGAGAUUGUAUAUUUUUAGCUUUGUGUUUUAUAUCCUUGGCUAACAAUAAUAACAUACCAUCAUGUUAUUUGAGGGGAAAGUUGUUUGUACAAAUUUGCAAGUAAUAUAUGAUAUUUAAUCUAAUCAAAUACAUGACAAAAACAAAAAAUAUCUGAUAGCAACAUCGGGUGCGUGGACAAUUCGAGUAACAUUGAAAAAAGAGUUGGAAUUUUCAGAAAAUAACAAAGUAAGGCUGAGAGAGAAAUAUUGCAAUAUAAUCAAAGGAAAAUAUUUAAAAGGUAAUGUAAUGAAUGAGUUUUGCUUGUAAGUUGCUAAUAUUCUCUCCUUAUUUGGUACUCUUGUUAUGUUAGAUUACAAAAAAUCCCAAAUAUAUCAUUGAGUUUUUAGAAAAAAAAAACUGAACGAAAUGCCUAUUGGUGUCACUUUCGGAAGAUGAGUUUGGAUCUAACUCAAUUUAAACAUUAGCUGAUGAAUCUUGAAAAUUACUUAAUCUCAAAAACUUUUUGUAAAUAAUUAUGCUGAUUUAUGUGACCAGCACUAAAUCAAAGUGCCCGUUGUUGCCAGUUGUGAAGAUAGAUUUUGGGCAUAACUCAAUCUCAAAAGUAUAAAUUAUUUUAUUCAAAAUUGAAAAUGUCACGACCCAAAGCGGUCCGCGGGUGGCACCCACACUUAUCCUACUGUGUGAGCGAACCAACCAAUCUAAACCCCAAAAUUUCAACCAUAAAUAACAUAAUAUAAUGCGGAAGACUUAAACUCAUAAAUAAAAAUCGAUUAAAUAACUUCUAAAAACUCAAACACUUAUUAUUAUCCCCAAAAUCUGGAAGUCAUUAUCACAAGAACAUCUAUCCUCAAAUUACUAAUCCUAAGAGUAUCUAGAAAGCUAGAAUGAAUAAAAAGCUCGUCCAUGCCGGAACUUCAAGGCAUCAUGACAUGAAGAAGAAGAUCCAGUCCAAGCUAGAAGAGUUAGCUCACCCUGAAAUCCGAAGUAAUGAAGACUGGCUAGAGUUGCGGUUGAGUUGAAGACGACGGUACGUUCGCUGUACUCCACAAUAACAAAGAAAGAAACAUACAAGUAGGGGUCAUUACAAACACAAGUACUGAGUAGAUAUCAUCGGCCAACUCAAAAUAGAAAACAGUAUAUAUUAGAUAAUAUCAUAAAAUCAACUACAGUACUCAACAUGCGGCAUUUACAAUUACCAUAACCCUUGGUCACAACACCAAGCACAUCAAUGAGGACUCACGCCUCCCCAUCAUACUCAUUUGGGAAUUAGGUUCAUUAAAUUGAGUAUAUUAACAUCUUUCAAGAUUCAUUAACUUUAUUUCUCUCGUGUCGGUACGUGACACUCCGCUCCAUAUACUAUCCUGGUGCCGGAACGUGACACUCUGAUCCUCAUAUACUAUCCUGGUACCGGAACGUGGCACCCGAUCCAUAAACUACUCUGGUGUCGGAACGUGACACUCCGAUCCUCAUCAUACUAUCCUGGUGCCGGAACGUGACACCCGAUCCUCAUCAUACUAUCCUGGUACCGGAACAUGGCACCAGAUCCAUAUACUAUCCUUGUGUCGGAACGUGACACCCGAUCCUCAUCAAACUAUCCUGGUACCGGAACGUGGCACCCGAUCCCCUAAUUUCACUACUUUCGUUCAUCAAGCCUUCUUUUAUACCAAGGCAUCAUCAAUAACAAAGUAGAUUAGGGUUUUUCAAGAUUUAGGAUUCAAUAGCUUCAUCAUGCUUAUUUUAUCACAAUUAUAUAAUCACAUUCAUGCAAGCAUACAAUUAAGCAUAUAGAAGGGUUUACAACACUACCCAAUACAUAUCAUUCGCUAUUAAGAGUUUACUAUGAAUAGCAUAAACCAUAACCUACCUCCACCGAAGAAUUCGUGAUCAAGAAUCUACUUUUCAAUGAUUUGCUUUCCUCUUUGUUCCCUCCUCUUGAUCGAUCGUUUCUCCCUCUCUCUGUUCUUUCUAUUUUUCUUAUUCAAACCCUUUUUCUUUUACCCUAAUUAGAAUAUAAUUAAGUAUAAAAGAUGACAAAAGUAACCCCCUAAUUAAUUCAAGGUUAUCUCCUUCAACCCCCAAGUAAUUGAAUUAUUAGUAUUACCCACUAACUUUAUAAUUAUAAGCAGGAAUAGUCCAAAACUCCCCUUAAAACAUUUAACAGAAAUCCGACCCAGUCAGGGUUACGUAGCCUGUGACGGGCCGUCGUGCCUGCGACGGUCCUUCCUACUGAGUCGUCACAGAGUUCAGAGACUCACUUUUUAUUUAAGACCCUGUGACAGUCAGUCGUGCCUACGACGGUCCAUCCUGCCAUUUCGUCAUGAAGUUCAGAGAGUCGAUCUUAGUACCCAAAUUUCAGAAUUCUAAGUAUUUUGGAACGAGACACCCUCGACGGUCUGUCAUGCCCAUGACGGUCCGUCGUGGGAUCCGUCGACUCAGACAGUUAUUACCAGAAAAUACUCUACUGCUCAAAACGACUAGACAGGUCGUUAUAAUAGAUACCAAUUUACCCAUCGUUCGUCCUCGAACGAUCACAAGAAGAAAAACAAGGGCGAAAAGGAGUACCUGAAUCUGUAAACAGGUGUGGGUAUUUUUCUUGCAUAUCAGCCUCCUUCUCCCAAGUGGAUUCUUCAACCGCACGAUUCUUCUAUUGAACCUUGAUGGAUGCAAUCUCCCUUGACCUCAACUUGCGGAUUUCUCUAUCUAAAAUAGCAACAGGCUCCUCCUCAUAAGACAAAUUCUCAUCAAGAAGGACCGAAUCCCAACGAAUAAUGUAGUUUCCAUCACCAUGGUAUCUUUUCAACAUAGACACAUGAAAUACUGGGUGCACUCCUGACAGUCCUGGGGGUAAGGACAAUUCAUAAGCUACCUCCCCCACACGCUUCAGAACUUCAAAUGGACCAAUGUACCUUGGACUAAGCUUACCUUGCUUACCAAACCGCAUCACCCCUUUCAUGGGUGAAACCUUCAAUAAGACUUGCUCGCCCUCCAUAAACUCCACGUCCCUAACCUUUCGAUCUGCAUAUUCUUUCUUCCUACUUUGAGCUGCUAAAAGCUUUUCUUGAAUGCAUUUCACUUUAUCUAACGAUUCCCUCAGAAGGUCAGUACCCCAAGGUCUAACCUCAAAUGCAUCAAAACACCCAAUGGGAGAUCUACACCUUCUAUCAUACAGUGCCUCAAAUGGGGCCAUAUCAAUACUUGAGUGAUAGCUAUUAUUGUAUGAAAACUCUGCUAAGGGUAAGAAGUUGUCCCAACGGCCACAGAAUUCUAUCACACAUGCACGAAGCAUAUCCUCCAACACUUGAAUCGUUCGCUCCGAUUGACCAUCGGUCUGAGGGUGAAAUGCAAUACUAAGGUCCAACCUAGUACCUAAUUCAGCAUGCAAUUUUCUCCAAAACAUAGAAGUAAACUGCGUACCUCUAUCUGAUAUGAUGGAAAGUGGAACUCCAUGCAAUCGAACAAUUUCUGAGAUGUACAGUCUGGCUAACUUCUCUGCAUUGUAAGUCACCUUGACCGGAAUGAAGUGAGCAGACUUAGUCAACCUAUCCACAAUUACCCAAAUGGAGUCAAACUUCCCCAAUGUCUUUGGAAGACUAACCACGAAGUCCAUUGCAAUUCUCUCCCACUUCCAUUCAGGAAUGGGCAUUCUCUGAAGUGUCCCUCCAGGCCUCUGGUGUUCAUAAUUUACUUGCUGACAAUUUGGACAUUUGGAAACAAAAUCAACAAUGUCGCGCUUCAUUCUGCUCCACCAAAAGUGUUGCUUUAGGUCACGGUACAUCUUGGUUGCACCAGGAUGUAUAGAAUAUCCGAAACUAUGAGCCUCUGUAAGAAUAGUGUGGAUCAAAUCAUCAACAUGGGGCGCACAUACCCUUCCCUUAAUUCUCAAAACACCUUCCUCAUCGAUUUUUGCUUCUUUAGCCUCUCCUCGCAACACCUUAUCUCGGAUCCGGAUCAGUUUCUCAUCAUUAAAUUGUUUUCCCUUAAUCUUGUCAAGAAAGGAAGAUCUUGCCUCCACACAAGCCAAAAAUCCUCCCUUCUCAUUUACUUCUAGCCUCAUAAAGUCAUUAGCCAAAGUCUGAACUUCUCUAGCCAAUGGGCAUCUAGAAACCUGCAAGUGAGCUAGACUUCCCAUGCUCCCUGCCUUUCUACUUAAAGCAUCUGCCACAACAUUAGCUUUUCCUGGAUGAUACAAGAUAGUGAUGUCAUAGUCUUUCAGUAGUUCCAUCCACCUCCUCUGUCUUAAAUUCAAAUCCUUCUGAGUAAAGACAUACUGUAGGCUACGAUGAUCUGUAUAAACUUCACACUUAACCCCAUAUAGAUAGUGCCUCCAUUGCUUUAAUGCAAACACUUUCGCAGCCAACUUCAAAUCGUGAGUCGGAUAAUUACGUUCAUGCACCUUUAAUUGCCUCGAAGCAUAGGCAAUUACAUUCUUCUCAUGCAUUAGCACUGCACCCAAACCAGAAUAGGAUGCAUCACAAUAAACAAUGAAGUUCUUACCCUCUACCGGCAAGGUAAGGAUAGGUGCAGUAGUCAACAAAGUCUUGAGUUUCUGAAAGCUGUCUUCACAUUCAUCCGACCAUACAAAUUGAACAUUCUGCUUAGUCAAGUUCGUCAAUUGGGAAGCAAUAGAAGAAAAUCCCUUGACAAAUCAACGGUAGUAGAUGGCUAAACCAACAAAGCUCCUUAUUUCUGACACAUUAGUAGGUCUUACCCAAUUUCUCACUGUUUCAAUCUUAGAAAGAUCCACCAUCACCCCAUCCUUAGAAACCACGUGCCCCAAAAAGGACACUGAAUCUAGCCAAAACUCACACUUGGAGAAUUUGGCAUAAAGCCUUUUCUCCCUUAACACUUCCAACACAAUUCUCAAAUGCUCCUCAUGUUCCUUCUUACUCUUGGAGUAUAUCAGUAUAUCAUCAAUAAAUACGAUCACAAAGAGAUCCAGAUAUGGCUUAAAAAUCCCGUUCAUCAAGCUCAUGAAAGCAGCAGGGGCAUUCGUAAGACCAAAAGAUAUUACUACAAAUUCGCAAUGCCCAUACCUAGUUAGAAAAGCAGUCUUUGGCACAUCCGUUUCCCGUAUUUUCAAUUGAUGAUAACUGGAUCUCAAGUCAAUCUUAGAGAAGACACAAGCACCUUGUAACUGAUCGAACAAGUCAUCAAUGUGAGGAAUGGGAUACUUGUUCUUAAUAGUUACCUUGUUCAACUGCCGGUAGUCUGUGCACAUCCAAAAACUCCCAUCCUUCUUCUUCACAAACAAAACGGGAGCACCCCAAGGGGAUGCACUUGGUCUAAUAAAGCCUUUUAUUAACAAUUCUUGAAGUUAGGCCUUUAACUCUCUUAACUUAGCGGGAUCCAUUCUAUAAGGGGGUAUAGAAAUGGGGCGAGUACCCGGCUCCAGAUCAAUGCAAAAGUCAAUAUCCCUAUCCGGUGGCAUACCAGGAAGUCUGCGGGAAACACAUCCAGAAACUCACGGACUAUCGAAACCGACUCAAUUGAAGGUACUUGGGUAGUAUCAUCCCUGAGAUGUGCCAAGAACGCCAAACAACCAUUAUUAACCAUUUUCUUAGCACGAAGAAAGGAGAUGAUACGAACCGGAUUGGAAGUGUAGUCACCCUCCCACACUAACAGAUCUGUCCCAGGCUUCGCUAACGUCACAGUUUUAGCAUUACAAUCUAAGAUUGCAAAGUAUGGAGAAAGACAAGUCAUACCCAGAAUUACAUCGAAAUCAACCAUUUCUAAGAUAACCAGGUCUACAUGAGUAUUGCUCCCCACAAACGUUACAAGACAAGACCUAUACACCUUUUCAACUAUCACAGACUCACCCACCGGAGUGGAAACACAAAUAGGCAUGUCAAGCAAUUCACAAUGUAAAUUAAGACCAGUAGAAAAUGAAGAAGAUAUAUAUGAAAAUGUGGAUCCAGGAUCAAAUAAUACGGAAGCCAUGCAAUCACAAACCAAAAGAUUACCUGUGAUAACAGCAUCGGAUGUUUUCGCUUCCGACCGCCCGAGGAAAGCGUAACAAUGGGCCCUAUCGCCUGUCUACCCCUUGCCCCUACCAUGUUGUGCUGUAGUGGCUCCAGUUUACCCGCCACCCCGGUUGAUUUGCUGACCACCAUUACCUCGGCCACCACGUUCUCCAGAAUAGCGGCCUCUUCCAUGACCACCUCUACCUCUGACUAUUAGGGGUCUGUAACUCUAUUUUGGACAAUAUCUCUUAAUAUGUCCAAUUUCCCCACAUCCAUAACACUCUCUGGGUUCGAUCAUAGGUCUCUGUGAGAACGACGGAGUCUGGGGAUAAUCUCCAAACUCAGAGAAAUGUUGACCGGUCUGCGGUGGACCCCCAGCUAUAGCCUGCAGUGAAGACUGGAUAGGUCGGGCUGUAUAACCUCCAGAACUCUGUCCUCUGGAGUAAGAACCACUAAACUCACCUCCCUUAAGAAACUUCUUAGUAGUUGAUGCCAUGGUGAAAUCAUCUGGCUUCACUCCCUCCACCUCUAUCAGUAAGUGUACCACUUCCUGAAAGGAUUUUGCUGUAGCAGCUACCUGUAAGGCUGAAAUCCGCAACUCUGACCUCAACCCCUUCACAAAACGGCGAAUCCGCUCUUGUGGACUGAAGCAAAGCUGGUUGGCAUAUCUGGAGAGUGCAUGAAACUUAGCCUCAUAAGCAGUAACCGACAUUCUGUCUUGCUCUAGGCUUAGAAACUCAUCUCUCCUCCUAUCCCUCAAAGUACGGGGUAUAUACUUCUCCAUAAAUAAACUAGAGAAUGAUGCCCAAGUCAUAGGUGGGCCUCUGUUGGUUGACACUCCACAUGUGACCGCCACCACAUUUUUGCGUUCCCUUGAAAUUGAUAGGUCACAAACUCGACACCAAAUCGUUCUACUAUACCCAUCUUGUGUAGUAACUCAUGACAGUCAACCAGAAAAUCGUAGGCAUCCGCAGAUUCAGCACCCUUGAAGAUCGGAGGUUUCAAUUUCAAGAACUUACUGAAAAGUUCAUGCUGAUCACUUGUCAUUAUAGGCUUUGUAGUCAAACGAGGAAAUGUGCCUAUUUCAAGUGAGGCAUCCAUGCGGGGAGCCCCAGCAGUGGCAUGUCGUACUCCCGUAACCUGAGGUGCGGGUACAGAAAAUACUGGAGGUGUCUGGCCUUGGUCAGAUAACCCGCUAAGAUAAGCAAAAACCUGAUUAAUCAUCUCUGGGGUAGGUUGGGGGGAUAAUUCCUCAUUCUGCACCUGUUCGCUCUCCCCUUCCUCACCCUCUCUUAAUACUUCCUCAGCCGAUGGAGGAGUCACCGCCCUAGUACUAGAUGGGACAAGUGUUUUUCCUCUUCCUCAAGAGGACGUCCUCCCACGACCUCUACCACGACCCCUUGUCACUGCUUCUCUUCGAGCUACAGGCCCAGUGGCUGGCUCAGACGCACCCGGUCCUGCCGCUGCUGGUGUUGGCGUAGUUGUUGCUCUAGUUCUAACCAUCUGCGAAAUAAAGUAAAGAUGAUCAGAUACCAAUUUGUAUCACCUAGAUACCAAUUGGAUCCAAGUAAUAGCACGAAGAAAGAAAGAAUGGAAUUUUCCUAAAGUCUUAUAGCCUCUCAAAGAAAAGUAAAGGUGUCCCCCUACCGUUCCUUAAGACUCUACUAGACUCGUUCUUGUGUGAUGAGACCAACGAACCUAAUACUCUGAUACCAAGUUUGUCACGACCCAAAGCGGGCGCGAGUGACACCCACACUUAUCCUACUGUGUGAUCGAACCAACCAAUCUAAACCCCAACAUUUCAACCAUAAAUAACAUCAUAUAAUGUGGAAGACUUAAACUCAUUAAUGAAAAUCGAUUAAAUAACUUCUAAAAAUUCAAACACUUAUUAUUAUCCCCAAAAUCUGGAAGUCAUCAUCACAAGAACAUCUAUCCUCAAAUUACUAAUCCUAAGAGUAUCUAGAAAGCUAGAAUGAAUAAAAAGCUGGUCCAUGCCGGAACUUCAAGGCAUCAAGACAUGAAGAAGAAGAUCCAGUCCAAGCUAGAAGAGUUAGUUCACCCUGAAAUCCGAUGUAAUGAAGACUGGCUAGAGUUGAGGUUGAGUUGAAGACGACGGUACGUUCCCUGUACUCCACAAUAACAAAGAAAGAAACAUACAAGUAGGGGUCAGUACAAACACAAGUACUGAGUAGAUAUCAUCGGCAACUCAAAAUAGAAAAUAGUAUAUAUCAGAUAAUAUCAUAAAAUCAACUACAAUACUCAACAUGCGGCAUUUACAAUUACCAUAACCCUUGGUCACAACACCAAGCACAUCAAUGAGGACUCACGCCUCCCCAUCAUACUCAUUUGGGAAUUAGGUUUAUUAAAUUGAGUAUAUUAACAUCUUUCAAGAUUCAUUAACUUUAUUUCUCUCGUGUCGGUACGUGACACUCCGCUCCAUAUACUAUCCUGGUGCCGGAACGUGACACUCUGAUCCUCAUAUACUAUCCUGGUACCGGAACGUGGCACCCGAUCCAUAUACUACCCUGGUGUCGGAACGUGACACUCCGAUCCUCAUCAUACUAUCCUGGUGCCGGAACGUGACACCCGAUCCUCAUCAUACUAUCCUGCUACUGGAACGUGGCACCCGAUCCAUAUACUAUCCUGGUGUCGGAAAGUGACACUCGAUCCUCAUCAAACUAUCCUGGUACUGGAACGUGGCACCUGAUCCCCUAAUCUCACUACUUUCGUUCAUCAAGCCUUCUUUUAUACCAAGGCAUCAUCAUUAACAAAGUAUAUUAGGGUUUUUCAAGAUUUAGGAUUCAAUAGCUUCAUCAUGCUUAUUUUAUCACAAUUAUAUAAUCAUAUUCAUGCAAGCAUACAAUUAAGCAUAUAGAAGGGUUUACAACACUACCCAAUACAUAUCAUUCGCUAUUAAGAGUUUACUACGAAUAGCAUAAACCAUAACCUACCUCCACCGAAGAAUUCGUGAUCAAGAAUCUACUUUUCAAUGCUUUGCUUUCCUCUUCGUUCCCUCCUCUUGAUCGAUCGUUUCUCCCUCUCUCUGUUCUUUCUAUUUUUCUUAUUCAAACCCUUUUUCUUUUACCCUAAUUAGCAUAUAAUUAAGUAUAAAAGAUGACAAAAGUAACCCCCUAAUUAAUUCAAGGUUAUCUCCUUCAACCCCCAAGUAAUUGAAUUAUUAGUUUUACCCACUAACUUUAUAAUUAUAAGCAGGAAUAGUCCAAAACGCCCCUUAAAACAUUUAACAGAAAUCCGACCCAGUCAGGGUUACGUAGCCUGUGACGGGCCGUCGUGCCUGCGACGGUCCGUCCUGCUGAGUCGUCACAGAGUUCAGAGACUCACUUUUUAUUUAAGACCCUGUGACGGUCCGUUGUGCCUACGACGGUCCGUCCUGCCAUUUCGUUGCGAAGUUCAGAGAGUCGAUCUCAGUACCCAAAUUUCAGAAUUCUAAGUGUUUUGGAAAGAGACACCCUCGACGGUCCGUCGUGGGAUCCGUCGACUCAGACAGUUAUUACCAGAAAAUACUCUACUACUCAAAACGACUAGACAGGUCGUUACAAAAUAUUUGUUUUGAAGAGUUUUCAACUUUUAGAAUCGCCACUUAAUUUUUGUGAAAUUUAAGAAAACCUAUUGUUUUCAAAUAACUUAAACAAAAAACCGUUUGAAAACAUUCAGAUGGAGUUCGGGAAUUCCUAUUUAUAUCUUAGGAUAAUUGAAUGGACAGAGGAUAGCACAUAAAUUUGACAGGUAUUAAAUAACAGGGGAGUCACUCUCAAAUAUAUCAUUAAAAAUUAAAGAAUGCCACAACUGUGACAAAUUAAGUAUCAAUAAAUUAUUGAUAAGACAUGCAUGCAAAGAUCUCAUAAGACUAAAUGUUAUAUCAACAUGAAACUGAACACUAAAAACUUAUUUUUGGUUGCUCAUAUGAUAUGCUAAAAUGUCCCAGAAGGGACAAAUAUAUAGACUAGAAGAGCAAAUAAAACUCGAGAUGGAUUUCAAAAAAAAAAAACAUUUAAACUUUGAAAUAACUAAACUAGCGAUCCAGUAAAGGACUGAAACAUGCCAUAAUAGAUUCAAAGUAAGAAUUUCAAAGCGAUAAAAUUAAACAUUUCGAACACUAAAUCGUUGAUAUCUUACAAAGGACAACUUCAUGCUAAAAGUUAACGAUGAGAGACAUACUUUGAAGAAAUUGACAAAAUGUCGAGUAACGAACUAAGGCGUCAACAAUCUAGCAAAAUUAUUGGUUCAAUUGAUUAAAAUUUAAAGACAAAUUAACAACGAGCUUUUUAAUUUUAACGAAAUAAAAUAAUCAACGUAAUUAUAACGUAAUCAGAUGUUAAACUUUUUUAACACCACUUACCUCAAAAAUCAGUAAAAUUAAUAAUGAGGGACAAAUAGCUUUGAAAUUUGAUCGGUAUUGGGAUGACCAGAUUGGAAAUAUCGGAACGAAUAUUUGGUUUUGUUCUAUCCCACUAUGUAUCAGGAUGGAAUGGAAUGAAUCGAAAUGGAACGGGAUGAGAUAAACGGGACGACACUUUUCGUUAUUUCAAAAUUGAUUAAAUUUUCUUUUAGUUAUUUUGAUUUUUUGAAAUACAAAAAUAUGAAUAUUUUUUUAAUUUUCUAAGUUUAAAUUAUUAGUUUUUAAAUUUAUAAUGUAAUUUUUUACUUAAUUUUAUUUUAAAGAUAUUUUUUUAAAAAAAUUUACUUAUUAAGUUUACAAGUUAAGUCCAUAAGUUUUCAACAUUUGAAUCUUUGAAGUUUAUAAGUUAUUACUUAUUGAUUUGUUAUAACUUAUAGGUUAUAUUUAUAACUUGUGAUUUAAAUAACUUAAAUUUGUAAUUUUAAAAAAAAUAAAUAAAAAAUAAAAAUAAAAAAUUACACAAAUUAAAAAAUAUAAAAUACAAAUUACAAUAUAUAAUAUAAAUUAAUUAAUAAAUAAUAAUUAAUCGGAAAUCGAACCGACACCGAACAGGACCGCACCGAACCAGACAAGAUCGGAAUAAAUCGAUACGCGUACACCGGUAUCAAAUUACGAUUAUGUUUUGUUUCGUGUACCGAUUUAUGGUGUCUCGUUUCGUCUCGUAGGCAACCGAAUCGGAACGAACUGAAACGGUAUCAGUCUAUUGCCCAGUCUUACUUAAGAGUAACUUAACAAAAAACUUUCUGUUAAUAAUUAGGUUUAUAUAUAUGACCCAUUGGUGCCACUUAUAGAUAUAAAUUUUGGGUAUAACUAAAUCUCAAAAGUAAGAAUGAUUUUUUAAAAAUCUGAAGUAUUCCUUAACGGGAGCAUGCACAAUAUACCAUGGAGUUCAAUAAUAAAUCAGAACUACUUUAACACACUUUUGUACCAACUAAAUACAUAGAAAAAUAAAAUUUAUCUAAAUACUAUCUCUGCCCUAUUUACUUGUUCAUAUUUUUUCUUUAGAUGUUCCCAUUUACUUGUUCAUUUUGACAAAUUAAGAAAGAACACAAAAAAUUCCUAUUAUACCCUCAUUUAAACUUUUUGAAAAUUUCUAAGUUUUAAUUCAUCUUUUUUGAAAUAAUAUUUAAUAAAGAUAAAAUUAUAACUUUACCAUCUUAAUUAUUGUUAUCUUAAUAUAUAUGUCUAUUAUAAAAUGCACAACUAAAUAGGGACAGAGAAAAUAUAUAUAAGAAUAUCAACUUUCUAUUAUUAUUUUUUAAAUGUUGCACUUAAUUCUCAUGUCCCACAUGAUUUUCACUAAGUCAAACAAAUAACUUUUUUGAAAUUUGAUCCAAAUACAGAUAUUUUCUCUCAAAUACUGCUACGUAGCCAUCUAGAUUCUUCCAUCAAACCAAUUUAUGCAUAUAAAAGGGAAAACUCCCAAGUGAAAAAAGUGGAAAGUUAUUUUGGUUUGAGAAGAACCAAAACAACUUUUUCAGCAAAGAAAAAGUUAGCCUAGAAAACCUAAAAAGGAAAAAAAAGAGGCAAAACAGAGAGUUUUAGGAAUUUUUCUUUAACAAGGGUAGUUGCCCCUCUCUUGUUUAGCCAGUGAUUUUUAUUUUUUAUUUUUCAGAAGCAACAACUCUUGGAUUCAUGUUAAUUUCUUGGAAAUGACUGGAUCAUUCAAAUGGCAAUUAUGCAUAUAUUCCACAACCUUUGGCAAUAAUCUUUUUUUGUGUGUGUCUCUGUUAAUCUAUCUACGGUAUGUAUGUGUGUUGUAUUAGAGGCGAUGAUGAUAAUGAUGAUGAUUUUUUCGAAUUCUGGGCUAACUGGAUUGGGGAUGGAGGCUAUGCGAUCCGUAUCUUGGCUUGGCAAAUCAUCUUGAUUUUGCAGCCAUGGCGUGGUUGCCCUCUCUUUCGUCCUCAUCUCUUUGCAGAUCUGAGCCUCUAAAUUGUUAUCAACAACAUUUGAAUUUCUUGAAAUAAUAAUUCAAAAAUUGUUUUUCAUUUUUUUGAAAAUACAAUAUAUUAUGUUCUUCUAUUAUGUAUCUAUCUGAUUUUUUAUUUAUUUAUUACCUUAAAAUCAUGAUGAACUUGAUGUAGAAAUUUUUAUAUUUUAAGGUUUGUGAUUUUUUGAAGAAAUUUGUAAGUUCUCUUUUUUUAAUAGUUGUGAUUUUUCCCACUGGUAUAAGAAAGAGUUAUGGUAUAAUAAAGAGUUAUGACUUUUUAGGGGUAUGA